UCUAAUUAACCCGUUUGUAAUUCUCUUAAGAAAUUAAAAAAUGUCGAAGAGUCUUACUUUCAUCAUUUUGGCUUUGCUUGUAGUGGCAAACACUAAAAACAUGCUUAUUUCAGCCAGUAGAACUGGCCAAGGAUCUAAGCCAGAGGUUUUAUUUUCUAUUAACCCUACAGCAUCACCUGACAUUGUUGAUUGCUCAGGGCUCACAAGUGAAGAGUGUUUGAUCGAGAUGAUUAAGAAAGCACUUGUAGACUAUCGAUACCCCUGCCCUGAGGGGGGGUGCAAAUGAUAUUGUUAAUAAGUUAUUUCUUUUACCUUGUAGGAGUGCUUUUGCAAUAACGAUCAAUUACAGUGAAAUUGAAUUCGUGUUUUUAAUAAAAUAAAACAUUAAUCCAUUAUGCAUAGGUAAUAUUAUGUCAUAUGUUUUUGGUGUGUGUAUCUCCUACUGCUUUGUUAUAGAUGCAUCGUCGAAUCAAUCUUCAAAAAAUCAAUUUCUUUAAAUAAUAGCAAUUAUCAACCAAUCAACAUUACUAUGUUGGUACCAUUUGUAAUAUUUAAAUUUUAAGUCUAUCUACUUUUAGGGUGAGAUUAUUGAUUCCUAAGAAAAAUAAUAAAAUAAACCCUCAUUAUCGAAAUCCUAUAUUACUAAGCUGUCUGAUUUAAUUUAAUGUUAAACUUUAAUUUAACCCCUGAAAAUGUCCAGACUUACCUACAUUUAUUGCUAAGAUAUGAUUUAAAAGUUCAUCAAUGUGCACCUCAUUUAUGCUCAUCUUUUGAAGAACAAAUAGGGUGGAUUGAGAUUUUCAUGCUUUUGGAGGGUAAAUUAAAGAUAGUUAUUAGGAGGGAACGAAUUGAAGUUUGUUUUUAAAUGCAAAGAUGUUUUCUUUUAGUUUAUAUGAGAUAGUUCGUUUGACUUUAAUUUAACAUAUGUUUUUGUAAUUGAAAUAUAGAUACUUCGUUAUUUUUGUUAUUUAGCUAAGUAAUAUAAUAUUAUAUUUAAUUGAUCACUUAAAAAAUGUUUAUGCAUUAAAAGGUUGUUACAAGUGAAUAAAAGUUAUAGAUUUUAUUUUGAAAUUAAAUUCUAAAAAUAAAUUUAAGAGUUAGUGUUUCAUUUUCUGGAUGUAAAUGCCCUUCACCAAUUUCAUUUUAAAAACACACCAAAAUCCAAGUAAUUUUUUUGCUCUCCUCUCUCAACUAAAAUCUUUCUAUCUUAGACUUCACGUGAUGGAGUUCCAACACUAGUUUGAAGUUCGCAAGAGUAGUGAGGUUAUGUUGCCGAGACCAUUUGACUUUGCAAUAUCCUAAGGGACAUUUGCUAAUAUAACCUAAGUACUACUGAGAAAAUGACAAAUCCUUUUUAAGGACAUUGUAACUGCACAUGCCUCAGUUUAGUUUAUGUUCUUCUCUUUCUUAUUGAUCUAUACUAGAGAAAUUAUCUCUACACCAACUCUAUUUUAUCAUAUGUACAUCCAGAUACCACAAAAUUGUAACAUGUUCUUUGUACUACCAUCAUUUCUGAACUUGUAUUAAUCGACUAAUUCAACUUAACUGGGGUCUUCACUUUUAAGGCACUACCGGGGUGGCCAUUGCCCUCAUUGCUUAUGUACCUUAACUUCAUAUAGAUUUUUACUUUUUUUCGAUCCCUUUUUUGGAGCACAAGUAGAUUGUCGAUUAAUGCCAAACGCACAAGAAUGUGGUCAGAUGCCUAGAUUAGGGAAAAAUAAUGAAAUUUAAAGUAAUACACCAGAUUGCUGAUGUAUUAACAUUAUAUUGAAAUUCAAUAUUUGGCUACCAACAAGCACAUAUUAUAUAUAAAGAAUUAAACACGCAAAUAAACAUAAAAUGAAAUACUUAAAUAAAAUGAUAGAGCGCAUGUUUUGGAAAAGUUUAUUCCUCAAUCCACCACUAAUUAAAUAGAAGCAAGUCACUGUCAUUCUAUGUAAACAUACAUAACUAAUCGCCUACUUAGGAAUAAUAUUUUGAUUUGGGAAUCUUGAAUUUUUCAUUAAAAAAUCAGUUUACAAUAUUAUAAGUACGUGAAAAAGAAAGUGUAUCUUGUAUGAGAGUUUUUUGCAUUACCGAUCAAUUGUAAUGAAAUCGAAGCUGCGUUUUAAUAAAAAGAAGAAAUGGAUCACACAUACAUAGUUCAUACUUCUAAAUGUUGGAUUCAAAUUUAUUAAAACACAACACGGGCAAAGUCACUAGCAAAUAAGAAAGAAUAGCAAAGUCAUUCUUAGGGAAUAUAUUGAAUAUCACUCUAGAUAUGUUAGAGUAGUAAACUUCACUCUGUAUUUUAUUAGAAGUAAUAGGACCAUUUGGUCCAUAUAUUGAAGAUGUAUCUACCUACAAAAGCAUAGUUAAUGGCCAACAAUAUCUCAUCUUAACCACACCAGAGAUAUCAUUUACAAUGUAUAAGCUAAAUUAGUAUAUGGCUGCUCCUACACUUCAACAUCUAAUGGCUUGUAAACGAGUGUUAAGGUACUUAAAGGAACUGGAAGAUAUGGAUGAAACUAAUUGGAUUCACAGAUACAAAGUAGGCAUGUGAUUUGGAUGACAAAAAAUCCAUUGGAGUUUACUACAUAUACUUGGGAAACAAUUUAAUACAUGGUCAUCAAAAAAGCAAUCUAUGGUAGCAAGGUCCAGUGCAGAAAGUGAAUAUAGAGCACUUGCAGAAUUAACUUGGUUGCAAUCAUUAUUCAGUGAAAUCGGAAUACAAUGUACAUUAGUUCCAUCAAUUUGGUGUGAUAAUGCAAGUGCCACUGAAUUAUCCAAGAAUCCAAUCUAUCACUCAAGAACUAAACAUAUUGAGUUGGAUAUGCACAUUGUGAGAGGCAAAAUACUUGUAAAAGAACUUGAAAUCAGUUAUAUAACAUGUGCAGAACAAAUUGCCCAAUUAUAUCUUUACAUAUUAAUUUUGCUAGUAUAAUAUCCUUGAGAAUAAUUGAAUCAAAUGAUUUUGUUACUUUGGCAAUAAUUAAAUAAUAUUAGAUUGAAUUGUUGUGUCAUUCGUUUAGCUUAUUUUAACCCUAUGUAAAAUUAGCUUCGGCAAGUAAAAUGAAAUUUACAUUAUUAAAAUCUUUGUUUGUGGUAAUAAAAGUUCACUUGGAAUUUUAUAAUAUCAACUUGAAAUUUAACUCAAAGUAUUGGUAGUUAAGGAUUUCAAUAGAAAUAUUAAAUAGAAACAAGUAGUUAACAAGUUAAAACAAGUUAACCUAUAAUUGAGUAUGUUUAACUAAACUUAGGGGCUAAUUUUACAAAAAGUUAAACAAUAGAAAGUAAAUUUGGCAUUAAACCCAAAUAGUUAAAAUUUUACCAAGUUAUUGGAAAUAGUCAAACAAAAGCAUUGAAAUAAUAGUUGAAACACAUAAGUUAAAAAGGGAUAAAAUAUUAACCAAAUUCUAAUUUUAAAACUCAUCCAAUAAGAAAUGAAUUUACUUAGAAUUUAACAAAAAGUAUUGGUAUUUAAUGAACUUAAUAUGAACAUUAAACGCAUAGCUGGUAGAUUUAUAAGUUAGAAAUAUGUAAACCUAGAAGUAAGAAGGUUUAACCAAAAUUAAGGAAUAAAAAAAAUAAAAAAGUCCAAUUGGUAUUUAACCUAAAUAAUUGCAACCUUACCUAAUCAGUAGGAAUAUUCGACAAAAAGAUAGUGGAAUAAUUAAUUGAACCAUAUGAACCUAGAAGGGAGAAAAUUUAAGCAAAAUUAGGAACUUAUCCAAUGGGAAUAAAUAUUAUUUGGAAUCUAACCCAAAAUUGGUAUUAAAUGAACGUAGUAGGAAUAUAAAACAUAAAACUAGUAAACUACUAAUUAAGUUGAAGUAUGUGGACCUAUAAGUGAGAAAAUUUAACCAAAAUUAGAGACUAGUUUAACCAAAAAUAAAAUUAUAAAAAAUAAAUUUGGUGCUUACCCUCAAUAAUUAGAAUCUUAUUAAGUUAAUAGAAGUAUUCAACACAAAAAUAUGGAAAUUAGUAGUUGAAACUGGAACCCAUAAGAGAGAAAGUUCAAGUAAAAUUUGGAACUCAUCCACCAGAAAUAAAUUUAACUUGGAAUCUAACCAAAAUAUUGGUAUUGAAUGAAUAUAGUAGGAACAUCAAACACAAAACUUGAGGACUAAUAUGUUGAAAUAUGUGAACCAAGAAAUGAGAAAGUUUAACCAAAGUUAGAGCCUAUUCUAACAAAAACAAAAUUAUAAAAAUUAAAGCUAGUAUUUAUUUCAAAUAAUUGAAAUUGUACUAAGUUACUAUGAAUAUUCAACACAAAUGAAAUAAUUAGUUGAGACAAGAACUCGUAAGAGAGAAAAUUUAAGCAAAAUUAGGAAAUCUUUAAAUGAAAAAUAAAAGUUGGAAUAUAACUUAAAUAUUGGUAUCGAAUUUGGUACGAAUAUCAAAUACAAAAUUGAUGGACUAAUAACUUGAAACGUGGGAACCCAUAAGUGAAAAAGCUUAAGCAAAAUUAACGACUAGUCUAAGAAAAUAUAAUUGUUAUAUUUAACCACAGUAAUUGAAAUCUUACUAAAUUAAUGAGAAUACACAAUACAAAAUUAGUGGAAUAAUAGUUGAAAUAUAUAAACCCACAUGAAAUGAAGUUUAACUAAAAUUAUGAGCUCAUCUCAUAGAAAUGAAAGUUGUUUAAAAUCUAACUCAAAAUAUUGGUAUUUAACGACAUUAGUAGGAAUAUAAAACAUGAAAAUAGUGAACUUAAAAGUGAAUAUACGAACCUAUAAGUUUAACCAAAAUAAGUUACUAAUCUAACAAAACUAAAUUUAUAAAAACUAAAAAUUUAGUAUCUAACCUAUAUAAUUGGAAUCUUACAAAGUUAAUGGAAAUACUCAAUACAAAAAUGAUAGAAUAAUUAGUUGAAAUUACUGAGCCUAAAUAGUAGAAAAUAUAACGAAAAUGUGCUUAUCCAAUAGGAAAUGAAUUUACUUAUAUUCUAACCCAAUAUAUUAGUAUUUAAGGAAUUUAAUAGGAACAUCAAAGACAAAGCUAGUGGAUUGAGAAGUGAAAACGAAUAAAUUAGUAAGUGAAAAAGGUUAAAUGAAAUUAGAGAUGUGCGAAAUCAAAUUGUAACAUCCAAUUAAUAUAUCGGUAUUUAACUAAAAGAGUUGGAUAUGAUUAUUUUAUAGAUUUUUAAUAUCAUUUUAAUUAUAAUAUUUUUCUCAUUCAAAUAUUUUUAUGUUAGUUAUUUAUAAAUUUUCUUAUUUUUCAGCAUUAAAAAUAAAUUGUCAAAAAUUAUUUAGAAAACACCAAAAUCACCAGCUGUUCAAGCUGUAAAGCGACUAUGUAAUAGACAACAACUAGAUAAGUUGGAUGAUCCUUCAUUUUAUUCUCCCUUGCAAGCAGCAAUUUUCAUGGGAUUUUACUUUUGGUUGCCACUACUUACUGUGUCAAAUAGUCCAAGGAAAGGAUGGUAAAGAUAGUGUGUGGAUUAGUCAAAUCCACAUGCACCUUUGUUCUCGGCCAAAUAAAUAUCGGCUCCAUUCUCUCUUCUAGUCUUCUUCAUAAUUUUACGUUGUACACUUUUUAUUUUAUUUUUCUACGCUACACACGUUUUUUUUUCUUUUUUUUUCCUCAGUGUUUUUGCAUGUUGAUAAUUGUAUAGUUGCUCUUAGACAAUCACAUUCGCUUGGACAAACUUCUUUUUAUCAUGGAAAAUGAUCUCUACACUGCUCCUAUUUUAUCAUAUGUACAUCUAACCACCACAAAAGUUUAAUAUGUUCUUGACACCACCUUUAUUUUUAAAUUUGUAUCAAUAAACAAUUUUGACAAUUAGAGUUUAAAUGAAAUAAUCAUUUUACCCUUAAACGAAUUAACAAACUAUUUUAUCCUACAAAAUUUUUAAAAAUAAAAAAAUUAUAAUUACCAUUUAAUCAAUUGAUAAAAUACUAUUGAAAAAUUGGAUGUGUGAGUACUAUUUAAUUAAAUGAUAAAAUAUUAUUGAUUUUUUUAAUCCUUUUAACCUAAAGAACAUGCAAUACUCAUCUCAAAUAUUUUUCUUUUUUUUUCCCAUCAAACAUACAAUCACAAUUAUCAAACAAUUUUCAUUAUUUAAAUUAAUCACCAGGAUCAUAAUAGUCUAAACUAAUUUUGAAUAAUAAAAAAAUAUAAUUACAAAAAUUAUCGUUUCAAUUUUUUUUUAAUAAAAACUAACAUCUUUAAUUUUUAGAUUUAUUUGUUUUAUUAAAUUUAGAGGUAUUUUUGUAAAUAUAAUUUUUUUAUUUUUAAAACUUUUGUAUGAUAAAAUGAUCUUUUAAUUUAUUUAGGGGUAAAAUGGUUAUUGUAUUUAAAUUCUUAGUGUUAAGUGGUUUAUUAAUAUAAGUUUAGAAACAAAGGUGGUAUAAAGAACAUGUAAAACUUUUAUGGUAGUUAAAUAUACAUAUAACAAAAUAGAGGCGGUCCAGAGAUAAUUUCCCUCUUAUUAUUAUUAUUAUUAUUAUUAUUAUUAUUAUUUUUCAUGUCUCAUGUUGAUAACAUAUGUUACAUCACCUAUUUGAUGGUGUUAGCCGAUUUGUUCUUCUUUUUUCUUUUCUGUAAAAUUGAUUGACACUAAAAAGUGUACAUUUAAUAAGGAUAAAAUUAUUAGUUUUUCACUUAUUGUGUCGAUUAAUGCAUUCAUUAUUUCUAAAUUAUUUUAAUACUCCCCAAAUAUAUUUUAUGUUAAAUUAAUUCGUAAUUUGUUAAUUUUUAUCUUGUAAAUAUUUUUCAGGAAUAAAUAUGGAAUUGAAAUUGAAAGUGAGAACAAAGAAGAACUACUGGAACACAAUUGAGGAGAUCUAAUAAUAAAAAUAAAUAAAAUAAAAAAUAAAUAAAGAACAAAAAGACAAAAGAGUAAAAGGCAAGCAAAACAUUGGUUGCCUGAGAUGGUCAGGAGGCCAUCACGCCUCCUGGCCAUCACACUUCUCAACAUUUAUUUAAAUUUUAAAAAAUAAAAUAAUAAUAUAAUAAUAAAUUAAAUAAGAAUCAAAAGAAUGAAAAUGAGGCAAUUGUUGCCUAUAAAAGCCGAAGUAUUGGGAAGCUGAAGGGGGAGAGCUAUUUUGAGAGCUUAAGCCGAGAGAGAAUUUGAGAGCUAAAGCUGAGACUGAAGAUUUUCUUUCUUUCUUUGGUUCUUUUCUUUUCUUGUUUCCAUUUGUAUCAAUUUUCUUUGUAAUAUAUUUCAAAAAGUUUAUUAAAUAAGAAGAGUGUUGUGUUUUCUUUCAAUAUGAGUAGCUAAUUUUAUUAAGCUGAUGUGAAGGGUGAAGCUCAAUAUUUCAAACUAUUAAUUAUUAUUAUUUUCUCAAAUGAGUUUUUUUAAUUCUUUUCUAAUUAUUUUUAUAUUAUGUAAUUUAUAAAUCUCACUGGAUUUUAUGGUAUUUUGACAUAAUGUUGACACAUUAAUAUAGUGUGGCACAUUAGGUACUUUAUUCUAUAUUUAUCCACAUACAUAGAAUUAAAUGAUAUAAUAAUUAAUUGAUAAAAGUGAGGCAAAAUAUAAAUGAGAGAGUAUUAAAAUUAUAGUUUGAAUACAGAGAGUGGAUCCUAAACCUUAUCUUAUUUUUAAAUUGAUUUCAAAUAAUUUCUUUUCCCCACAAUUAAUUUUCUUAGUUUUACUAGAUUUAAAAUUUCCUGUGGUUUGACCCCGGUCUCACCAGGUUAUAUUAUAACUAGACACUCUUAUACUUGAGAGUAAUACACUUUUGAGUCGUGUCAAGUUUUUGACGCCGUUACCGGAGAGUUUUCUAAAUUUGGUAUUAGUUUGUCUUUACUUUUAUUUUAAUAUAUUUUUUGUUUUGUCGUUACCAUCUUUCCGUAAUUCUAUUUUAUUCUCUUUUUGUAAAACUUCAGGCGCCCCUCUUCUUUUCAAACCUUAACAUUAUUCAUAAAAUUUUUGACAAACUUCAUCUUAGCCUAGAAACCUUUGCAAAUCAGUUCCCAAAUCAAAUUUAUUUCUUUAAAUUUCUGCAAUUUACUUUCUGCAUUUAUUUUAAAUGGUCGGUUCUACCUCCUGACUGUUAUUUAAAUUUUGUUAAUUUAUGUAUUUUUAUUUAUAUGGUUGGUUCUACCGCCUAGCAUUUUAAUUUCAGUUUAUUUAUUUUUGUGCAUUAAUUAAUUUAAUUUUAUGUUUUAUUAUAUGGCUGGUUUUAAAAUACCGCCUAAACUGUUUCUUUUAAUGGCUGGUUUCACCGCCUAAUUUAUUUAUUUAUUUUUUAGUUUGUUUAUUUUUAUUUCAUAUUUUUUUUUGCUUAUUUGAUUUCCAGUUUAUUUUUAUUUCUGCAAUUUUCAUUUAGCGUUUUUGCAUCAUUAGUUUAGCACACAUCAUUAGCAUUGUAUGCGUUGUUGGUCUUGUACAAAUAGUGGUAGAUUGAUUAGAAAAUCACCUUCACCACCCUUAAAUAUGGCUGACAUAGGAGCUGAAAAUUUUUCGGAGCACGAAAAUGACCAAGCCUUACAAAAUCUUCAUGAACAACCUAGGACCCUUAGAGACUUCAUGCAUCCUACUAGAACAGGGUCACCAUCAUGUAUAUUUUUCCCUCCUGAUGCAUCACGUUUUAAUUUCAAGCCUGGUAUAAUUCAACUUUUGCCUACCUUUCAUGGUUUUGAGUCUCAAAAUCCAUAUUUGCAUUUAAGGGAAUUUGAGGAAGUCUGUAACACCUGUACUGAUCAAAAUUGUAGCAUGAAUAUAAUCAGGCUUAAGUUUUUUCCUUUCUCACUUAAGGAUAAAGCUAAAACUUGGCUAUAAAAUCUUAGGUCAUAAUCCAUCAGAACUUGGGAUGAAAUGCAAGCACAAUUUUUUAAAAAAUUCUUCCCACCCCACAGAACGUUUUGAAAAGACAAAUCACCAUUUUCACUCAAAAAUCAGGAGAAACUUUGUACCAAUGUUGGGAUAGGUUUAAAGAACUACUUAACAUUUGCCCACAUCACGGUUUUGAAACAUGGAGAUUAGUGUCUUAUUUCUACGAGGGAUUAACAUCCCAAGGUAGACAAGUUAUUGAAAUGAUGUGUAAUGGUGAGUUUAGGGACAAAAAUCCUGAAGAUGCAUUAGACUAUCUUGACUAUAUAGCAGAAAAUGCACAACACUGAGAUACAAUUGGUUUUUAUGAGUGAUCAAGUAAACCCCGGUCAUCUCCAUCUGGUGGAGGCAUGCAUAAUCUUAGGGAAGACCAUGAUUUUCAAGCCAAAUUUGCAUCGUUAGCUAGAAAAGUCGAAGCAUUAGAGUCGAAAAAAAAUGAUCAUGUAAAGUCUGUUAAAAAUAUUUAAUGUUAUGUUUGCGAUUCUACUGACCAUUUUACGCAGGACUGCCCAACUUUACCAGCCCUAAGAGAAAGUUUGCAUGAACAAGUAAAUGUUGUUGACAAUUUCAAAAGGCCAAAUCCAAAUCUAUACUCCCAAACUUACAACUCUGGUUGGAGAAACCACCCAAAUUUCAGUUGGAGAAAUGAUAAUCAUGCACAAUCUUCACAACGUGUUUUUGUUCUUUAUUUUUUUUUAUUUUAUUGAUUAUUUAUUAUUACAUCUCUUCAAUUUUGUUCCCGCUUUCAAUUUCAAUUCCAUCUUUAUUCCUAAAAAAUAUUUACAAGAUAAAAAUUAACAAAUUACGAAUUAAUUUAACAUAAAAUAUAUUUGGGAAGUAUUAAAAUAAUUUAGAAAUAAUGAACGCAUUAAUCGACACAAUAAGUGAAAAACUAAUAAUUUUAUCCUUAUUAAAUGUACACUUUUUAGUGUCAAUCACACCCCCCAACCAGCUUAUUGUUAGGCCCUAGCAAUUUAAGCGAUAAAAGUUUAGUAAAAUUUCAAACUCAAAUUGAAAAUCAUUUUUUUUUAAAAUUAUGUUUACUUUUUCCAUCAGAUUAAUGACAACAAUCAAAUAAAAGUAUAAGCAUUAUCUUCAGCCUAAAGAAAAUAACACCCGCUCAAAACAGUUCAGUAACAAGCCACUUUUAAGAAUGAUACAUUAAACCCCAAAAUCUCACAAUUAGGAGUGACUAUCUCAAAAGAAGAUAUACUCCAAAUUAAUUUGUCACUCUAAAAAAAUGGUAAAUUUGAGAGAAUAAUAAAAUAAUAUCACACGCUCUCACCAAGAUAAAAAUUAAUGCCCAAAACUUAGAAAUAAAAUGAUAUCAAAUCCAAUGAAUUACUAGCAAAAUUUAUUUUUAUUUUUACUUAUCACCACAUCUUUUAGUCCAUAUUACCAGUUUUUACUUCAGAUUAUAGUUCUCAAAAAUCGAGAAGGACUUUUAUUAGGACGUAACGUAGGCUAGGGUUAUGGCUAACAAAAAAGGUAAUAGGGAAAAUAAAAAUAAAUCUUUGAAAAAUAGGGGACUUUUUGGAGAUUAUAAGGUGCUCUUUUUUUUUUUUUCAAAGGCUCAAAGGGGUUAACUAUGGAUUCUUUAUAAUAGGGUUGGCUAGAAAGGCUCAAACGGAUCAAAGAUGGCCUUCUGUCAUCUUUUAGGGUUCUAUAUAAUCUUUCAUAUCCACUAGUUCAAUGGACUUUUAUAUGUGGUUGCACAAACUUUUUUUUUUUUAAAUAUUGAUAUCUUGUACAAUAAAUUGUGAAGCUGUAUAGGCAAACAAGGUUACUCUCUAAGGAUAACAGGCUCAAAAACUCGCUUGGUCUUUUUAUAACAUGUACAUUCAUCCAAAUGGCUUAAUCAAUUUCACUCAUUCAAUUUCUCAAUUUACGUUUUAACAUGCAAAGGGAAAAAUAUAGUGUAACAUAACUCAAGGCCAAAGAUAAUACGAAUACUAAAAUUUGAAAAUCAUAAUGUUAUCCAGUAUUGAAAGAUCAUACCAAAAAAUAAAAUAAAUUUUUUUAAGAAAGCACUAAAAAAUUAGGACUAAUUGCAGAAACUUAAGGGAGAUGAUUAAGAGAAAAAGACCGAAAACAAAAAGUUAGAAAAUUUUUUUUUUGGAAGAAAACACAAAAAUUAAGAAGAUGCGAUUCUAGAGACACUACAUUCUAUAUUCUAUCAUCUUCAACUCAAAUUUUUAUCCAAAGUUAGUCUUUACAACAAAAAUUAGUAAAAACAUCACUAGGAAUGAGACAUUCCACAAUUAUCAACUAUUCCCUCUCUCCAACCUGAAGGAGACAUUGUCCUCAAUGCCUAAAGAAAGGAGUAGAGUUUAGAAGAUAUCACCUGGCCAUUGCUGGAAAUAUUUACAAAUGGAGAGUUAAAUCUAAUUUACACUUUUUACGAGAGUUACUGCCAUCGUUAUCAGUUGCCCAAUCCAAUGCCAAAGUUAUGGGAUCUAGCUUUGGUUUGUAAGCUUGCAAAAAGUCAAGCAACUCAUUAGCAGUAUGAGCACAAAUGACGAGUUUUUUUUGCUGAGGAUGGAAUGAAAUAAUUUUUUAUUGUAUGAUUAAGAAAUGUUAUUAAGCCAUCAUAAAAGUUAUUAAUAUUUAACAAACCGAUUGGUUUUUUAUGGAUAUUCAAAUGGGCCCAGGAAGCAAAUGUAAUUAGCGCCUCCAAAGUUGCAAGGUUUGCUGGCAAGAAAAUAAAAGCGUCAGCAUGAUUUAACAUUUCGGAUAUUCUUUCUUGCAUACCUGAGACAACUAACUCUUCUCCAGUUGGUGAGUCUGGUAGCCAUCCUAAAGGUUUUAAGGCUUUUGGAAUGAUGCCUAGCACUUGGCUUCCUCGAACGAAAGCAGCUUCAGAGACAAGCUUUGAUAAUCCUCGGUCACCUCCUCCAUAUACAAGAUGUAGUUUCCUCUCUGCUAUAGCACGACCAAGAUCUACAGCUACUUAAACGAACUCCUUAUACUUUCCAUAGCGAAAUCCAGAAAGCACACAAAUAUUUUUAAGUUGACUGCUUGAAGUUGCUGCCAUUACAAAAAUUCUAAAGAGAAACAAUUUGUGAGUGCUUAAAAAGGAGUUCCUAUUUAAGGAUCUUGGUGACGGACAUAAUGAUGUACAUUUGUAAAUGGGGUGGUGUGUUUGUCAAAUGACGCGUGAAGCUUUUAGCUUAAUAAUUCAAAUGCAAACAGUGAAAAAAAAAGCAAACAAUGAUUAGAUAAAAUAAAAAAAACAAUAAUAAUAAUAAUGAAAAAGAUAAAAGAACAGUAAAAUAAAAGGAUAUUUACUGGUAGUUGUGAUUGUGGCUCACAUCUUCCUCUGGUUUUACGUCCAGUAACGGCUUGAACGCCCUCUAUGGGUCGAGAAUAGGAUUCCCAUCCAGUUUUCUUAUAAAUUGGCAAAUAAGGUCUUUUAGAGUCAGAUUCCCAAGACUAAACUGUGCACUUUCCUUUUGGAACAACUUCCACAAAUUUUGAAUUUCACGUUAAACAUAUAUGCUCGGAUGCGUCUCAAGAGAUCGUAAGAUAUCAUCCAACGAUUCUUUACUCAUGCUAUCCUUAACGAAUUUGAUUUUAUCUUCACGAUUUACAGAAACCAUUCCUAAAGCUUUACAACGUGGAUUUUUGCAAGCAAGUCUUACACAAUGAGAACAUUCAGAGCCAAGUCGCUUAGCUCUUCUUUUUUUAGCAAAUGUACUUUUACCAAAACCAGGCAUGUAGGAACUGAAUGGAUCAGGAAACUCACCUGCCAAUCGGACCUUUGCUUCGAUUAACCACCGAAUGUCAGCAGGAAUCCCAUUGAUCAUUAACAAACGCAGUCAUUCACAACGAGCUUUAUAACUCUUCUUAAGAGUAUUUUGAGGGAGAGAAGGAAAACGUUGAUGCAAAUUUUGUUGUAUUUCUUCCAUGUUUGACAUUGAGGUUUCAGUUAUUGUGGUAAACUGAGAAUACCGACUUAAAAAGUCACGGAGUACUAUUAUCCGCCAUUUAUACAGGAGAGUGAAUCAAAACAAAACAAAUCAAAUCUGCAAAAUCAAAUCAAAAGUGAAAAAUAACAACAAAAUAAAACAAAAACACACAAGGAAUAUAACUCACCUUCGUCCUUUUAUUGAAUCCAGUUCUAAUUGCAGAUUAUAAAUACCAUCAUCUAUUUUCUUGAGUUGUCUUUCUAGAUCUUUCACGUCAGAUACUAACUCUGGUGGUUGCAGAUCCCGAAUGAGAUGUAAUUUACAAAAUCAGAGCAAUUUCCUUAGGUGAAAUUUUACAUGAAAAAGCGUUUUAAAAUGAUCGAAAAUGAAAUUUCUCAUGGAGGUACUCAUGAUAAGUAUAAAAAUUUGGUGAGCUAAAUCACAAUUGUCAAACAACACACAAUUAAAACAAUGCAAUGCACUCCAUUCAAGACAUAGGGAAAAGGGAAAAGAAAAAGAAAUCAAAUAAUUCAAACGAUAAAGUAACAGUAAAUCAAAUUCACAAAACGUUAAAAUGAACAGGCUUAAUCAAAAUUUUGGUGGGUCACUCAAAUGGAAUUCGGUAUCUGCUUUAUGUGGUUGGUAUUCCAGAUAUGGUUUCAAUAUUUGGCCAUUAACUUUAAAUGUGACACCAUCCUUUGGAUUCUCAAUUUCUACGGCUCCAUAUGGAUACACAUUUUUUACAACAAAUGAACCAUUCAACUUUGACUUUAACUUCCCUAGAAAGAAAUGAAGACGAGAAUUAUGAAGCAACACUUUUUGACCAAUUUCAAAUGUUUUCUGAAAAAUUCUUUUGUCAUGAAAAAUUUUGGUUCUUGCCUUAAUAAUUUUGGAAUUAUCAUAUGCAUCAUUCCUUAAUUCCUCAAGUUCAUUUAUUUGCAAUUUACGCACAUUGCCAACAUCAUCAAGAUUUGAAUUAAAAGCUUUAAUGGCCCAAAAUGAUUUAUGUUCAAGUUCUACUGGUAAGUGGCAAGAUUUUCCAUAAACAAGCCGAUAGGAUGACAUUCCUAAAGAUGUUUUAAAAGCAGUACUCUAUGCCCAAAGUGCAUCAAUUAGUCGAAGAGACCAAUCUAUACAGUUUGGAUUAACUGUUUUUUCUAAAAUUUGUUUUAUCUCCCUAUUUGCUAAUUCAACUUGACCACUUGUUUGAGGGUGAUAAAGGGUAGCAACCUUAUGUGUAAUUCCAUAUUUCUUCAUUAAAGACUCAAAUGGCUUAUUACAAAAAUGCUUACCUCCAUCACUGAUAAUGGCUUGAGGUAUUCAAAAUCUGCUCAAAAUAUUUUCUUCUAAAAAGCGGAUCACAAUCUUGUGAUCAUUGUGCCGACAAGGAAUCGUCUCGAUCUAUUUUGAAACAUAAUCAACAGCAACCAAAAUGUAUACAAAUCCAAAUGAUGAUGGGAAAAGACCCAUAAAAUCAAUUCCUCAACAAUUAAAUAUUUCAAUGACAAUGAUGGGGUUUAAAGGCAUCAUGUUCCGCUUUGAAAUAGACCCUAUCAUUUGAUAAUUCUUACACAUUUUACAGAAUGCAUGUGAAUCUUUAAAUAAUGUAGGCCAAUAAAAUCCACACUGCAAUAUUUUGCAGCUAUCUUUUUUGAAGAAAAAUUGCCACCGCGUGCUUCAGAAUGACAAAAUUGAAUGACCCUACUUACCUCGUCGUCUGGUAUGCAUCUUUGAAAAAUUUGAUCGAAGCAGUACUUGAACAGGUAUGGCUCAUCCCAGUAAAAGCUUUUUACUUCAGUUAAGAAUUUCUUCUUGUCUUGGGAACUCCAGUCACAUGGCAUUUCACUUGUUGUAGGAUAAUUAACAAUAUUAGCAUACCAAGGCAUUUUGUUUAUAGAAAACAAAAAUUCAUCAGGGAAAGAAUCAUUGAUGGGUGUUGUUUCAAUUGAAGACUCAUUUGUAAGUCUUGAAAGAUGAUCUGCAACAACAUUUUCAGCGCCCUUUUUGUCUUUGAUUGUCAAAUUAAAUUCUUGAAGUAGCAAAAUCCAUCGUAUUAACCUUGGUUUGGCAUCCUGUUUUGACAUUAAAUAUCUCACAGCAGCAUGAUCAGAAUAAACAACAGUACAUGAACCAAUUAAAUACGAACGAAAUUUAUCCAAUGCAAAUAUUACAGCAAGUAGUUCUUUCUCAGUUGUAGUGUAAUUCAUUUGAGCAGUAUUCAAAGUUCUACUUGCAUAAUAGAUGACAAAGGGCUUACCUUCCUUUCUUUGACCCAGAACAACGCCAAUGGCAUAAUCACUAGCAUCACACAUUAGCUCAAAAGGUAAAGACCAAUCAGGGGGUUGCAUUAUUGGGGCUGAUGUCAAAAAACUAAUUAUCUUUUCACAAGCUUGUUGACAAUCUUUAGUCCAUUCAAAUUGUGUGUCUUUUAUUAGGAGGUUACAAAUUGGUCUAGAUAAGGCACUAAAAUCUUUUAUAAACCUCCUAUAAAAUACUGCAUGUCCUAAAAAAAGGGACUUCUCUAAUUGUCUUUGGUGAGGGUAAUUUUGAAAUGACUUCAACUUUGGCUUUAUCAACUUCGAUUCCUUUUAAAGACACAAUAUGGCCUAAGACAAUUCCAGAAGUGGUCAUGAAAUGACAUUUUUCCCAAUUUAAAACGAGUCCUUUUUCUUUGCACCUUUCCAAAACUUUUUCUAGAUUAUCAAGACAUGUAUCAAAAGAAUUACCAAAUACAGUUAAAUCAUCCAUAAAAACCUCUAGACAAUUUUUAACCAUGUCACUAAAAAUGCUUAGCAUGCACCUUUGAAAUGUUGCAGGAGCAUUACAAAGUCCAAAGGGCAUUCUCCUAAAUGCAAAUGUUCAAAAUGGGCAUGUGGAUGUGGUCUUUUCCUGGUCUUCUAAGGCUAUAGGGAUUUGAUAAUAGCGAGAGUAGCCAUCAAGAAAGCAGUAGUAAGGAUGUCCAGCUACUCUUUCGAGAAUUUGGUCUAGAAAUAGAAGAGGAAAAUGAACUUUUCUAGUGGCAUCAUUUAAUUUUCUGUAAUCAAUGCACAUGCGCCAACUAGAUGGAAUUCGUGUUGGGAUUGAUUCACCUUUUUCAUUUUUUACAACAGUUAGUCCAGAUUGUUUUGGUACUACUUGUGUUGGACUUAUUGAUUUACUAUUAGAGAUAGGGUAGAUAAUUCCUACAUCUAGUAGUUUAAGGACCUCAUUUUUUACCACUUCUUUCAUAUGAGGGUUUAGUCUUCUCUGUGGUUGACGGGUUGUUUUGGCAUUUUCCUCUAAGUGUAUUCGGUGUGUGCAAAUUAAAGGAUUAAUGCCUUUUAUGUCUUUUAAGGUCCAACCAAGUGCAAUUUUAUGCCUUUUUAGUACAGAUAACUUACCCUCUUGAUCAUGUGUGAGUUGAGAAGAAAUUACCACCGGAUAUGUCUGCUGCUCUUCUAGAUAGGCAUACUUCAAUUCUUCUGGUAAGAGCUUUAAUUCGAGCUCUGGUGCUUCCUCUUCGUUUGCUUCUUUAUGUUGUAUUGUAUCUUCAAAGUUCGAUUGGUCAUCGUCACCUAUAGGUACCUGCAUAGAAUCAAGUGUAGGACAUAUGUUAGCAGUAUCAAAAUCUAAUUCCUUACUUGAUUCAACCGAACCAGCAAAAAAAAAAUUUCCGCAGAGUUUGUAAAAUUCUCAUCCUGAAUGUGUUCCUCAAUGAUUGGGUCGAUGAGAUCAAUUUCAUCAUUCUCAUUAUCAUCAUCUUCUUGGUGGUGAGGUUGUUUACACAUGUUGAACACAUUGAGUUCCAGUGUCAUGUGGCCAAAAGAUAAAUUCAUUAAUCCAUUCCUGCAAUUUAUCAAAGCAUUAGCAGUAGCUAAAAAUGGUCGACCCAAUAUAACAGGAAUUUGUUUGCAUUCAUUAGCAAUUGGUUCAAUUUCCAAAAUAAUAAAAUCCACAGGAUAUAUGAAUUUAUCAGCAAGUAAAAGAGUGAUAGAAGUUGGUUUUAACUUACCGAGAUUGAGUUGUUGGUACACUGAGUAAGGAAGUAAAUUAACACUGGCACCAAGAUAAAGUAAAUCAUGUCCAAUUUUAUGAUCCCCAAUAGUGCAAGAAAUAGUUGGACAACCAGGAUCCUUGUAUUUCAAAGCACUAUUGGUUGAGAGAAUGGAACUUACCUGUUCUGCUAGAAAAGCUCUCUUUUGCACCUUAUGUUUCCUUUUCACCGUGCACAGAUCUUUCAGAAAUUUAGCAUAGGACGGCACCUGGUUAAUGACAUCCAGCAGAGGAAUGUUGACCUUUAGUUGUUUAAAAACUUUAUAAAUUUCGGUUUCAUUUCUUUGGCUUGAUCAGUGCUUGAGGAAAUUGGGUUACAAGAGGAGAGUUGAUUAUUUCUUCAUGGGUUAAAGGUUCGACAACCUCUUCUCUAUUUUCUGAAAUUGAAUCUUUACUAGUUUCACGAGGGUCCACAAUGUGUUUUUCAACUACUUUACCGCCACGAAGGGUUAUAACCGAUUUGACUUGACUCAUAUUUUGGUUUCCUGAAUUUCCCAUUUUAGGAUGUUGUUGACUUUUGGGGUUUGGUUUAGGUUGAGUAGGAAACUUUCCUUUUUCAUGUAUGGUCAGAGCAGAUGUAAGUUUGGAGAUAAUUUCUGUCAAAUUGCUUAAGGUUUGCAUCUUUUGGUUAUUGAUUGACUCUUGUUUUUUAAUAAACAAAUACAAUGUGUCUUUCAGAGUUUUUCUUGGUGGUGGGACAUAUGGUGGGUAACUUUGGGAGUUUUGGAAAUUUUGACAUGGAGGGGCUGGUUGUGAAGGUUGUGCAUGAUUGUCAUUUCUGCAACUGAAAUUUGGGUGGUUUCUCCAACUAGAGUUGUAAGUUUGGGAGUAUGAAUUUGGAUUUGGCCUUUUGAAAUUGUCAACGACAUUUACUUGUUCAUGCAGACUUUCUCUCAGGGCUGGUAAAGUUGGACAGUUCUGCGUAGAAUGGUCAGUAGAAUCGCAAACAUAACAUGAAAUAUUUUGAACAGACUUUACAUGAUCAUUCUUUUUCGACUAUAAUGCUUCGACUUUUCUAGCUAAUGGUGCAAAUUUGGCUUGAAAAUCAUGGUCUUCCCUAAGGUUAUGCAUGCCUCCACCAGAUGGAGAUGACUGGGGUUUACUUGAUGACUCAUAAGAACCAACUGUAUCCCAGUGUUAAUAAAAAUUGAAAGCAAUAAAUUAAAUAAAAGUACAAGAACAAAUGAGUAAGAGAGAAGAGAAACAAACACACGAAAUUUUACAUGGUUCGGCAAUCCCCACCUACGUCCAUGCCUCCAAGCGAUCCAAUCUUGAGGAUUUCACUAUCCGAGCCUUUCCAAGGCUUCAACCGUUUACAAUUGACUUCAAGGCGUCAAUGAACCUUUACAACAAAGAGAUUAUCUCCCAAUCUCUUCACUCAAGUGUCUUACACACUCAAACUUUUACAAUUAAGAUGAAGAAAUGGAAGUUACAAUAAAACUCACUCAAAGAGUAGAUAUUCAAAAAUGAAGAACAAGAAAUGAUUCAAUGUUUUGUGAUUUACAAAUUGAAAGCUCAAGAUAUCUCGUGUGCUUUUUGUUUAUGCUUGGUGGAGAGCUUGAAAAUGAGUUGGAUUUGAGUUUAUAUAGUUUAAGCUAAAAAACUAGCCGUUAUGCAUAUUUUGGUCGUAACCGGCUUGCUUGCCAUUUAGGAAUCCGGUAAGCUACUUUUAUGUUACUGUUAAGGCAAAAAUUUGAAUUUCAGAAUAUCCGGCUUGCCGCUUUUCAUAUCCGGCAAGCCGCUUUUGAAAUCCGAAUUGCCGCUAGUGAAAUUCGAUAAGCCAUUUAUGCUCCAGAAGCUUACUGCCAAAAAUCUGGUUUGCCAUUUACCAUAUCCGGUAAGCCGCUUGCUACAGUGACUACUACAAUGAAAUAUUUUCCAAAUUUACAGUUUAACCUAAAAUUUUAUAAAACUAUAUUAUGGCCCAAAAUGUUAUGAAAGUUUACAAAUAGGUCCAAUUUCAUAAUUUUAAAUAAUGCUUUGUCAAUCCCAAAACUUUAUGAAAUUAUGAUUUCGCCCAAACUAUGUAAAAUUAUAGAAUGACCCAAAAAUAUUUAAAUAGUUUCAAAUAGGUCCAAAUCUAACAUUUAAAACAUUAUCAAAGAUUUUAAAAUACUUUCAUUUUAGUCCAAAAUACUUUAAUUCCAUAACAUCAUUUUCUUAUUAUAAAAGCACAAUUCCUAAAUCUUUGCUUCAUCAAUACAUGUGGUUUGUUAUCAUCAAAAUGAAUAUUUAUAGCCAUAUAGGCUAACAGAUUUGUCUUUUGAAAGAAUUUGUUCUGUGGGGUGGGAAGAAUUUUUUCAAAAAUUGUGCUUGCAUUUCAUCCCAAGUUCUGAUGGAUUUUGACCUAAGAUUUUGUAGCCAAGUUUUAGCUUUAUCCUUUAGUGAGAAAGGAAAAAACUUAAGCUUGAUUAUAUUCAUGCUACAAUUUUGAUCAGUACAGAUGUUACAGACUUCCUCAAAGUCCCUUAUAUGCAAAUAUGGAUUUUCAAACUCAAAACCAUGAAAAGUAGGAAGAAAUUAAAUGAUACCAGGUUUGAAAUUAAAACAUGAUGCAUCAGGAGGGAAAACUAUGCAUGAUGGUGACCCUGUUCUAGUAGGAUGCAUGAAAUCUCUAAGGGUCCUAGGUUGGUCAUGAAGAUUUUGCAAGGCUUGAUCAUUUUCGUGCUCCGAAAAAUUUUCAGCUCCUAUGUCAGCCAUAUUUAAGGGUGGUGAUGGUGAUUUUCUAAUUAAUCUACCACUAUUUGUACGAGACCAAUGACGCAUGCAAUGCUAAUGAUGUGUGCUAAACUAAUGAUGCAAAAACGCUAAAUGAAAAUUGCAGAAAUAAAAAUAAACUGGAAAUUAAAUAAGCAAAAAAAAUACGAAAUAAAAAUAAACAAACUGAAAAAUAAAUAAAUAAAUUAGGCGGUGAAACCAGCCAUUAAAAGAAACAGUUUAGGCGGUAUUUUAAAACCAGCCAUAUGAUAAAACAUAAAAUUAAAUAAAUUAAUGCACAAAAAUAAAUAAACUGAAAUUAAAAUGCUAGGCGGUGGAACCGACCAUAUAAAUAAAAAUACAUAAAUUAACAAAAUUUAAAUAACAAUCAAGCGGCAGAACCAACCAUUUAAAAUAAAUGCGAAAAGUAAAUUAAAGAAAUUUAAAUAAAUAAAUUUAAUUUGGGGACUGAUUUGCAAAGGUUUUUGGGCUAAGAUGAAGUUUCUCACAAAUUUUAUAGAUAAUGUUAAGGUUUGAAAAGAAGAGGGGUGCUAACUGAAGUUUUACAAAAAGAGAAUAAAAUAGAAUCACAAAAAGAUUGUAACGACAAAACAAACAAAAAUAAAUUAAAAUAAAAUAAAAAUAAAGUAAAGACAAACAAAUACCAAAUUUAGAAAACUCUCCGGCAACGGCGCCAAAAACUUGACACGACUCAAAAGUAUGUUACUCUCAAGUAUAAGAGCGUCUAGUAAUAAUAUAACCCGGUGAGACCAGGGUCAAACCACAGGGAGUUUUAAAUCUAGUAAAACUAAGAAAAUUAAUUGUGGGGAAAAGAAAUUAUUUGAAAUCAAUUUAAAAAUAAGCUAAGGUUUAGGAUCUACUCUCUGUAUUCAAACUAUAAUUUUAAUACUCUCUCAUUUAUAUUUUGCCUCACUUUUACCAAUUAAUUAUUAUAUCAUUUAAUUCUAUGUGUGUGGAUAAUUAUAGAAUAAAGUACCUAAUGUGCCACACUAUAUUAAUGUGUCGAUAUUAUGUCAAAAUACCAUAAAAUCCAGUGAGAUUUAUAAAUUAACAUGAUAUAAAAAUAAUUAGAAAAGAAUUAAAAAAAACUCAUUUGAGAAAAUAAUAAUAAUUAAUAGUUUGAAACAUUAAGCUUCACUCUUCACCUCAACUUAAUAAAAUUAGCUGCUCAUAUUGAAAGAAAACACAACACUCUUUUUAUUUGAUAAACUUUUUGAAAUAUAUUACAAAGAAAAUUGAUACAAACGGAAAUAAGAAAAGAAAAGAAAAGAAACAAAGAAAGAAAGAAAAUCUUCAGUCUCGGCUUCAGCUCUCAAAUUUUGCUCUCCAGCUUCCCCCCGCUCUUAAAUUUCUCCUCUUUUUUUAUAGGCAACAAUUGCCUUUAACUUUCUUUAUUUUAUUAUUUAUUUAUUAUUUUAUUAUUAUUUUAAAAUAUAUAAGUGUGUUGAAAUGUGUGAUGGUCAGGAGGUGUAAUGGCCUCCUGACCAUCACCAACAUGUUUUUGUUCUUUUGUUCUUUUUUUUAUUGAUUAUUUAUUAUUACAUCUCUUCAAUUUUGUUCCAGUAGCUCUUCUUUGUUCCCGCUUUCAAUUCCAAGUCCAUCUUUAUUCUUGAAAAAUAUUUACAAGAUAAAAAUUAACAAAUUACGAAUUAAUUUAACAUAAAAUAUAUUUGGAGAGUAUUAAAAUAAUUUAGAAAUAAUGAACGCAUUAAUCGACACAAUAAGUGAAAAACUAAUAACUUUUUAUUGUCAAUCACACCCCCAACCAGCUUAUUGUUAGGUCCUAGCAAUUUAAGCAAUAAAAGUUUAGUAAAAUUUCAAACUCAAAUUGAAAAUCACACCCUCUCAAAACAGUUCAGUAAAAUCCUGUAAAAUGAUCAAUCAUCAGAGCUACAUUAAUCAAGCCAAUUUUAAGAAUGAUACAUCAAACCCCAAAAUCUCACGAUUAAGAGUGACUCUCUCAAAAGAAGAUAUACCCCAAAUUAAUUUGUCACUCUAAAAAAAUGGUAAAUUUGAGAGAAUAAUAAAACAAUAUCACACGCUCUCACCAAGAUAAAAAAUAAUGCCCACAACUUAGAAAUAAAAUGAUCUCAAGUCCAAUAAAUUACUAGCAAAAUUUAUUUUUAUUUUUACUCAUCACCACAUCUUUUAGUCCAUAUUACCAGCUUUUAUCUAGAAGAAUACACAUGUAGCUUUGAAGAAUUACAUUAUAAAUGUGAAUUUGAUAAAGUUGAAAAUACCAUAUGCUAUUAUAAUGAUCAAUAUUUUAUAAAGAUACCAGAUCCAUGGGGGAAAACGAUUAUGUUAGAAUAUAACAAUGAAUAAAUUGAUACCCUAAGAAAUAGGAUCAGAUUUGCUCGAAAUAGAAUUACUGAACGGUAUGUUGAAAUAAGAGUUAAGAGACUUUGGUAAAGUCCCCAUAGUUCAGCUUCCAUAAUGGAACAACUACCCAAAUUCAUGUUAAAACCGCAAACCCAUUCCCUACAAUAAUUCCUCACCAAGCCACCAGCAUUAGCCAAUCCCGAUCUCUUUAAAGCCCCAUCAGUAUUGAGCUUGAAGAACGACCACUUUGGGGGCAGCCAAUAGAUCCAUCUUUUAGUUUUUGGAACUCUCUGACUAUCUAAAGACUUUAUAAGCAGCGAUGCUUUUUUCCGUGCAAUUGUUCACAUCCACAAUUGCGUUGUGAAGGCUGCUUGAUUUGUGAGCAUAAACGAACUCAUUGUGCCAAUAUCACAUGCGCCAGACAUGACGUCAAAUAACAUUGACCUAUCCUUCUCAUUAGAGAUCCUCAAGUGGUUUUUCAUAUUAUAAACAAUCCAUGCAUGAACAUCCAAUGUAAAACAGGUAUGACUUGUGUGUUUCGAAAUAAGGGCUAACCAAAUGCACAUAGAGUCAACAUAAUCCCCAACUGCAUGGAGAACAUCCUCUAUGAUAUGCCCACGCCGCAUGCAAGUACUAUCAUUAAGCACAUGUCUUCGCGAUAAUUUAGCAUUAUUUUUCAAUCUAUUAUGCAUCAGCAGCCAAAGAAAGCACUGAAUGCUUUAGGGGCCUCUCCAUCUCCAAAUCAAAACCCAAAGGGAAUUAUUUUCAUUUAGCAUCGGUCUAAAGAGGGAUAAAUAAGCUGACCUCAUGCUAAACGAACCAGACCGCGAUGGACCCCAAUAACAACAGUCAACUUCAUCGCUAACAGAAGGGGGCAUAAUGCUUGCUAUUUUGAGAAUUAUAUGGUGGGGUAGAAAAGAAGCAAAACAAUCCCAGUUCCAAGCACCAUUAUUAUCGAUAAAAUUAGCUACACACUCAUUUAAUAUGUUUUCAGUGAUUGUACCGAAAGUACAAGAUUGCAACCAACGCCCAUCCUCCAGCCAAUAAUCUUUCCAAAAUCUAGCCAACUUCCCAUUCCCAAUAGCCCAGCGAGUCACUUAGAGAACCUCAUUCCAUACGUUUCCCACGAAUUUUCAUAAAGGAGAACUAUAUCAAGUAGGACGUUUUAGAGGAAGGUUUUUUUUAUCAACGCCAUAUUUAAACAUCAAUACUUGAAUCUAGAAGCUGUGGGGUGAUUCAAUAUGACCCUAACCAAUUUUCAUUAGCAAGGCUUUAUUCAUGAGAUUAAGAUCUUUAAGGCCAAGGCCCCCACAUAAAUUAAGGAGUUGUACUCUAUCCCCUUAAUAAGGUGUAUGCGAUGAGUCUCAUCAAUCUCGUUCUAGAUAAAAUGCUUGCAAAUCUGAUCAAUUUUACUACGAAUACUUAGAGGUAGCAUGAAGGUGUGCAUGGAAUAGGUUGGGAGAGCCAUAAUGAUCGACCGUUAAUGUUAUCGGACCUACAAGAGAAAGAUGUUUGGUUGUCCAACCUGGAAGUCUCUGUAGUGCUAAUGGUGGUCAAGGAUAAGGUACCAGUUUCAGUGGGAGACAUUGAGUUUGCAUGAGAAAUCUGGGAGAUUUCAUAGAGAAUGUAUGAGUUAGUAACAAUGGUAAACAUGAUUAAACGCGUGAACUAACAUAAAAUGAAAUACAAAAACUAAAUGAUAAAGCACGAGUUUUGAAAAAAGUUUAUUCUUCAAUCCACCAUCAAUUAAACAGAAGCAAGCCACUGUCAUUCUAAGUAAAAAAACAUAACAAAACCACCUAUAUAGGAAUAAUUUUUCAAUAUAGGAAUCUUGAACUUUUCAUGAAAAAAAUCAGUUUACAAUAUUAUAGGUACGUGAAAAAUAAAGUUUAUAACAUUGUAAAUCAGAUCACCAGCUAGAAUCUAACUCCACCUACAUGGUUUAGUAAACAACUAUAACAUUGCAUCCAACAAUGGCGUCACCAGAUUUAAAAUCCGCUCGAUGCAUUUGAGCAAUUGCAUAUCCACCAAUCAAUAGGAACUUGCCAGUGUCGCCGACGAUGGGCAUCUUACGGACAGGAACAAUCGACCUGUUGUUGCCAAGGAGGCUGAUAUAGCUACCAUUAUUAGGACCAUCAACGAACACAAAGCUCAUGGACAUGAUGAUAGCUAGUUGAUGCUGACAAGCCGACCCGUAAAGCCCUUGAGCACGACCAACAAACUUUGAUUGAGGACUAGUAGUUUCUAUCGACGAAUCAUUUGCCAAAUCACAACGCAGAAACGAGUUGGUGACUUGUAAGUAUCAGUGGCUUGAGCAAUGCUUUUUGCCACUACGUUUUUUUUGUUGUCUCUUUUGCGAAAUCAAGCCCCGUAGCCAAAGUCUCUCUGAUCGUAUUGAUGUUGCUGCCACCGGGCAAAUGAUGAGCAACAAAAAAACUACUUAAAACAUUACAGUAACUUUAAAACAAGGCAUGAAAUUAAAAGGAAGAGAAUAGAUGAUGCACUUUUGAAGGUAGAAAAGAAGGAUGAUUCAAGAUUCAUUUCAAAAUUUUUUGAAGUGUUUUGAUCAGUGAAUAUCCAAAGGUUGCUUAACUACAAAGGUGAAGUGGGAAGAAAUUUUGACAUUUUGUUACAUUGAGCUAGGCAGCGAAUGUAUAUGAGGGGCUUCACUUGUACACAUAAAAAAGGAAGAUUAAUUACUCGUGGUUUUUUAUUAAGAAAAAAAUGGCUUGCUUAAAAUAUAGAGUGUGGUUAAUUUCAUUGAAGGACAUGAUUCAAAGGAAAAGAAAAAGAAAUCUAAUAAUAAACUAAACAAAAAAUAAUGGCAAAAACAAUAUAUUUAAUUAAAUGUACAUUGAAAUUACCUUUAUAAUGCAACAAGAUAUUAAAAUCAAUAGUUUACGUUAAUAAAUGAAGCGUAAUUUAUUUAAUACUUAUUUAUGGACUCUUUCAAUUCCAUUAAAGCCACUGCAAGUCGUUUUUCAAUAUUCACUCAGAUAAAUAGAGGCUCAUGCCUUUCUGAUUCUUCCACAUCUCUUUCAAUUCUAAUUAACCCGUUUGCAAUUCUCUUAAGAAAUUCAAAAAUGUCGAAGAGUCUUACUUUCAUCAUUUUGGCUUUGCUUGUAGUGGCAAACACUAAAAACAUGCUUAUUUCAGCCAGUAGAACUAGCCAAGGAUCUAAGCCAGAGGCUUUAUUUUCUAUUAACCCUAUAGCAUCACCUGACAUUGUUGAUUGCUCAGGGCUCACAAGUGAAGAGUGUUUGAUCGAGUUGAUUAAGAAAGCACUUGUAGACUAUCGAUACCCCUGCCCUGAGGGGGGGUGCAAAUGACAUUGUUAAUAAGUUAUUUCUUUUACCUUGUAAGAGUGCUUUUGCAAUAAUGAUCAAUUACAGUGAAUUUGAAUUUGUGUUUUUAAUAAAAUAAAACAUUAAUCCAUUAUGCAUAGGUAAUAUUAUGUCAUAUGUUUUUGGUGUGUGUAUCUCCUACUGCUUUGUUAUAGAUGCAUCGUCGAAUCAAUCUUCGAGAAAUCAGUUUCUUUAAAUAAUAGCAAUUAUCAACCAAUCAACAUUACUAUGUUGGUACCAUUUGUAAUAUUUAAAUUUUAAGUCUAUCUACUUUUAGGGUGAGAUUAUUGAUUCCUAAGAAAAAUAAUAAAAUAAACCCUCAUUAUCGAAAUCCUAUAUUACUAAGCUGUCCGAUUUAAUUUAAUGUUAAACUUUAAUUUAACCCCUGAAAAUGUCUAGACUUACCUACAUUUAUUGCUAAGAAUAUGAUUUAAAAGUUCAUCAAUGUGCACCUCAUUUAUGCUCAUCUUUUGAAGAACAAAUAGGGUGGAUUGAGAUUUUCAUGCUUUUGGAGGGUAAAUUAAAGAUAGUUAUUAGGAGGGAACGAAUUGAAGUUUGUUUUUAAAUGCAAAGAUGUAUUCUUUUAGUUUAUUUGAGAUAGUUCGUUUGACUUUAAUUUAACAUAUGUUUUUGUAAUUGAAAUAUAGAUACUUCUUUAUUUUUGUUUUUAAGCUGAGUAAUAUAAUAUUUAUAUUUAAUUGAUCACUUAAAAAAUGUUUAUGCAUUAAUAUGUUAAUUUUUCGCGCCUUGGAAGGUAAUAAUUUUUUUUUAUAAAAAAAUAAUGCAAGCAACAGUAAGAAUUAAGAUUAAUCAUAUAAUGAUGCAAACUAUGGACAUACUAAUAAGUUGGUACACGGAAUCUUAAUCAAUGAUGUCUGGUUUCAGCUUUCCUUGUUUUUUCUUUCUUCGGUAAUGCUCUUAAGAUGUUAUGAAUUAAACAAAUAUAUGUUCCCAAUUAUGCACUCUUAUCAUAUAAGGAGCAUCAUAAACAGAGGAAAAACAAUUUCAAGUUUGGUGACCAAAAAGACUUGAAACAAUGCCUAAUGUCUUUGAAAGAAGUAGGGGAUUCAACAUAACUGUGUGGACUGAAUAGAGAAGUAGUAGCAAAUAGAACACUCAACAUAAAAGGCACCGAACAAAAUACAGUUAAAAGGCUGUUACAAGUGAAUAAAAGUUACAGAUUUUAUUUUGAAAUUAAAUUCUAAAAAUAAAUUUAAGAGUUAGUGUUUCAUUUUAUGGAUGUAAAUGCCCUUCUCCAAUUUCAUUUUAAAAACAUACCAAAAUCCAAGUAAUUUUUUUGCUCUCCUCUCUCAACUAAAAUCUUUCUAUCUUAGACUUCACGUGAUGGAGUUCCAACACUAGUUUGAAGUUCGCAAGAGUAGUGAGGUUAUGUUGCCGAGAACAUUUGACUUUAUAAUAUCCUAAGGGACAUUUGCUAAUAUAACCUAAGUACUACUGAGAAAAUGACAAAUCCUUUUUAAGGACAUUGUAACUGCACAUGCCUCAAUUUAAUUUAUGUUCUUCUCUUUCUUAUUGAUCUGUACUAGAGAAAUUAUCUCUACACCAACUCUGUUUUAUCAUAUGUACAUCUAGAUACUACAAAAUUUUAACAUGUUCUUUGCACUACCAUCAUUUCUGAACUUGUAUUAAUCGACUAAUUUGACAAUAAUAAUUAAAAUAAAAUGACCAUUUUACCCCUAAGUGAUCUAAAAGACCAUUUUAUCCCACGAAAUUUUUAAUUAAAAAACUAUGAUUACCAUUUAACUAAUUGAUAAAAUAUUAUUGAAAAAUCAACCUGCGCGUACUAUUUAACUAAUGGAUAAAAUAUUAUUGAUUUUUUCAAUUCUUUUGACCUAAAAAAUGUGUAAUUCCCAUCUUAAAUAUUUUCCUUUUUUUUUUAUCAAUUGUACAGUCACAAUUAUAAGACAAUUUUCAUUUUUUAAAUUAAUCACCAAAAUAACAAUAGUUUGAAUCAAUUUUGAAUAAUAAAAAUUAUAAAUUGGAAAAUGUAUCGAGUAAAAAUUAUAAUUAUAAAAAUUAACAUCGCAGAUUUUGAGAUUUUUUUUAUUAAAAUCAAAGGUAAUCUCAUAACUAUAAUUUUUUUUUUCAAAAAUUUUGUAGGAUAAAAUAGUCUUUCAUUUCAUUCAAGAAUAAAAUGGUCAUUUUAUUUCAUUUCUUAGUGUGAAAGUAGUUCACUGAAAAAACUUUAGAAACAAAGUGGUGAAAGAACAAGUUAAAAAUUUGUGGUAGUUAGAUAUAUGUAUGACAAAACAGUGGUGGUGCAGAGAUAAUUUCCCUUCAUACAAGGUUAUUAAAAAAUUUUGUUUCAAUAAACUCAUGACAAGUGUGUAGCUAGCUUACUAGUAAACUUAGGCACUCUUAGAAAGAUUCUAAAGCAAAAGUAAUGCCUGAAAAAUCUAGAUUUAAGUAAGGCCAUUUGUGACCCUUUUAGUCUUUUCUAAGAACUCAACUGGUAUAUUUUUUCAUACACUAUGGAUUGUUUUAUGUCAUUUAUUAGCAAUAAUUUUCAACAUAUAUUCCCAAACUUUACCAUUUUAUAGCUUGAAGUUCAUAGGGCUUUGGAAUUAGAUCAUUUACAAAAAUCUUUACAAGGUGAUAAUGAUACGGAGAGAAUAUGUAAAUUUUAAGUCAGCCAGUAUGAGGGCGCCUUCAACUUAAUUGGGGUCUUCACUUUUAAGGCACUACCAGGGUGGCCAUUGCCCUCAUUGCUUAUGUACCUUAACUUCAUAUAGAUUUUUACUUUUUUUCGAUCCCUUUUUUGGAGCACAAGUAGAUUGUCGAUUAAUGCCAAACGCACAAGAAUGUGGUCAAAUGCCUAGAUUAGGGAAAAAUAAUGAAAUUUAAAGUAAUACACCAGACUGCUGAUGUAUUAACAUUAUAUUGAAAUUCAAUAUUUGGCUACCAACAAGCACAUAUUAUAUAUAAAGAAUUAAACACACAAAUAAACAUAAAAUGAAAUACUUAAAUAAAAUGAUAGAGUGCAUGUUUUGGAAAAGUUUAUUCCUCAAUCCACCACUAAUUAAAUAGAAGCAAGUCACUGUCAUUCUAUGUAAACAUACAUAACUAAUCGCCUACUUAGGAAUAAUAUUUUGAUUUGGGAAUCUUGAAUUUUUCAUUAAAAAAUCAGUUUACAAUAUUAUAAGUACAUGAAAAAGAAAGUGUAUCUUGUAUGAGAGUUUUUUGCAUUACCGAUCAAUUGCAAUGAAAUCGAAGCUGCGUUUUAAUAAAAAGAAGAAAUGGAUCACACAUACAUAGUUCAUACUUCUAAAUGUUGGAUUAAAAUUUAUUAAAACACAACACGGGCAAAGUCACUAGCAAAUAAGAAAGAAUAGCAAAGUCAUUCUUAGGGAAUAUAUUGAAUAUCACUCUAGAUAUGUUAGAGUAGUAAACUUCACUCUGUAUUUUAUUAGAAGUAAUAGGACCAUUUGGUCCAUAUAUUGAAGAUGUAUCUACCUACAAAAGCAUAGUUAAUGGCCAACAAUAUCUCAUCUUAACCACACCAGAGAUAUCAUUUACAAUGUAUAAGCUAAAUUAGUAUAUGGCUGCUCCUACACUUCAACAACUAAUGGCUUGUAAACGAGUGUUAAGGUACUUAAAGGAACUGGAAGAUAUGGAUGAAACUAAUUGGAUUCACAGAUACAAAGUAGGCAUGUGAUUUGGAUGACAAAAAAUCGAUUGGAGUUUACUACAUAUACUUGGGAAACAAUUUAAUACAUGGUCAUCAAAAAAGCAAUCUAUGGUAGCAAGGUCCAGUGCAGAAAGUGAAUAUAGAGCACUUACAGAAUUAACUUGGUUGCAAUCAUUAUUCAGUGAAAUCGGAAUACAAUGUACAUUAGUUCCAUCAAUUUGGUGUGAUAAUGCAAGUGCCACUGAAUUAUCCAAGAAUCCAAUCUAUCACUCAAGAACUAAACAUAUUGAGUUGGAUAUGCAUGUUGAGUGUUAGAAAAUGCAUAUUUAUAAAGGAGAAAACCGUCAUUUUACAUUUUAAGUCUUACUAACAACCCUUACUUUUAUAUAUUUAACCUUCUUGUGAUUUAAUUACAUGUGUUUUAUUUUAAUUAAGUAUUUUAUGUAUUUUAGGGGCAUUAUAGUCAUUUCACAAUAAAGGAGAGAUCAGACGGCAAAACGGACAUCACUUUUGAACUCAGGACGGUCGAAAACCUUAGGAGGAGCAUAAAAGGAAAAAUGGCACUAUUCACAUGUACGGUACUAUUCACGUGUACGGUACUGUAUACGUUACUGUUCACGACACUGUUCACAUAGACGGAUGAUGACGUGGCAUUGACCGAUGAUGUGGCAUUGACUGAUGAGGUGUCACGAUCCUGUUGGACUAAAAUUCUUAUGUACUGUUGAUGGUGACGUGGCAGCAUAUCAGUGGACGAAAAAUCUCGCGUACGGUGCAUGCAUCACACAGGAUUAUUUUCAACCAAACCGCGUUACUGUUCAUCCGGGUCAAACCGUGUUACUGUUCAUCCACGUGGUCAAACUGUGGACUGUUGACUGAUGACGUGGCGCAAUCCUGAGCGUCUAAACUGUUUUUAAUCCGAUGGCCAUGAUUUACUCCAUGUAUCUAUAAAAAGGGGGCCUCCCCCCCCUAAUUUGAUAUCUCUGAAUCCAUUUUUGGACUCUGUUUUCUGUAAUUCCCUCUCCAUCUUGUAUUUUCUUCGUAUUUUAAUAAAUUCCUAUUUUGCCCCUAGUUCAAUUAUGAGUGGCUAAUUUUCUUUCAAGCUUGGGUUGAAGGUGAAGUCUCAACAUGUGUCAUGGGCUUAAUUUGGUAAAUUUAUUUUCUCUUCCCCUCUAGUUUUUGUGGAUGUUUUGACUUCUCGUCGACAAAUAAUACUAAUCUUGUCUAGUACCGCCUUGGUUUCACCGGCCCUCUAGUAUAAGGUUAUUAUUAUUUGGCACGAUAAGCCCUUAGCACCAUAUUGAUUAGAGCGUGGUUCAUGAGGUGUGGAUUCCCCCCUCAUGAUUUAAUUGGCAUUAAUAAGGAAUAUUUAGCCCAUGAUGCAUGUUGAUGCGGAUCCGAAUACCCAAGUACGUCAUUUCAAUAGAAUUAUCUUCAAUCUAUUCUUGCCAUUGCAAGUCAAAUUUUAGAAUUUAUUAUCGCCAUUUCAAUUCCAAUUUUAGAAUAAUUUAAAUCACUUCCACCACAAUUCCAACCACCCAUUUACAAAAUUAAUUCUACAUAUAAUUAAAAUCCACCUCCUCGUGGGAUCGACACUCGUCACCAUUGAUCUACACUACAAUAGAUUCGUGCGCUUGCGAGUACAUUAAAAUUUGCACAACAAGUUUUUGGCGCCGUUGCCGGGGAGGUAAGUAAUUUUAAUUCAUAGAAUUAAUUUUUGUGAAUAAUUUCUUUUAUUUGUUUUCUUGUAUUUUUUUUAUUAUUAAAAAAAAAAGAAAAAAAAAGUGAAUCUACAUUUAAAGGUUAGUAUUUCUUUUCUUUUUCUCUUCUUUAAAAUUUUGUAAUUUAAUUUUCCAUUUAUUUUUCUUUGUAAUUUUUUUUUAUCUUAUUAAUUUAAUUUUUAGUUAAUUUCUUUCACGUAUUUAUUUUUGUGUAUUUUUAUAGAAAGGUUGUAAUAGCGCAAUAAGGUUAGUAUCGUAAUUUCUCCCUCUUCUUUAUUUUUAUUUGUUUUGUUCCCAUCUUUAUUUUUUGUUUUGUUUGCAUCUUUAUUUUUAUUUUAUUUAUUUUGCAUGCAUGGUCGUAGGUCAUUAUUACCUAAUCUUGAACCUAUAGACCUUGAAUUAGAAAAAACACUUCGCACACACAAACACGUUAAAAAUAAAAUGGAUUUACAAGCACCACAGGAGAGGCCAUUUAAGGACUAUUUUAGUCCCUUAGCUAAUUUGAGCACGUCAUGCAUAAGAUACCCAAAUGUAGCUGCUAGGAGUUUUGAAUUAAAACCUAGUGUGUUAAAUUGUCUCCCUACAUUUUAUGGCCUAGAAAAUGAGGAUCCAUAUAAUCAUUUGAAUGAUUUUCAUGCCAUUUGUCAAACAUUCAAAUAUGAGAAUUUUUCAGAUGAUGAUGUUAAACUUAGACUAUUCCCAUUUUCUUUAAAAGAUAGAGCUCGUUCAUGGCUUAAUACAUUGCCUGCUAAUAGAAUUGCAUCAUGGGAACAAAUGGUUACAAAAUUUUUAAAUAAAUAUUUCCCAGUGCAUAAAACCAAUGCUAUUCGCAGGGAAAUCUCGGAGUUUACCCAGAAAGAUGACGAGCAAUUUUUCGAAACAUGGGAGCGAUUCAAUGGGCUACUCUUGAAGUGUCCACAUCAUGAGUACGAGAAAUGGCACCAAUGCCAAUACUUUUUGGAAGGAUUAUUGCCGAAUGUGCAAGAAUGGCUAAUGGCAACGAGUGGAGGAGAGCUAAUGUCAAAAAGUGCAUCAGAGAUUUGGGAAUUCUUCCAGCGACAAGCAGAUAAUUCCCAACAACGGAGUCGAUCACUCAAGACUACUAGAAGAAUUAAAGGAGUGAAUGAGGUUCAAAUUGGCGAAUCAAGUUCAGAAAUUAAAGAAGUCAAAGCGAUAAUUGAAGGUCUCUCUCGACAAAUAGCAUCAUUAUCGACUGCUAAAUCAACAGAGCCACAUGACCAUGACUCAUACUCAGAUCAAGCCAAUGCCAUAGGUGUAAUGAGAAAGCUAUCAAAUUACAACCCAUACUCCAACACAUAUAACCCUGGAUGGAGAGACCACCCCAAUUUUUCAUGGUCUCAAGGAUUCCAACAGAAUGGACCAACAGCUCCAGCUCCACCAAUUCCACAAAAUCCUCAAGCCUCUCAGCCACCAUUUAGACCAUACAAUCAGAACCAGAACCACUCUCAACCUAGACCAUGGGAGGAUACAUUCCAGAAUUUUAGGAAUGUUACUCACUCCACGAUUGAGCAACAGAACCGCACCAUUGAUGGACUACGAAAUGAGUUGAGAGCAGGCUUCAAUUCACAAGCCCAAUCAGUUUCAAGCCUCGAGAAGAUGGUGGGACAACUUGCUUCUUCAGUUCAGACCUUGGCAAUGACCGUUGAGAAAGGUAAGUUUCCAAGUCAACCAGUGCCUAACCCUAAAGGAGUACAUGAAGCAAGUACCAGUUCACCACAGCAGCAUGGAGAGGUCAAAGCAGUAAUGACCUUGCGAAAAGGAAAGGAAGUCGACAACAAAGUGGAGAUGCCGGUGACAAAAGAAAAUCAAAUUGUACCUGUGAAUGUUGAGGACUCAUCACCGGAGGAGAAAGAAGAAACUAACCCACGAGAAUAUGUUCCGAAAGCUCCAUUUCCUCAGAGGUUAGCUAAAGGAAAAAAGGGAAAAUCCACAGGUGAGAUUCUUGAAAUCUUCAAACAGGUAAGUGUUAACAUCCCUUUGCUUGAUGCUAUUAAACAAGUUCCAUCUUAUGCCAAGUUUCUUAAAGACCUUUGUACUAAAAAGAGAAAUAUGCAUGUUCAAAAGAAGGCAUUUUUAACAGAAAACGUUAGUUCUAUACUCCAACAUAAAAUUCCUUUAAAAUGCAAAGACCCAGGCUCCCCCACUAUCUCAUGUAGUAUAGGGAACCACACAAUUGAGAAUGCUUUGUUGGAUUUAGGAGCUAGUGUAAAUCUUUUGCCUUACUCUGUAUUCGUGAAACUUGGACUGGGAGAAUUACACCCAACUCCAGUGGUGUUACAGCUUGCAGAUCGGUCCACGAAAAUACCUCGUGGUAUUGUGGAGGACGUGCUUAUCCAGGUAGACAAGUUUUAUUUUCCUGUUGAUUUCAUUGUAAUUGACACUCAACCAAUACAGGAUUCAAGGAAGCACAUCCCCAUUAUUCUAGGCCGACCUUUCUUGGCAACUGCGGAUGCUCACAUUCAAUGCAGGACUGGAAAUAUGCAGUUGUCCUUCGGCAACAUGACUAUGGAGCUAAACAUUUUCAACAUUGCCAAACAACCUUACAGUGUAGAUGAUGGAAUUGUUGAUGUGGAUUUAAUUGAAGCAUUAGUUGAUGAUACUUUUGUUUCAAACCUUAGUGAUCCUUUACAAACAUGUUUAACUCACUUUGGUUUGGAUUUUGAUAUUGACAGAUCGGUCGAUGAGGUCAAUGCCCUGCUUGACUCAACACCAUCUAUGGACACUAAUAAAUGGAAGUCAAGAGUUGAGCAACUAGCACCAUCAGAGAAGCAACUCAUUCCAUCAUCAGAAUCACCACCGAAACUCGAGCUCAAACCAUUGCCCAACACUUUGGAAUAUGCAUUUUUGGGAGAAGAAAGUACUCUACCGGUAAUCAUCUCAGCAUCCCUCAAUGACGAACAAAAAGGUAAGUUGUUGGAUGUUUUGAAAGAGCACAAAGGGGCAUUAGGAUGGACCAUAGCAAACAUUAAAGGUAUAAACCCAGUAGACUGCAUGCAUUACAUUCACCUUGAUGAAAAUGCUAAAACUACUAGGGAGAUGCAACGUCGGUUAAAUCCUAACAUGAAAGAAGUUGUUAGAACUGAAGUCCUUAAGCUAUUAGAUGCAGGUAUCAUUUAUCCAAUUUCUGAUAGUUCAUGGGUCAGUCCUGUACAAGUUGUCCCCAAAACGUCAGGAGUCACAGUAGUUACGAAUGCUGAUAAUGAAUUGAUACCCACUAGAGUAACUACAGGAUGGCGUGUAUGCAUUGAUUAUAGAAAGUUGAAUUCUGUCACACGUAAAGACCAUUUUCCUUUACCAUUUAUUGAUCAAAUGCUUGAUAGAUUAGCAGGCCAUGAAUUUUAUUGCUUUCUAGAUGGCUACUCAGGAUAUAAUCAGAUUCCCAUAGCACCAAAAGAUCAAGAGAAAACUACUUUCACUUGCCCUUUUGGCACAUUUGCAUAUAGGAGAAUGCCAUUUGGAUUAUGUAAUGCACCUGCUACAUUUCAACGAUGCAUGCUAAGCAUUUUUUCUGAUAUGGUUGAACGAUUUCUUGAAGUCUUUAUGGAUGACUUUUCUGUCUUUGGUGAUUCAUUUGAUCAAUGUUUACAUCAUCUAACACUAGUUCUGCAGAGAUGUAUCGAGAAGAACUUGGUCUUAAAUUGGGAGAAAUGUCAUUUUAUGGUAAAACAAGGUAUUGUUCUCGGUCACAUCAUUUCGAGCAAAGGUAUUGAGGUUGACAAAGCCAAGGUGGAUCUCAUUUCUAAUCUUCCUCCACCUAAAACAGUCAGAGAAGUAAGAUCUUUCCUUGGGCAUGCUGGUUUCUAUAGACGUUUCAUUAAAGAUUUUAUCAAAGUUUCUAGACCCUUAUGCAAUUUACUUGCUAAGGAUGUACCUUUUAUCUUUAAUGAUUCAUGUCUUAUGGCGUUUGAAAAAUUAAAACGGUUGUUGACAUCAUCACCCAUCAUUCAGGCCCCAAACUGGAGCUUACCAUUUGAGCUAAUGUGUGAUGCAUCUGAUUAUGCAGUAGGAGCAGUAUUAGGACAAAGAGUUGAUCGAAUUCCCCAUGUUAUUUACUAUGCUAGUAUGACAUUAAAUGAUGCACAGUUGAACUAUUCAACUACUGAAAAAGAAAUGCUAGCAGUAGUGUUUGCAUUAGAAAAAUUUCGAUCUUAUCUCAUUGGUUGUAAAAUAAUUAUAUUCACAGAUCAUGCUGCUCUUAAAUAUCUUCUCACAAAGAAAGAUGCAAAAGCCAGACUAAUUCGUUGGGUGUUACUUUUGCAGGAGUUUGACUUGGAAUUCAAAGAUAAGAAAGGGACAGAAAAUGUUGUGGCGGACCAGCUCUCUCGUCUCCAUUUUGACACAAUUACAGAAUCAUUACCAUUGAAUGAGUCAUUUCCAGAUGAACAAUUAAUGAAUGUGGAAGUAUUACCUUGGUAUGCUGAUAUAGUUAAUUAUCUUGUUACAGGUAAACUUCCAGAGCAUUGGACCAAGCAAGACAAGGCUAAAUUCUUUGCAGAGAUAAAGAAUUUCUUUUGGGAUGACCCGUAUUUGUUCAAGUAUUGUGCAGACCAAAUUGUUAGACGAUGUGUCCCAGAAAGUGAAAUUCAGAAUCUCCUUUCAUUCUGCCAUGAACAAGCUUGUGGAGGCCAUUUCAGUGCUAAGAAAACCGCGACUAAAGUUUUACAAUGUGGUUUUUAUUGGCCAACUAUAUUUCGAGAUGCUUACACUUUCUGUUCUUCAUGUGAUAGGUGUCAACGAAUGGGGAGCAUUACGCGAAGGAACAUGAUGCCACUAAAUCCAAUUUUAGUGGUUGAGAUUUUUGACGUAUGGGGUAUCGACUUCAUGGGACCCUUUCCCCCGUCUUUUGGUCAUCAAUACAUAUUGGUUGCUGUUGACUACGUAUCGAAAUGGGUAGAAGCAAUUCCAUGUAGGACCAAUGAUCACAAGGUGGUGAUAGGAUUUUUGAAAAGCAACAUUGUCUCGCGCUUUGGAUUCCCUCGAGCAAUAAUCAGUGAUGGUGGUGCCCACUUUUGUAACAAAGCAUUCAAAGCUCUUUUGACAAAGUAUUCAAUCACACACAAAGUGGCGACCCCGUAUCAUCCGCAAACUAGUGGCCAAGUUGAGAUCUCCAAUCGAGAAAUAAAGCACAUAUUAGAAAAGACGGUGAGGCCGGACAGAAAAGAUUGGUCAUUAAGACUUGAUGAUGCAUUAUGGGCAUAUAGAACGGCUUUCAAGACCCCGAUUGGGAUGUCACCCUACAGGCUAGUAUAUGGAAAAGCUUGCCACCUACCUGUGGAACUCGAGCAUCGUGCAUAUUGGGCCAUCAAGAAAUUCAAUUUUGACAUGCAGCAAGCCAGCUCAGAAAGAAGAUUACAGCUGGCAGAACUUGAAGAAAUUCGCAAUGAUGCAUACGAAAAUGCCAAGAUUUACAAGCAACGAAUGAAAGUCUUCCAUGAUAAGCAAAUUAUGAGAAAAUCGUUCACUCCAGGUCAGAAAGUGCUUUUGUUCAAUUCUCGCUUGCACCUAUUCCCAGGUAAGUUACGCUCUCGUUGGUCUGGUCCCUUUAUUGUUCAUACUGUUUUUCCACAUGGGGCAAUUGAAAUUAAGGACCCAAAGAACGGUGUCACGUUUAAAGUUAAUGGUCAAAGAUUAAAGCCAUAUCUAGAGUACCAACCACAUGGAGAAGACACCGAAAUAAAUUUGAGUGACCCACCAGAUUUGAAUUGAUUUUUUUUUUCUUUUCAUUGAUUUGAUUUUUCUUUCUUUCUUUUUAUUAUUAUUCUUUUGCUAAUUGAAAUUGUUUUUGCAUAAGUGUGUUUAUUUUACCAUUAAGUUUUCUCUUAUCAUUUUUAAUCAUGAGUCUCAUACUUAGACCGUUCCUCCUGAACAUUCUUAAACCACUUCAACGUGUCAAAACUCAUCUCAAAAGACAGAUUCAAUUUUGUAAAACACAUCGCAUUUGGGCUCUACAACCACCAGAGUUAGUAGCCUAUGUUGAGGGUUUAGAACACCAACUCAGAGACAUUGAGAGAAGUGUUUACGACAUCCAGUUGGAGCUUGAGGUAAAUUCAAUAAGAGGACGAUUUUAAUUUUCUUUGUGUGUUUUAAUUUGUUUUUCUAUUUGUGUGCUUUAGUUUGUUACCCCGGUGAAGUGGCGGAUAACGGUACUCCGUGACAAUCAAGUCGGUUACUUCAGUUUCCCAUAAUAACUGAUAUUCUGAGGCGAAGGUAUGGACAGAAAUGAGAUUCUAGCAAAGCUUCACAAGCGAUUCCCUUCACUUCCUCAGAAUGCCCUCCUUACGAUCUAUAAAGCUCGGUCCGAACGCAUGCGAUUAUUCAUGAGGAAUAACAUACCUGCUGACAUCCGUUGGUUAAUCGAGGCUAAAGUACGAUCGGCAGGUGAGUUACCUCCAAAAUUUAUUGCAUACAUGCCUGGUUGUGGUAAAGGAAAUUAUGCAAGAAAACGACGAGCUCGAAGAAUUUCUGUUGCUUGUCAUAAGUGUGCCAGAAUGAGUUGCAAUAAAAACCCAUGUUCUUUAGGCAUGAUGUCUGAUAACAGGGAAGAUAAGAUUCAAUUCAUUAGGGAUGGCUUGAAUAAGGAGUCAUUGGAUGAUAUCCUUUUGUCUCUUGAAACGCAUCCCAGUGGAUAUGUGCAAGGAGCGAUUCUCCAGUUAUGGCCAUUAUUCCAGAAAGAGCAUGCACGAUAUAGUCUCGGGAAUCUGACUAUAAACGACCCUGUUUGCCAGUUUAUAAGAAAACUGGAUAGGAAGCCUAUCCUCGACCCAUAGAGGGCGUUCAAGCCGUUUCUGGACGUAAAACCAGAGGAAGAUGUGAGCCACAGUCGCAACUACCUGUAAAUAUCCUUUUACUUUAUUGUUAUUUUAUUUCACUAUUGUCUUAUUGUUUGUAUUAUUGUCUUUAAUAAUUUUAUUACUGUUUGCUUUUUCCUUUUUACUGUUUUCUUUUUUACUUGCAAGCCACGUGCUUUACGCGUUAUUUGACACUAACAUAUUACCUCAUACACGACCAUGACCCACUAUCACCGAGACUCUUAAAUGUGAUUUCUUUUUUGUCAAGCACUCACAAAUUAUUUUUGAGAAGUAUCACAAUGUCAGCUACUCCCAAUAGACAAUUCAAGAACAUUUGUGUGCUUUCUGGAUUUACAUAUGGCAAACAUAAAGAGUUCGUUGAGGCAGCCAUAGAUCUUGGUCGAAGCAUAGAAGCGAGAAAAUUACACUUGGUGUAUGGAGGAGGUAACCGAGGGUUAUCAAAAAUGGUCUCAGAAGCAGCUUUUAUCAGAGGAAGUCAAGUGUUAGGCAUCAUCCCAAGAGUCCUAAAACCAUUGGGCAGUUCGUCUGACUCAUCAACUGGAGAAGAGUUAGUCGUCUCAGGUAUGCAAGAAAGAAUCACUGCAAUGCUUAAUCAUGCUGACGCUUUUAUUUUCCUUCCAGGAGAUCUUGCAACACUAGAGGCACUUAUCACACUAGCAUCUUGGGCCCAUCUGCACAUCCACCAGAAACCCAUCGGUUUGUUAAAUGUCAAUAACUUUUAUGAUGGCUUUAUCGCAUUUCUUAACCAUGCAAUAAAAAACUAUUUCAUUCCCGCUAAUGUGAAAAAACUCUUUAUUUGUGCUCACACUGCUAAUGAGCUACUGGAUCUAUUACAAGCUUAUAGACCGGAGCCAGACCCCUGGACCUUUGUGUUGGAGCGUCCAAAUAAUGAUGGUAACAAUAGCAGUAGUAAGAAGUACAAAUUAGAUUUAACUCUCCGCCUGUAAAUAUUUUCUUCUGUGUUGCACCACCCAGGUGAUGUCUUCUAAACUCUACUUCUUUCAUUUCAAACAUUGAGGACAAUGUUUCGUUCUGGUUGGGGGGAGGGAAUAGUCGACAAUUAUGAAAUUUUGGUUAAGUUUUUACUAAUUUUUUGUUGUAGAAACUAACUGUUGCUAACUUUUUGUGUUGAAGAUGGCUGAAUAUGGAGUGUAGUGACUCUAGAAACGCAUCUUCAUCGUUUAAAAAAAAAAUUAAAAAAAAAACUUAAAAAAAAAAAUUAAGACAUUUUCUUUUUUCUUUAUUAUGUGUUUAUGUUUAUUUUUCUUCUUUUUAAUUUAUCCUCUAUAAAAAUGCAUUUUCCAACUUUUGAGUCGAAGAUGGCUGAAUAUGGAGUGUAGUUCCUCUAGAAACGCAUCUUCUUUAAAAAAAAAAUAAUAAAAAAAUUAUUUUCUUUUCUAUCAUUUUAAAUGUAACUUUUCUAAAUUAAUUUUUCUACAUCAUUUUCACAUUUCUGCAUGCAUAUUUUUUUUUUUUUUAUGUUUAGAAUAGGUUGGGGGGUAGAAUGUUGUUUAAAAAAAAAAUUUUUUUGAUUUGUUUUAACAUUGGGUGACAUGAUUAAUUUAAAUUUUAGUAUUUGUAUUAUCUUUGAUCUUAAGUGAUGUUACAUUAUGUUUGCUACUNNNNNNNNNNNNNNNNNNNNNNNNNNNNNNNNNNNNNNNNNNNNNNNNNNNNNNNNNNNNNNNNNNNNNNNNNNNNNNNNNNNNNNNNNNNNNNNNNNNNNNNNNNNNNNNNNNNNNNNNNNNNNNNNNNNNNNNNNNNNNNNNNNNNNNNNNNNNNNNNNNNNNNNNNNNNNNNNNNNNNNNNNNNNNNNNNNNNNNNNNNNNNNNNNNNNNNNNNNNNNNNNNNNNNNNNNNNNNNNNNNNNNNNNNNNNNNNNNNNNNNNNNNNNNNNNNNNNNNNNNNNNNNNNNNNNNNNNNNNNNNUUCUAGCCAUCCCUUUUAUUAAAUAUCCACAGUUAACCCUUUGACCCUUUAAAAAAAAAAAAAAAAACAUUUUCUUUUGUCAACUUAUCAUCUUGACCCACUCCGAUUUGGAGUAUUACCCGAUGUCUUAUAAGUUCCAUCACCUAUUUAUGUUUGAGAAAAUGUAAAUAAUUAUUUUGUUCAGUGAAGUUAUGCCAAAUAAAAGCAAAAAACAAAAAAAACAAAAAAACAAAAAAACAAAAAAACACCAAAACAAAAGUUGUUGUUUCAAAAGUUGUUGUUUCAAAAGAACAAUAAUAGGUGAAAUCCACCUUGCAACUUCCAAAAAAAAAAAAAAAAAAUCUCUGCAUUUUUCUCAAACAUACACUUUGUUUUCCUUAAUUCCUUUCUUUGUUAACCAUGUCCCUAGCCUACGUUACAUCCUAAUAAAAGUCCUUCCUGAUUUUAGGGAACUAUAAUCUGAAGUAGAAGCUAGUUAUAUGGGCUAAAAAGAUGUAGUGAUGCAUAAUUAAAAAAAAAAGAAAGAUAAAUAAAGUGGGUUGACUAACAUUUUAUUUGACUUGAGAUCGUAUUAUUUCUAAGCUGAGGGCAUAUUUAUUUCAUCUUGGUGAGAGCAUGUGAUAUCACUUCUUUAUUAUUUUCUCUCUCAAUUACCAUUCAUUGGAGUGACUAUUUUUAUUGGGAUUAAUUUAUUUGUGAGAGUGUCACUACUUCCAGUGAGAUUUUGGGGUUUGACAUGUCAUUCUUGAGAGUAGCUAAAACAAAGUCUACUGGGCUAAUUCAUGUGGAUGGUUGAUGUGGGUGUGAUGUUGCUUUAGACUGGAGAUAAUGCUUAUACUUUUAUUUGAUUGCUAUCAUUAAUCUGAUGGAAUAAAUACGAGUGUUUCUAUUAAAACAAAAAAAAAAUUAUUUUGAAUUUGAAUUUUGUUUUCGCUUUAUUUGCUAGGGACUAGCAAUAAGCUGGUUGGAGGGUGUGUUGAGUGUUAGAAAAUGCAUAUUUAUAAAGGAGAAAACCGUCAUUUUACAUUUUAAGUCUUACUAACAACCCUUACUUUUAUAUAUUUAACCUUCUUGUGAUUUAAUUACAUGUGUUUUAUUUUAAUUAAGUAUUUUAUGUAUUUUAGGGGCAUUAUAGUCAUUUCACAAUAAAGGAGAGAUCAGACGGCAAAACGGACAUCACUUUUGAACUCAGGACGGUCGAAAACCUUAGGAGGAGCAUAAAAGGAAAAAUGGCAUUAUUCACAUGUACGGUACUAUUCACGUGUACGGUACUGUAUACGUUACUGUUCACGACACUGUUCACAUAGACGGAUGAUGACGUGGCAUUGACCGAUGAUGUGGCAUUGACUGAUGAGGUGUCACGAUCCUGUUGGACUAAAAUUCUUAUGUACUGUUGAUGGUGACGUGGCAGCAUAUCAGUGGACGAAAAAUCUCGCGUACGGUGCAUGCAUCACACAGGAUUAUUUUCAACCAAACCGCGUUACUGUUCAUCCGGGUCAAACCGUGUUACUGUUCAUCCGCGUGGUCAAACCGUGGACUGUUGACUGAUGACGUGGCGCAAUCCUGAGCGUCCAAACUGUUUUUAAUCCGAUGGCCAUGAUUUACUCCAUGUAUCUAUAAAAAGGGGGCCUCCCCCCCCUAAUUUGAUAUCUCUGAAUCCAUUUUUGGACUCUGUUUUCUGUAAUUCCCUCUCCAUCUUGUAUUUUCUUCAUAUUUUAAUAAAUUCCUAUUUUGCCCCUAGUUCAAUUAUGAGUGGCUAAUUUUCUUUCAAGCUUGGGUUGAAGGUGAAGUCUCAACAUGUGUCAUGGGCUUAAUUUGGUAAAUUUAUUUUCUCUUCCCCUCUAGUUUUUGUGGAUGUUUUGACUUCUCGUCGACAAAUAAUACUAAUCUUGUCUAGUACUGCCUUGGUUUCACCGGCCCUCUAGUAUAAGGUUAUUAUUAUUUGGCACGAUAAGCCCUUAGCACCAUAUUGAUUAGAGCGUGGUUCAUGAGGUGUGGAUUCCCCCCUCAUGAUUUAAUUGGCAUUAAUAAGGAAUAUUUAGCCCAUGAUGCAUGUUGAUGCGGAUCCGAAUACCCAAGUACGUCAUUUCAAUAGAAUUAUCUUCAAUCUAUUCUUGCCAUUGCAAGUCAAAUUUUAGAAUUUAUUAUCGCCAUUUCAAUUCCAAUUUUAGAAUAAUUUAAAUCACUUCCACCACAAUUCCAACCACCCAUUUACAAAAUUAAUUCUACAUAUAAUUAAAAUCCACCUCCUCGUGGGAUCGACACUCGUCACCAUUGAUCUACACUACAAUAGAUUCGUGCGCUUGCGAGUACAUUAAAAUUUGCACAACAAUGCACAUUGUGAGAGGCAAAAUACUUGUAAAAGAACUUGAAAUCAGUUAUAUAACAUGUGUAGAACAAAUUGCCCAAUUAUAUCUUUACAUAUUAAUUUUGCUAGUAUAAUAUCCUUGAGAAUAAUUUGAAUCAAAUGAUUUUGUUACUUUGGCAAUAAUUAAAUAAUAUUAGAUUGAAUUGUUGUGUCAUUUGUUUAGCUUAUUUUAACCCUAUGUAAAAUUAGCUUCGGCAAGUAAAAUGAAAUUUACACUAUUAAAAUCUUUGUUUGUGGUAAUAAAAGUUCACUUGGAAUUUUAUAAUAUCAACUUGAAAUUUAACUCAAAGUAUUGGUAGUUAAGGAUUUCAAUAGAAAUAUUAAAUAGAAACAAGUAGUUAACAAGUUAAACCAAGUUAACCUAUAAUUGAGUAUGUUUAACUAAACUAAGGGGCUAAUUUUACAAAAAGUUAAACAAUAGAAAGUAAAUUUGGCAUUAAACCCAAAUAGUUAAAAUUUUACCAAGUUAUUGGAAAUAGUCAAACAAAAGCAUUGAAAUAAUAGUUGAAACACAUAAGUUAAAAAGGGAUAAAAUAUUAACCAAAUUCUAAUUUUAAAACUCAUCCAAUAAGAAAUGAAUUUACUUAGAAUUUAACAAAAAGUAUUGGUAUUUAAUGAACUUAAUAUGAACAUUAAACGCAUAGCUGGUAGAUUUAUAAGUUAGAAAUAUGUAAACCUAGAAGUAAGAAGGUUUAACCAAAAUUAAGGAAUAAAAAAAAUAAAAAAGUCCAAUUGGUAUUUAACCUAAAUAAUUGCAACCUUACCUAAUCAGUAGGAAUAUUCGACAAAAAGAUAGUGGAAUAAUUAGUUGAACCAUAUGAACCUAGAAGGGAGAAAAUUUAAGCAAAAUUAGGAACUUAUCCAAUGGGAAUAAAUAUUAUUUGGAAUCUAACCCAAAAUUGGUAUUAAAUGAACGUAGUAGGAAUAUAAAACAUAAAACUAGUAAACUACUAAUUAAGUUGAAGUAUGUGGACCUAUAAGUGAGAAAAUUUAACCAAAAUUAGAGACUAGUUUAACCAAAAAUAAAAUUAUAAAAAAUAAAUUUGGUGCUUACCCUCAAUAAUUAGAAUCUUAUUAAGUUAAUAGAAGUAUUCAACACAAAAAUAUGGAAAUUAGUAGUUGAAACUGGAACCCAUAAGAGAGAAAGUUCAAGUAAAAUUUGGAACUCAUCCACCAGAAAUAAAUUUAACUUGGAAUCUAACCAAAAUAUUGGUAUUGAAUGAAUAUAGUAGGAACAUCAAACACAAAACUUGAGGACUAAUAUGUUGAAAUAUGUGAAUUGUAACAUCCAAUUAAUAUAUAUGUAUUUAACUAAAAGAGUUGGAUAUGAUUAUUUUAUAAUUUUUAAUAUCAUUUUAAUUAUAAUAUUUUUCUCAUUCAAAUAUUUUUAUUUUAGCAUUUUUGCAUCAUUAGUUUAGCACACAUCAUUAGCAUUGCAUGCGUCGUUGGUCUCGUGCAAAUAGUGGUAGAUUGAUUAGAAAAUCACCUUCACCACCCUUAAAUAUGGCUGACAUAGGAGCUGAAAAUAUUUCGGAGCACGAAAAUGACCAAGCCUUGCAAAAUCUUCAUGAACAACCUAGGACCCUUAGAGACUUCAUGCAUCCUACUAGAACAUGUCACCAUCAUGCAUAUUUUUCCCUCCUGAUGCAUCACGUUUUAAUUUCAAGCCUGGUAUCAUUCAACUUUUGCCUACCUUUUAUGGUUUUGAGUCUCAAAAUCCAUAUUUGCAUUUAAGGGAAUUUGAGGAAGUCUAUAACACCUGUACUGAUCAAAAUUGUAGCAUGAAUAUUAUUAGACUUAAGUUUUUUCCUUUCUCACUAAAGGAUAAAACUAAAACUUGGCUACAAAAUCUUAGAUCAGAAUCCAUCAGAACAUGGGAUGAAAUGCAAGCACAAUUUUUGAAAAAAUUCUUCCCACCCCACAGAACAAAUUCUUUCAAAAGACAAAUUACCACUUUCACUCAAAAACCAGGAGAAACUCUCUACCAAUGUUGGGAUAGGUUUAAAGAACUACUUAACAUUUGCCCACAUCACGGUUUUGAAACAUGAAGAUUAGUGUCUUAUUUCUAUGAGGGAUUAACAUCCUAAGGUAGACAAGUCGUUGAAAUGAUGUGUAAUGGUGAGUUUAGGGAUAAAAGUCCUAAAGAUGCAUUAGACUAUCUGGACUAUAUAGCAGAAAAUGCACAACACUAGGAUAUAGUUGGUUCUUAUGAGUGAUCAAGUAAACCCCAAUCAUCUCCAUCUGGUGGAGGCAUGCAUAACCUUAGGGAAGACCAUGAUUUUCAAGCCAAAUUUGCAUCGUUAGCUAGAAAAUUCGAAGCAUUAGAGUCGAAAAAGAAUGAUCAUGUAAAGUCUGUUCAAAAUAUUUCAUGUUAUGUUUGUGAUUCUACUGACCAUUCUACGCAGGACUGUCCAACUUUACCAGCCCUGAGAGAAAGUCUGCAUGAACAAGUAAAUGUCGUUGACAAUUUCAAAAGGCCAAAUCUAAAUCCAUACUCCCAAACUUACAACUUUGGUUGGAGAAACCACCCAACUUUCAGUUGGAGAAAUGAUAAUCAUGCACAAUCUUCACAACCAGUUCCUCCACGCCAAAAUUUUCAAAACUCUCAGAGUUACCCACCAUAUGUCCCACCACCAAGAAAACCUCUGGAAGACACAUUGCAUUCAUUUAUUGAAAAACAAGAGUCGAUAAAUAACCAAACGAUGCAAACCUUAACCAAUUUGACAGAAACUAUCGCCAAACUUACAUAUGCUCUGACCAUACAUGGAAAAGGAAAGUUUUCCGCUCAACCUGAACCAAACCCCAAGAGUCAACAACAUCCUCAAAUGGGAAAUUCAGGAAAUCAAAAUAUGAGUCAAAUCAAAUCGGUUAUAACCCUUCGUGGUGGUAAAGUAGUCGAAAAACACAUUGUGGACCCUCGUGAAACUAGUAAAGAUUCAAUUUCAGAAAAUAAGGAAGAGUCUUUCGAACCUUUAAACCAUGAAGAAAUAACCAACUCUCCUCUUGUACCCUCAUUUUCUCAAGCACUGAUCAAGCCAAAGAAAUCAAACCACAGUCCAUAAAUUUAUGAAGUUUUUAAACAAGUUAAGGUCAACAUUUCUCUACUGGAUGUCAUUAAACAGGUGCCUUCUUAUGCUAAAUUUCUGAAAGAUCUGUGCAUAGUGAAAAGGAAACAUAAGGUGCAAAAGAGAGUUUUUCUUGCAGAACAAGUAAGUUCCAUUCUCUCAACCAAUAGUGCUUUGAAAUAUAAGGAUCCUAGUUGUCCAACUAUUUCUUGCACUAUUGAGGAUUAUAAAAUUGGACAUGCUUUACUUGAUCUUGGUGCUAAUGUUAAUUUGCUUCCUUACUCAGUGUACUAACAACUCAAUCUCGGUGAGUUAAAACCAACUUCUACCACUCUUUUACUUGCUGAUAGAUCGAUUAAGGUCAAGAGGAAUAAUGAAGAUGAAUUAGUUCAAGUCGAUAAAUUCAUAUAUCCUCUGGAUUUUAUUGUUCUGGAAACGGAACCAAUUGCUAAUGAAUGCAAAUAAAUUCCUGUUAUAUUGGAUCGACCAUUUUUAGCUACUGCUAAUGCUUUGAUAAAUUGCAGGAAUGGAUUAAUGAACUUAUCUUUCGGCAACAUGGCACUGGAACUCAAUGUGUUCAACAUGUGUAAACAACCUCACCACCAGGAAGAUGAUGAUAAUGAGAAUGAGGAAAUUGAUCUCAUCGAGCCAAUCAUUGAGGAACACAUUCAGGAUGAGAAUUUUAGAAACUCUGCAGAAAUUUGUUUUGCUAGUUUUGUUGAAUCAAGUAAGGAAUUAGAUUUCGAUACUGCUAGCAUAUGCCCUACAUUUGAUUCUAUGCAGGUACCUAUAGGUGACGAUGACCAAUCGAACUUUGAAGAUACGGUACAACCUGAAUAAGCAAACGAAGAGGAAGCAUUAGAGCUCGAAUUAAAGCCCUUACCAGACGAAUUGAAGUAUGCCUAUCUUGGAGAGCAGCAGACAUAUCCGGUGGUAAUUUCUUCUUAGCUCACGCAUAAUCAAGAAGGUAAGUUGUUAUCUGUACUAAAAAGGCAUAAAACUGCAUUUGGUUGGAUAUAAAUGAGAGUAUUAAAAUUAUAGUUUGAAUACAGAGAGUGGAUCCUAAACCUUAUCUUAUUUUUUAAAUUGAUUUCAAAUAAUUUAUUUUCCCCACAAUUAAUUUUCUUAGUUUUACUAAAUUUAAAACUUAUUGUGGUUCGACCCCGGUCUCACCGGGUUAUAUUAUAACUAGACACUCUUAUACUUGAGAGUAAUACACUUUUGAGUCGUGUCAAAAAUCAUGGGCUAUAUCACCAGAUUUCUUUUCGAAAUAUUAAAUUCUAUAAAUAUAUUUUGUAAUCCAAAAUAUAUUGGGACUCUAUAAAUAAACACUUAUGCACAACUUAGAUUUCUUAUAUAGUAGAAUUUUGAUAAAUUAUUAGCAUUGAGACUAUGAAAUUUAUUAAUUUAGCGAGUAAUAAUUUAAUGAUAAAUUAAUAAAAAAAUUAAUAAUUAUUAAUUCACCAAGAUGCAUCACGUUCAUAGUAAAAUUUUUCUUUUUUAUGAAGUAUAGAGAUUGUAUAAUUAGAGAAUAUAUUAAUUCUUCAAAUUAUGUGAAACGAUUUUGAUAUGAUCUUAAUUAAGUGAACCAAUCACUUGAUAAUUCUUUAACUAAACGAAAGGCUUACAACAUUGCAUUAGUACAACAAAGAAAAUAGUAAACAUAUUAUAUGUAUUUAAUUUCAAAUUAGUUAAUUAUUAAUUUGUGUCCUAUAGAAAAAUAAGAUUAUUUUUUCCAAAUCUUACUUUUUUAUUAAUUUAUCGAACUAUUCAGUUACCACAAUGACCCCCAGAUCAAAAUCAACAAAAAUUAUUAUUUAUUCGAAGUUAUUAUUUUAUCAAAUAUUAAUUUAAUAAAAUUCUACUGUGUUUUUUGAACACUUAUAAUUGAGGGCUUGAGCAGUGUGAGACUACAUACCUAGUGCCAUAUAUUUCAUUAUUUCUUUAUUAUGGAUGUAUGAAAAUUUGAAUUGAAUGUGGUACAAUAUUGUAUAUUAUAUUUUUGGAAAAAGACAUUCUUACAAAAGAUUGCGCAACACUUUGUAUAAAAUUGUGUGUUUUAAUAAAACAAAAUUGUAAAACAUUCAUAAAAUUUUAAAGAUUAAUCAUUUACAUCCCUAUUUUGAUUCUUUGGUUGAAAAAUGUCGGCAAAAAUGGUAUCAGAGCCAAGUUUUAGGCUCAGAAUAUAAAAAUGGAAGAAAUAGUUGUUUAUUUUGUAAAUAAUAGAGGAUAUAAUUUAAUGAUAGAUAGUAAUACAAUUAAGGAUAACAUAACUAAAUAUAGACAAUAUUAUUGUUCAGAACAAAAUAUAUUAGAUGAUAACAACUAGAACAAUUGUAUUUAUCCGGAGAGCUCAUGAAAUUAGAAUUGGAGAACUCAUAAUAAUAAAGAAUAGAAAUUUCAACAUAGAUCCUUCUCUCAUAUUCACAGUUACGAGAGAAGUUUAUAGAAAUAAUUUUUCUUGGAAAUAAUGGAAUAAUGAGGAUUAUAUAGAUGAACUUGUGAUUGAUUAUAAUAGAUUUUUAACUAUUAACCAAAGAGAUGAAUACAAUUGGAAUAAAUAAAGGAUCAGAAGUGAAUACUAUCCUUCUAGCAACAUUCUGAUAGGAUACAAAGAUUUAAUUAUAUAUAAGCUUUGUUAUAUACAUAAAGGAUUAGAAGAAAACAAUAUUUCUAAGGAUAUAAAAAAUAUUAUAUAUCACAAAUACUUGAUAGAAUAUAAUGAAAUAUUAUACAGAUGGUAUUAUGAAUAUAUUACUAGAACCAUUGAUAAUUUCACAAAAUAUAGAAACCAAUAAAUUUCCACCUUCUCGCUAUAGGCAUAGAGGAUUUACUUAUGAAAGAUUUCAACCAUUUGAUUUGGUAAAUGAUUUUGAUAUGUAAGGAAGUAAUAAGUUAAACUAGAUUUCUCUAUAUUUAUUAAAUAAAUUUGGAAAUCCUAAUUUAACCAUAAAUGAUAUAGAAGAAAGUGCAAAUGAAAUACUUGAAAUUAAAAGCUUUAAUACUGAAAAUAUAACACAAGUUAAAAUGUUAAAAGAUCAAAUGAGUGAAGAAUUUGAUUCACUCAAACAAUUAUAAAAGACUUCAAAAUUGAAGAUUAAGAUAGAUUGGAAUAAGAAAUCAUUAAUGUCAUGAACAAAAAUUCAAUUGAAGAUAAAUUAAAUAAGAUAGAAAUUCAAUUACAUAAAAUUAGAAAAAUCGUUGAACAACUUGGUAAUAAGUUUGAAUAAGUAUAAAUGGAAAAUUAAAAAAGGAUUGAAGAACAAAAGAUUAGUAACAAUAUGGAAGAAUUACUCAAUGGUAAUUCAAGAACAAAAUAAAGUUUUACUAGAUACCAUAACCUAGUACAAUGAAAAGAAAAAUAAAGAAAUGCUAGCAAUAUCAUGAUCAAUAUUUAACAAAGUAAAUGAAGAUAAAAAAAUUAGUAAGUUUAAGGAUGCUAAGCAAAAAUGUAGACAAUGGAAGAAUUAUCUAAUCCAGAAAUAUUGGAGGAAGAAUAUGAAGAGGAAGAAGAUGUAUUUAUUAAUUUAUAAGAUAUUGAAAAUAAACUAGAACUUCUAAAAUGAAUGAAUCAAAGCCAAGAGACUUUGAACAAGGAGAAUUUAGUAAUAGAGCUUCUUAUGCUAGGGAACAAAUACCACCUCAUGAAAGACUACAAGGUCAAUAUUUUAGGGUUAACAAACCUAAAAAAAAAUAUAAAACUCUAGGAGAAUAUAGAGAAAGACUAAUCAACCAUGAUGUAGUAUGGUUAGAUUUAGACUGUGUCAAAAAUAGUGAUAAACUUAUUACCACUUAGGUUAAAUCUAUGAAAAUUGCAUUUGCAUUUAACAAAAUAGAUAGAAACAAUGGUAUAGAGUUCCUUAAAACUUCAUUUAUACGAAUAGUGUCAUAUUGGUUUAUGGGAUUGAAAGAUACCGACAAAAAUAAAAUAUUAUAUAGCGAAAAUAAUAAUUAAAACGAAAGCUUGGAUCAAGUCUUAAAUAAAUUUGAAAAUAAAAUAAGAAAAGAAUUCUUACGAGAAGAUUGGGAAAUUGAUUUUCAACAGGAAAUAAAGAGGAAACGGAUGGAAAACGUAAUGAAGCUAAAAACACUUGAAAUAUGUAAUAUAUUUUAUCUAGAAGAAUACACAUGUAGCUUUGAAGAAUUACAUUAUAAAUGUGAAUUUGAUAAAGUUGAAAAUACCAUAUGCUAUUAUAAUGAUCAAUAUUUUAUAAAGAUACCAAAUCCAUGGGGGAAAAUGAUUAUGUUAGAAUAUAACAAGGAAUAAAUUGAUACCCUAAGAAAUAGGAUCAGAUUUGCUCGAAAUAGAAUUAGUGAACAGUAUGUUGAAAAAAGAGUUAAGAGACUUUGGUAAAGUCCCCAUAGUUCAGCUUCCAUAAUGGAACAACUACCCAAAUUCAUGCUAAAACCGCAAACCCAUUCCCUACAAUAAUUCCUCACCAAGCCACCAGCAUUAGCCAAUCCCGAUCUCUUCAAAGCCCCAUCAGUAUUGAGCUUUAAGAACAACCACUUUGGGGGCUGCCAAUAGAUCCAUCUUUUAGUUUUUGUAAUUCUCUGACUAUCUAAAGACUUAUAAGCAGCGAUGAUUUUUUCCGUGCAGUUGUUCACAUCCACAAUUACGUUGUGAAGGGCUGCUUGAUUUGUGAGCAUAAACGAACUCAUUGUGCCAAUACCACAUGCGCCAGACAUGACGCCAAAUAACAUUGACCUAUCCUUCUCAUUAGUGAUCCUCAAGUGGUUUUUCAUAUUAUAAACAAUCCAUGCACGAACAUCCAAUGUAAAACAGGUAUGACUUGUGUGUUUCGAAAAAAGGGCUAACCAAAUGCGUUUAGAGUCAACAUAAUCCCCGACUGCAUGGAGAGCAUCCUCUAUGAUAUGCCCACACCGCAUGCAAGUACUAUCAUUAAGCACAUGUCUUCGCAAUAAUUUAGCAUUAUUUUUCAAUCUAUUAUGCAUCAGCAGCCAAAGAAAGCACUGAAUGCUUUGGGGGCCUCUCCAUCUCCAAAUCAAAACCCAAAGGGAAUUAUUUUCAUUUAGCAUCGGUCUAAAGAGGGAUAAAUAAGCUGACCUCACGCUAAACAAACCAGACCGCGAUGGACCGCAAUAACAACAGUCAACUUCAUCGCUAAUAGAAUGGGGCAUAGUGCCUGCUAUUUUGAGAAUUAUAUGGUGGGGUAGAAAAGAAGCAAAAUAGUCCCAGUUCCAAGCACCAUUAUUAUCGAUAAAAUUAGCUACAUACUCAUUUAAUAUUUUCAGUGAUUGUACCGAAAGUAUAAGAUUGCAAUCAACGCCCAUCCUCCAGCCAAUAAUCUUUCCAAAAUCUAGCCAACUUCUCAUUCCCAAUAGCCCAGCGAGUCCCUUAGAGAACCUCAUUCCAUACAUUUCCCACGAAUUUUCAUAAAGGAGAACUAUAUCAAGUAGGACGUUUUAGAGGAAGGUUUUUUUUAUCAACGCAUAUUUAAACAUCAAUACUUGAAUCUAGAAGCUGUGGGGUGAUUCAAUAUGACCCCAACCAAUUUUCAUUAGCAAGGCUUUAUUCAUGAGAUUAAGAUCUUUAAGGCCAAGGCCCCCACAUAAAUUAAGGAGUUGUACUCUAUCCUACUUAAUAAGGUGUAUACGAUGAGUCUCGUCAAUCUAUUUCUAGAUAAAAUGCUUGCAAAUCUGAUCAAUUUUAUUACGAAUACUUAGAGGUAGCAUGAAGGUCUGCAUGGAAUAGGUUGGGAGAGCCAGAAUGAUCGACUGCGUUAAUGUUAUCGAACCUACAAGAGAAAGAUGUUUGGUUGUCCAACCCGUAAGUCUCUGUAGUGCUAAUGGUGGUCAAGGAUAAGGUACCAGUUUCAGUGGGAUACAUUGAGUUUGCAUGAGAAAUCUGGGAGAUUUCAUAAAGAAUGUAUGAGUUAGUGACAAUGGUAAACAUGAUUAAAUGCGUGAACUAACAUAAAAUGAAAUACAAAAACUAAAUGAUAGAGCACGAGUUUUGAAAAAAGUUUAUUCUUCAAUCCACCAUCAAUUAAACAGAAGCAAACCACUGUCAUUUUAAGUAAACAAACAUAACAAAACCACCUACAUAAGAAUAAUUUUUCAAUAUAGGAAUCUUGAACUUUUGAUGAAAAAAAAUCAGUUUACAAUAUUAUAGGUACGUGAAAAAUAAAGUUUAUAACAUUGUAAAUCAGAUCACCAACUAGAAUCUAACUCCACCUACAUGGCUUAGUAAACAACUAUAACAUUGCAUCCAACAAUGGCGUCACCAGAUUUAAAAUCCGCUCGAUUCAUCUGAGCAAUUGCAUAUCCACCACUCAAUAGGAACUCGCCAAUGUCACCGAUGAUGGGCAUCUUACGGACAGGAACAAUCGACCUGUUGUUGCCAAGGAGGCUGAUAUAGCUACCAUUAUUAGGACCAUCAACGAACACAAAGCUCAUGGACAUGAUGAUAGCUAGUUGAUGCUGACAAGCCGACCCGUAAAGCCCUUGAGCACGACCAACAAGCUUUGAUUGAGGACUAGUAGUUUCUAUCGACGAAUCAUUCGCCAAAUCACAACGCGGAAACGAGUUGGUGACUUGUAAGCAUCAGUGGCUUGAGCAAUGCUUUUUUCCACUACGUUUUUUUUGUUGUCACUUUUGCGAAAUCAAGCCCCGGAGCCAAAGUCUCUCUGAUCGUAUUGAUGUUGCUGCCACCGGGCAAAUGAUGAGAAACAAAAAAAUUGCUUAAAACAUUAUCGCCAGUGUCACCGAGAAUAGAUGAUGCACUUUUGAAGGUAGAAAAGAAGGAUGAUUCAAGAUUCAUUUCAAAUUUUUUUGAAGUGUUUUGAUAAGUGAAUAUCCAAAGGCUGCGUAACUACAAAGGUGAAGUGGGAAGAAAUUUUGACAUUUUGUUAUAUUGAGCUAGCCAGUGAAUGUAUAUGAGGGGCUUCACUUGUACACAUAAAAAAGGAAGAUUAAUUACUCGUGGUUUUUUAUUAAGAAAAAAAAUAGCUUGCUUAAAAUAUAGAGUGUGGUUAAUUUCAUUGAAGGAGAUGACUCAAAGGAAAGGAAAGAAAAAAGAAAUCUAUAUAUAUAAACAAAAAAUAAUGCCAAAAACAUAAAUUUAAUUAAAUGUACAGUGAAAUUACCUUUAUAAUGCAACAAGAUAUUAAAUUCAAUAGUUAACGCUAAUAAAUUAAGCGUAAUUUAUUUAAUACUUAUUUAUGGACUCUUUCAAUUCCAUUAAAGCCACUGCAAGACGUUUUUCAAUAUUAACUCAGAUAAAUAGAGGCUCAUAUCUUUCUGAUUCUUCCACAUCUCUUUCAAUUCUAAUUAAGCCGUUUGCAAUUCCCUUAAGAAAUUAAAAAAUGUCGAAGAGUCUUACCUUCAUCAUUUUGGCUUUGCUUGUAGUGGCAAACACUAAAAACAUGCUUAUUUCAGCUAGUAGAACUGGCCAAGGAUCUAAGCCAGAGGCUUUAUUUGCUAUUAACCCUACAGCAUCACCUGACAUUGUUGAUUACUCAGGGCUCACAAGUGAAGAGUGUUUGAUCGAGAUGAUUAAGAAAGCACUUGUAGACUAUCGAUACCCCUGCUCUGAGGGGGGGUGCAAAUGAUAUUGUUAAUAAGUUAUUUCUUUUACCUUGUAGGAGUGCUUUUGCAAUAACGAUCAAUUACAGUGAAAUUGAAUUUGUGUUUUUAAUAAAAUAAAACAUUAAUCCAUUAUGCAUAGGUAAUAUUAUGUCAUAUGUUUUUGGUGUGUGUAUCUCUUACUGCUUUGUUAUAGAUGCAUCGUCGAAUCAAUCUUCGAGAAAUCAGUUUCUUUAAAUAAUAGCAAUUAUCAACCAAUCAACAUUACUAUGUUGGUGCCAUUUGUAAUAUUUAAAUUUUAAGUUUAUUUACUUUUAGGGUGAGAUUAUUGAUUCCCAAGAAAAAUAAUAAAAUAAACCCUCAUUAUCAAAAUCCUAUAUUACUAAGCUGUCCGAUUUAAUUUAAUGUUAAACUUUAAUUUAACCCCUGAAAAUGUCCAGACUUACCUACAUUUAUUGCUAAGAAUAUGAUUUAAAAUUUCAUCAAUGUGCACCUCAUUUAUGCUCAUCUUUUGAAGAACAAAUAGGGUGGAUUGAGAUUUUCAUGCUUUUGGAGGGUAAAUUAAAGAUAGUUAUUAGGAGGGAACGAAUUGAAGUUUGUUUUUAAAUGCAAAGAUGUAUUCUUUUAGUUUAUUUGAGAUAGUUCGUUUGACUUUAAUUUAACAUAUGUUUUUGUAAUUGAAAUAUAGAUACUUCUUUAUUUUUGUUAUUCAGCUAAGUAAUAUAAUAUUUUUGUUAUACUUCAAAAGUGUAUUACUCUGUAGUAUAAGAGUGUCUAGUUAUAAUAUAACCCGGUGACACCGAGGUCGAACCACAUGAAGUUUAAAUCUAGUAAAACAAAGAAAAUUAAUUGUGGGGAAAAGAAAUUAUUUAAAAUCAAUUUAAAAAUAAGUUAAGGUUUAUGAUCCACUCUCUGUAUUCAAACUAUAAUUUUAAUACUCUCUCAUUUAUAUUUUGCCUCACUUUUGCCAAUUAAUUAUUAUAUCAUUUAAUUCUAUGUGUGUGGAUAAAUAUAGAAUAAAGUACCUAAUGUGCCACACUAUAUUAAUGUGUCGAUAUUAUGUCAAAAUACCAUAAAAUCUAGUGAGAUUUAUAAAUUAACAUGAUAUAAAAAUAAUUAGAAAAGAAUUAAAAAAAACUCAUUUGAGAAAAUAAUAAUAAUUAAUAGUUUGAAACAUUGAGCUUCACUCUUCACCUCAGCUUAAUAAAAUUAGCUACUCAUAUUGAAAGAAAACACAACACUCUUUUUAUUUGAUAAAAUUUUUGAAAUAUAUUACAAAGAAAAUUGAUACAAACGGAAAUAAGAAAAGAAAAGAAACAAACAAAGAAAGAAAAUCUUCAGUCUCGGCUUCAGCUCUCAAAUUUUGCUCUCCAACUUCCCCCCGCUCUUCAAUUUCUCCUCCCUUUUUAUAGGCAACAAUUGCCUUUAACUUUCUUUAUUUUAUUAUUUAUUUAUUAUUUUAAAAUAUAUAAGUGUGUUGAAAUGUGUGAUGGUCAGGAGGCGUAAUGGCCUCCUGACCAUCACCAACGUGUUUUUGUUCUUUUGUUCUUUUAUUUUUUAUUUUUUUUAUUUUAUUGAUUAUUUAUUAUUACAUCUCUUCAAUUUUGUUCCAAUAGUUCUUCUUUGUUCCCGCUUUCAAUUUCAAUUCCAUCUUUAUUCUUGAAAAAUAUUUACAAGAUAAAAAUUAACAAAUUACAAAUUAAUUUAACAUAAAAUAUAUUUGGGGAGUAUUAAAAUAAUUUAGAAAUAAUGAACGCAUUAAUCGACACAAUNNNNNNNNNNNNNNNNNNNNNNNNNNNNNNNNNNNNNNNNNNNNNNNNNNNNNNNNNNNNNNNNNNNNNNNNNNNNNNNNNNNNNNNNNNNNNNNNNNNNAUCAAACCCCAAAAUCUCACGAUUAGGAGUGACUAUCUCAAAAGAAGAUAUACCCCAAAUUAAUUUGUCACUCUAAAAAAAUGGUAAAUUUGAGAGAAUAAUAAAACAAUAUCACACGCUCACACCAAGAUAAAAAUUAAUGCCCACAACUUAGAAAUAAAAUAAUAUCAAAUCCAAUGAAUUACUAGCAAAAUUUAUUUUUAUUUUUACUCAUCACCACAUCUUUUAGUCCAUAUUACCAGCUUUUACUUCAGAUUAUAGUUCCCAAAAAUCAAGAAGGACUUUUAUUAGGAUGUAGCGUAGGCUAUGGUUAUGGCUAACAAAAAAGGUAAUAGGGAAAAUAAAAAUAUAUGUUUGAAAAAUAGGGGACUUUUUGGAGAUUAUAAGGUUCUUUUUUUUUUUCAAAGGUUCAAAGGGGUUAACUAUGGAUUCUUUAUAAUAGGGUUGACUAGAAAGGCUCAAACGGAUCAAAGAUGGUCUUCUAUCAUCUUUUAGGGUUCUAUAUAAUCUUUCAUAUCCACUAGUUCAGUGGACCUUUAUAUGCGGCUGCACAAACUUUUUUUUUUUUUAAUAUUGAGAUCUUGUACAAUAAAUUGUGAAGCUGCAUAGGCAAACAAGGUUACUCUCCAAGGAUAACAGACUCAAAAACUCGCUUGGUCUUUUUAUAACAUGUACAUUCAUCCAAAUGGCUUAAUCAAUUUCACUCAUUCAAUUUCUCAAUUUACGUUUCAAGAUGCAAAGGGAAAAACAUAGUGUAACAUAACUCAAGGCCAAAGAUAAUACGAAUACCAAAAUUUGAAAAUCAUCAUGUUAUCCAAUGUUAAAAGAGCACACCAAAAAAGAAAAUAAUUUUUUUUUAAGAAAGCACUAAAAAAUUGGGGCUAAUUGCAGAAACUUAAGGGAGAUGAUUAAGAGAAAAAGACCGAAAACAAAAAGUUAAAAACAUUUUGUUUUGGAAGAAAACAAAAAAAAUUAAGAAAAUGCGUUUCUAGAGACACUACAUUCUAUAUUCUGUCAUCUUCGACUCAAAUUUUUAUCCAAAGUUAGUCUUUACAACAAAAAUUAGUGCAAACAUCACUAGGAAUGAGACAUUCCCAAUUAUUAACUAUUCCCUCCCCCCAACCUGAAGGAGACAUUGUCCUCAAUGUCUAAAGAAAGGAGUAGAGUUUAGAAGAUAUCACCCGGCCAUUGCUGGAAAUAUUUACAGACGGAGAGUUAAAUCUAAUUUAUACUUUUUACGAGAGUUACUGCCAUUGUUAUCAGUUGCCCAAUCCAACGCCAAAGUCAUGGGAUCUGGCUUUGGUUUGUAAGCUUGCAAAAGAUCAAGUAACUCAUUAGCAGUAUGAGCACAAAUGAAGAGUUUUUUCGCUGAGGAUGGAAUGAAAUAAUUUUUUAUUGCAUGAUUAAGCAAUGUUAUUAAGCCAUCAUAAAAGUUAUUAACAUUUAACAAACCGAUUGGUUUUUUAUGGAUAUUCAAAUGGGCCCAUGAAGCAAAUGUAAUUAGCGCCUCCAAAGUUGCAAGGUCUCCUGGCAAGAAAAUAAAAACGUCAGCAUGAUUUAACAUUUCAGAUAUUCUUUCUUGCAUACCUGAGACAACUAACUGUUGAGUGUUAGAAAAUGUAUAUUUAUAAAGGAGAAAAUCAUCAUUUUACACUUCAAGUUUUACUAACACCUUUACUUUAUGUAUUUAACCUUCUUUUGAUUUAAUUCCGUGUGUUUUAUUUUAAUUAAGUAUUUUAUGUAUUUUAGGGGUAUCAUAGUCAUUUCACAAUAAACGAGAGAUCAAACGACAAAACGGACAUCACUUUUGAACUCAGGACGGUCAAAAACCUUAGGAGGAGCAUAAAAGGAAAAAUGGCACUGUUCACAUGUACGGUACUGUCUACGUUACUGUUCACGACACUGUUCAUAUAGACGGAUCGAUGACGUGGCAUUGACCGAUGAUGUGGCAUUGACUGAUGAGGUGUCAUGAUCCUGUUGGUCUAAAAUUCUGAUGAACUAUUGAUGGUGACGUGGCAGCAUAUUAGUGGACCAAAACUUGCGCGUACGGUAUACACAUUACACAGGAUUAUUUUCAACCAAAUCGCAUUACUGUUCAAGCCGGGUCAAACCAUGUUACUGUUCACCCGCGUGGUCAAACUGCGUACUAUUGACUAAUGACGUGGCGCAAUCCUGAGCGUCCAAACUGUUUUUAAUCCGAUGGCCAUGAUUUACUCAAUGUAUCUAUAAAAAAUGGGGCUCCCCCCUAAUUUGAUAGCUCUGAAUUCAUUUUUGGACUCCAUUUUCUGUAAUUCCUUCUCCAUCUUGUAUUUUCUAGGUAUUUUAAUAAAUUUUCAUUUUGCCCCUAGUUCAAUUAUGAGUAGCUAAUUUUCUUUCAAGCUUGGGUUGAAGAUGAAGUCUCAAUAUGUGUCAUGGGCUUUAUUUGGUAAAUUUAUUUUCUUUUCCCCUCUAAUUUUUGUGGAUGUUUUGACUUCUCGUCGACAAAUAAUACUAAUCUUGUCUAGAUACUGCCUUGGUUUCAUCGGCUCUCUAGUACAAGGUUAUUAUUAUUUGGCAUGAUAAGCCCUUAGCACCAUAUUGAUUAGAGCGUGGUUCAUGAGGUGUGGAUUCCCCCCUCAUGAUUUAAUUGGCAUUAAUAAGGAUUAUUUAGCCCAUGAUACAUGUUGAUACAGAUUCAGAUACCCAAGUACGUCAUCUCAAUAGAUUUCUCUUCAAUUUAUUCUCGCUAUUUCAAUUCCAAUUUUAGGAUAAUCCAAAUUAUUUUCACCACAAAUCCAACCACCCAUUUACAAAAUUAAUUCUACACACUAUUAAAAUCCACCUUCUCGUGGGGAUCGACACUCGUCACCAUUAGUCUAUUCAAAAGAUAAAAUAACGGUGAUUAGAUAAAAUAAAAAAUAAAAAUAAUAAUAAUGCAAAAGAUAAAAGAACAGUAAAAUAAAAGGAUAUUUACUGGUAGUUGUAAUUGUGGCUCACAUCUUCCUCUAGUUUUACAUCCAGUAACGGCUUGAACGCCCUCUAUAGGUCGAGGAUAGGGUUCCCAUCCAGUUUUCUUAUAAACUGGCAAACAAGGUCUUUUAGAGUCAGAUUCCCAAGACUAAACUGUGCACUUUUCUUUUGGAACAGCUUCCACAAAUUUUGAAUUUCACGUUGAACAUAUCCGCUCGGAUGUGUCUCAAGAGAUCGUAAGAUACCAUCCAACGAUUCUUUACUCAUGCUAUCCUUAACGAAUUUGAUUUUAUCUUCACAAUUUACAAAAACCAUUCCUAAAGCUUUACAACGUGGAUUUUUGCAAGCAAGUCUUACACAAUGAGAACAUUCAGAGCUAAGUCGCUUAGCUCUUCUUUUCUUAGCAAAUGUACUUUUACAAAAACCAGGCAUGUAGGAAAUAAAUUGAUAAAAAAACUCACUUGGACCUUUGCUUCAAUUAACCAGCGAAUGUCAGCAGGAAUCCCAUUGAUCAUUAACAAACGCAGUUGUUCACAACGAGCUUUGUAACUCUUCUUAAGAGCAUUUUGAGGGAGAGAAGGAAAAGGUUGAUGCAAAUUUUGUUCUAUUUCUUCCAUGCUUGACAUUGAGGUUUCAGUUAUUGUGGGAAACUGAGAAUACCGACUUAAAAAGUCACGGAGUACCGUUAUCUGCCAUUUAUACGAGAGAGUGAAUCAAAACAAAACAAAUCAAAUAUGCAAAAUCAAAUCAAAAGUGAAAAAUAACAACAAAAUAAAACAAAAACACACAAGGAUUAUAACACACCUUCGUCCUUUUAUUGAAUCUAGUUCCAAUUACAAAUUAUAAAUACCAUCAUCUAUUUCCUUGAGUUGUCUUUCUAGAUCUUUCACGUGAGAUACUAACUCUGGUGGUUACAGAUCCCAAAUGGGAUGUAAUUUACAAAAUCAGAGCAAUUUCCUCAGGUGAAAUUUUACAUGAAAAAGCAUUUUAAAAUAAUCGAAUAGGAAAUUGCUCAUAGAGGUACUCAUGACAAGUAUAAAAAUUGGGUGAGCUAAAUCACAAUUGUCAAACAACAUAAAAUUAAAACAAUGCAAUGCACUCCAUUCAAGACAUAGGGAAAACGAAAAAGAAAAAGAAAUCAAAUAAUUCAAACGAUAAAGUAACAGUAAAUCAAUUCCCCAACAAUCAAAUAAAAAGGCUUAAUCAAAAUUUUGGUGGGUCACUCAAAUGGAUUCCAGUAUCUGCUUCAUGUGGUUGAUAUUCCAUAUAUGGUUUCAAUCUUUGGCCAUUAACUUUAAAUGUGACACCAUCCUUUGGAUUCUCAAUUUCUACGGCUCCAUCACAUUUUUUAUAACAAAUGGACCAUUCCACUUUAACUUUAACUUCCCUGGAAAUAAAUGAAGACGAGAAUUAUAAAGCAACACUUUUUGACCAAUUUCAAAUGUUUUCCGAAAAAUUAUUUUGUCAUGAAAAAAUUGACGNNNNNNNNNNNNNNNNNNNNNNNNNNNNNNNNNNNNNNNNNNNNNNNNNNNNNNNNNNNNNNNNNNNNNNNNNNNNNNNNNNNNNNNNNNNNNNNNNNNNNNNNNNNNNNNNNNNNNNNNNNNNNNNNNNNNNNNNNNNNNNNNNNNNNNNNNNNNNNNNNNNNNNNNNNNNNNNNNNNNNNNNNNNNNNNNNNNNNNNNNNNNNNNNNNNNNNNNNNNNNNNNNNNNNNNNNNNNNNNNNNNNNNNNNNNNNNNNNNNNNNNNNNNNNNNNNNNNNNNNNNNNNNNNNNNNNNNNNNNNNNNNNNNNNNNNNNNNNNNNNNNNNNNNNNNNNNNNNNNNNNNNNNNNNNNNNNNNNNNNNNNNNNNNNNNNNNNNNNNNNNNNNNNNNNNNNNNNNNNNNNNNNNNNNNNNNNNNNNNNNNNNNNNNNNNNNNNNNNNNNNNNNNNNNNNNNNNNNNNNNNNNNNNNNNNNNNNNNNNNNNNNNNNNNNNNNNNNNNNNNNNNNNNNNNNNNNNNNNNNNNNNNNNNNNNNNNNNNNNNNNNNNNNNNNNNNNNNNNNNNNNNNNNNNNNNNNNNNNNNNNNNNNNNNNNNNNNNNNNNNNNNNNNNNNNNNNNNNNNNNNNNNNNNNNNNNNNNNNNNNNNNNNNNNNNNNNNNNNNNNNNNNNNNNNNNNNNNNNNNNNNNNNNNNNNNNNNNNNNNNNNNNNNNNNNNNNNNNNNNNNNNNNNNNNNNNNNNNNNNNNNNNNNNNNNNNNNNNNNNNNNNNNNNNNNNNNNNNNNNNNNNNNNNNNNNNNNNNNNNNNNNNNNNNNNNNNNNNNNNNNNNNNNNNNNNNNNNNNNNNNNNNNNNNNNNNNNNNNNNNNNNNNNNNNNNNNNNNNNNNNNNNNNNNNNNNNNNNNNNNNNNNNNNNNNNNNNNNNNNNNNNNNNNNNNNNNNNNNNNNNNNNNNNNNNNNNNNNNNNNNNNNNNNNNNNNNNNNNNNNNNNNNNNNNNNNNNNNNNNNNNNNNNNNNNNNNNNNNNNNNNNNNNNNNNNNNNNNNNNNNNNNNNNNNNNNNNNNNNNNNNNNNNNNNNNNNNNNNNNNNNNNNNNNNNNNNNNNNNNNNNNNNNNNNNNNNNNNNNNNNNNNNNNNNNNNNNNNNNNNNNNNNNNNNNNNNNNNNNNNNNNNNNNNNNNNNNNNNNNNNNNNNNNNNNNNNNNNNNNNNNNNNNNNNNNNNNNNNNNNNNNNNNNNNNNNNNNNNNNNNNNNNNNNNNNNNNNNNNNNNNNNNNNNNNNNNNNNNNNNNNNNNNNNNNNNNNNNNNNNNNNNNNNNNNNNNNNNNNNNNNNNNNNNNNNNNNNNNNNNNNNNNNNNNNNNNNNNNNNNNNNNNNNNNNNNNNNNNNNNNNNNNNNNNNNNNNNNNNNNNNNNNNNNNNNNNNNNNNNNNNNNNNNNNNNNNNNNNNNNNNNNNNNNNNNNNNNNNNNNNNNNNNNNNNNNNNNNNNNNNNNNNNNNNNNNNNNNNNNNNNNNNNNNNNNNNNNNNNNNNNNNNNNNNNNNNNNNNNNNNNNNNNNNNNNNNNNNNNNNNNNNNNNNNNNNNNNNNNNNNNNNNNNNNNNNNNNNNNNNNNNNNNNNNNNNNNNNNNNNNNNNNNNNNNNNNNNNNNNNNNNNNNNNNNNNNNNNNNNNNNNNNNNNNNNNNNNNNNNNNNNNNNNNNNNNNNNNNNNNNNNNNNNNNNNNNNNNNNNNNNNNNNNNNNNNNNNNNNNNNNNNNNNNNNNNNNNNNNNNNNNNNNNNNNNNNNNNNNNNNNNNNNNNNNNNNNNNNNNNNNNNNNNNNNNNNNNNNNNNNNNNNNNNNNNNNNNNNNNNNNNNNNNNNNNNNNNNNNNNNNNNNNNNNNNNNNNNNNNNNNNNNNNNNNNNNNNNNNNNNNNNNNNNNNNNNNNNNNNNNNNNNNNNNNNNNNNNNNNNNNNNNNNNNNNNNNNNNNNNNNNNNNNNNNNNNNNNNNNNNNNNNNNNNNNNNNNNNNNNNNNNNNNNNNNNNNNNNNNNNNNNNNNNNNNNNNNNNNNNNNNNNNNNNNNNNNNNNNNNNNNNNNNNNNNNNNNNNNNNNNNNNNNNNNNNNNNNNNNNNNNNNNNNNNNNNNNNNNNNNNNNNNNNNNNNNNNNNNNNNNNNNNNNNNNNNNNNNNNNNNNNNNNAUCAAAUAUUUCAAUGACAAUGAUGGGGUUUAAAGGCAUCAUCUUCCGCUUUGAAAUAGACCCUAUCAUUUGACAAUUCUUACACAUUUUACAGAAUGCAUGUGAAUCUUUAAAUAAUGUAGGCCAAUAAAAUCCACACUGCAAUAUUUUACAGUUGUCUUUUUUGAAGAAAAAUGGCCACCGUAUGCUUCAGAAUGACAAAAUUAAAUGACCCUACUUACCUCGUCGUCUGGUAUGCAUCUUCGAAAAAUUUGAUCGGAGCAGUACUUGAAUAGAUAUGGCUCAUCCCAGUAAAAGCUUUUUACUUCUGUUAAGAAUUUCUUCUUGUCUUGGGAACUCCAGUCACAUGGCAUUUCACCUGUUGCAAGAUAAUUAAUAAUAUUAGCAUACUAAGGCAUUUUGUUUAUAGAAAACAAAAAUUCAUCAGGGAAAGAAUCAUUGAUGGGUGUUGUUUCAAUUGAAGACUCAUUUGUAAGUCUUGAAAGAUAAUCUGCAAUAACAUUUUCAGCGCCCUUUUUGUCCUUGAUUGUCAAAUUAAAUUCUUGAAGUAGCAAAAUCCAUCGUAUCAACCUUGGUUUGGCAUCCUGUUUUGACAUUAAAUAUCUCACAGCAGCAUGAUCAAAAUAAACAACAGUAGAUGAACCAAUUAAAUACGAACGAAAUUUAUCCAAUGCAAAUAUUACAGCAAGUAGUUCUUUCUCAGUUGUUGUGUAAUUCAUUUGAGCAGUAUUCAAAGUUCUACUUGCAUAAUAGAUGACAAAGGGCUUACCUUCCUUUUUUUGACCCAGAACAGCGCCAAUGGCAUAAUCACUAGCAUUACACAUUAGCUCAAAAGGUAAAGACCAAUCAGGGGGUUGCAUUAUUGGGGCUGAUGUCAAAAGACUAAUUAUCUUUUCAAAAGCUUGUUGACAAUCUUUAGUCCAUUCAAAUUGUGUGUCUUUUAUUAAAAGGUUACAAAUUGGUCUAGAUAAGGCACUAAAAUCUUUUAUAAACCUCCUAUAAAAUCCUGAAUGUCCUAAUAAAGAACGGACUUCUCUUAUUGUCUUUGGUGAGGGUAAUUUUGAAAUGACUUCAACUUUAGCUUUAUCAACUUCGAUUCCUUUUGAAGACACAAUAAGGCCUAAGACAAUUCCAGAAGUGAUCAUGAAAUGACAUUUUUCCCAAUUUAAAACAAGUCCUUUUUCUUUGCACCUUUCCAAAACAUUUUAUAGAUUAUCAAGACAUGUAUCAAAAGAAUUACCAAAUACAGUUAAAUCAUCCAUAAAAACCUCUAGACAAUUUUCAGCCAUGUCACUAAAAAUGCUUAGCAUGCACCUUUGAAAUGUUGCAGGAGCAUUACAAAGUCCAAAGGGCAUUCUCCUAAAUGAAAAUGUUCCAAAUGGGCAUGUGAAUGUGGUAUUUUCCUGGUCUUCUAAGGCUAUAGGGAUUUGAUAAUAGCCAGAGUAGCCAUCAAGAAAGCAGUAGUAAGGAUGUCCAGCUACUCUUUUGAGAAUUUGGUCUAGAAAUGGAAGGGGAAAAUGAACUUUUCUAGUGGCAUAAUUUAAUUUUCUAUAAUCAAUGCACAUGCGCCAACUAGAUGGAAUUUGUGUUGGGAUUGAUUCACCUUUUUUAUUUUUUACAACAGUUAUUCUAGAUUUUUUUAGUACUACUUGUGUUGGACUUACCAAUUUACUAUUAGAGAUAGGGUAGAUAAUUCCUACAUCUAAUAGUUUAAGGACCUCAUUUUUUACCACUUCUUUCAUAUGAGGGUUUAGUCUUCUUUGUGGUUGAUGGGUUGUUUUGGAAUUUUCCUCUAACUGUAUUCGGUGUGUGCAAAUUAAAGGAUUAAUGCCUUUUAUGUCUUUUAAGGUCCAACCAAAUGCAAUUUUAUGCCUUUUUAGUACAUAUAACAACUUACCCUCUUGAUCAUGUGUGAGUUGAGAAGAAAUUACCACCGGAUAUGUCUGCUGCUCUCCAAGAUAGACAUACUUCAAUUCUUCUGGUAAGGGCUUUAAUUCGAGCUCUGGUGCUUCCUCUUCGUUUGCUUCUUCAGGUUGUACCGUAUCUUCAAAGUUCGAUUGGUCAUCAUCACCUAUAGGUACCUGCAUAGAAUCAAGUGUAGGACAUAUGUUAGCAGUAUCAAAAUCUAAUUCCUUACUUGAUUCAACAGAACCAACAAAACAAAUUUCCGCAGAGUUUGUAAAAUUCUCAUCCUGAAUGUGUUCCUCAAUGAUUGGCUCAAUAAGAUAAAUUUCAUCAUUCUUAUUAUCAUCAUCUUCUUGGUGGUGAGGUUGUUUACACAUGUUAAACACAUUCAGUUCCAGUGUCAUGUCGCCAAAAGAUAAAUUCAUUAAUCCAUUCCUGCAAUUUAUCAAAGCAUUAGCAAUAGCUAAAAAUGGUCGACCCAAUAUAACAGGAAUUUGUUUGCAUUCAUUAGCAAUUGGUUCCGUUUCCAAAACAAUAAAAUCCACAGGAUAUAUGAAUUUAUCGACUUGGACUAAUACAUCUUCAAUUAUUCCUUUUGGAACCUUCAUCGAUCUAUCAGCAAGUAAAAGAGUGGUAGAAGUUGGUUUUAACUCACCAAGAUUGAGUUGUUGGUACACUGAGUAAGGAAGUAAAUUAACACUAGCACCAAGAUCAAGUAAAUCAUGUCCAAUUUUAUGAUCCCCAAUAGUGCAAGAAAUAGUUGGACAAUCAGGAUCCUUGUAUUUCAAAGCACUAUUGGUUGAGAGAAUGGAACUUACCUGUUCUGUUAGAAAAGCUCUCUUUUGCACCUUAUAUUUCUUUUUCACCGUGCACAGAUCUUUCAGAAAUUUAGCAUAGGAUGGCACCUAUUUAAUGACAUCCAGCAGAGGAAUGUUGACCUUUACUUGUUUAAAAAUUUCAUAAAUUUCUAGACUGUGGUUUCAUUUCUUUGGCUUGAUCAGUGCUUGAGGAAAUUAGGGUACAAGAAGAGAGUUGGUUACUUCUUCAUGGGUUAAAGGUUCGAUAAACUCUUCCAUAUUUUCUAAAAUUGAAUCUUUACUAGUUUCACGAUGGUCCACAAUGUGUUUUUCAACUACUUUACCACCACGAAGGGUUAUAACCGAUUUGACUUGACUCAUAUUUUGGUUUCCUGAAUUUCCCAUUUUAGGAUGUUGUUGACUCUUGGGGUUUGGUUCAGGUUGAGUAGGAAACUUUCCUUUUUCAUGUAUGGUCAGAGCAGAUGUAAGUUUGGAAAUAGUUUCUGUCAAAUUGGUUAAGAUUUGCAUCUUUUGGUUAUUGAUUGACUCUUUUUUUUCAAUAAACGAAUGCAAUGUGUCUUUCAGAGUUUUUCUUGGUGGUGGGACAUAUGGUGGGUAACUCUGGGAGUUUUGGAAAUUUUGACGUGGAGGGGCUGGUUGUGAAGGUUGUGCAUGAUUGUCAUUUCUCCAACUGAAAUUUGGGUGGUUUCUCCAACUAGAGUUGUAAGUUUGGGAGUAUGAAUUUGGAUUUGACUUUUUGAAAUUAUCAACGACAUCUACUUGUUCAUGCAGACUUUCUCUCAGAGCUGGUAAAGUUGGACAGUCCUGCGUAGAAUGGUCAGUAGAAUCGCAAACAUAACAUGAAAUAUUUUGAACAGACUUUACAUGAUCAUUCUUUUUCAACUCUAAUGCUUCGACUUUUCUAGCUAAUGAUGCAAAUUUGGCUUGAAAAUCAUGGUCUUCCCUAAGGUUAUGCAUGCCUCCACCAGAUGGAGAUGACUAGGGUUUGCUUGAUGACUCAUAAGAACCAACCGUAUCCCAGUGUUUUGCAUUUUCUGCUAUAUAGUCAAGAUAGUCUAAUGCAUCUUCAGGACUUUUAUCCCUAAACUCACCAUUACACAUCAUUUCAAUGACUUGUUUACCUUAGGAUGUUAAUCCCUCGUAGAAAUAAGACAUUAAUCUCCAUGUUUCAAAACCGUGAUGUGGACAAAUGUUAAGCAGUUCUUUAAACCUAUCCUAACAUUGGUAGAGAGUUUCUCAUGGUUUUUGAGUGAAAGUGGUGAUUUUGAAAUAAAAGUGUGCAACCCAAGAGGGGGGGUGAAUUAGAAUUUUAAAAAUUAUCCUAGCAAAUCUACACAACAAGCAAUCUAAUGUCUUAAUAAAAAUUGAAAGCAAUAAGUUCAAUAAAAGCACAAGAACGAAUGAGUAAGAGAGAAGAGAAACAAACACACGAAAUUUUACGUGGUUCGGCAAUCCCCGCCUACGUCCACGCCUCCAAGCGAUCCAAGCUUGAGGAUUUCACUAUCCGAGCCUUUCCAAGGCUUCAACCGUUUACAAUUGACUUCAAGGUGUCAAUGAACCUUUACAACAAAGAGAUUAUCUCUCAAUCUCUUCACUCAAGUGUCUCACACACUCAAACUUUUACAAUUAAGAUGAAGAAAUGAAAGUUACAAUAAAACUCACUCAAAAAGUAGAUAUUCAAAAAUGAAGAACAAGAAAUGAUUCAAUGUUUUGUGAUUUGCAAAUUGAAAGCUCAAGAUAUUUCGUGUGCUUUUUGUUUAUGCUUGGUGGAGAGCUUGAAAAUGAGUUGGAUUUGAGUUUAUAUAGUUUAAGCUAAAAAGCUAGCCGUUAUGCACAUUUUGGUCGUAAUCGGCUUGCCGUUUAGAAAUCUGGUAAGCUGCUUUUAUGUUACCGUUAAGGCAAAAAUUUGAAUUUCAGAAUAUCCGGCUUGCCGCUUUUCAUAUCCGGCAAGCCGCUUUUGAAAUCUGGAUUGCCGCUUGCGAAAUCCGGUAAGCCGUUUAUGCUCCAGAAGCUUACUGCUCAAAAUUUGGUUUGUCAUUUACCAUAUCCGGUAAACCGCUUGCUACAGUGACUGCUACAGUGAAAUAUUUCUUAAAUUUACAGCUUAACCUAAACUUUAUAAAAUUAUAUUAUGGCCCAAAAUGUUAUGAAAGUUUAUAAAUAGGUCUAAUUUCAUAAUUUUAAAUAAUACUUUGUCAAUCCCAAAACUUUAUGAAAUUAUGAUUUUGUCCAAACUAUGUGAAAUUAUAGAAUGACCCAAAAUAUUUAAAUAGUUUCAAAUAGGUCCAAAUCUGAAAUUUAAAACAUUAUCAAAGAUUUUAAAAUACUUUCAUUUUAGUCCAAAAUACUUUAAUUCCAUAACAUCAUUUUCUUAUUAUAAAAGCACAAUUCCUAAAUCUUUGCUUCAUCAAUACAUGUGGUUUGUUAUCAUCAAAAUCAAUCUUUAUAGGCAUAUAGGCUAACAGAUUUGUCUUUUGAAAGAAUUUGUUCUGUGGGAUGGGAAGAAUUUUUUCAAAAAUUGUGCUUGCAUUUCAUCCCAAGUUCUGAUGGAUUCUAACCUAAGAUUUUGUAGCCAAGUUUUAGCUUUAUCCUUUAGUGAGAAAGGAAAAAACUUAAGCCUGAUUAUAUUCAUGCUACAAUUUUGAUCAGUACAGAUGUUAUAGACUUCCACAAAUUCCCUUAAAUGCAAAUAUGAAUUUUCAGACUCAAAACCACGAAAAGUAGGAAGAAAUUGAAUGAUACCAGGUUUGAAAUUAAAACGUGAUGCAUCAGGAGGGAAAACUAUGCAUGAUGGUGACCCUGUUCUAGUAGGAUGCAUGAAAUCUCUAAGGGUCCUAGGUUGGUCAUGAAGAUCUUGCAAGGCUUGGUCAUAUUUAAGGGUGGUGAAGGUGAUUUUCUAAUUAAUCUACCACUAUUUGUACGAGACCAACGACGCAUGCAAUGCUAAUGAUGUGUGCUAAACUAAUGAUGCAAAAACGCUAAAUGAAAAUUGCAGAAAUAAAAGUAAACUGGAAAUUAAAUAAGCAAAAAAAAUACGAAUAAAAAUAAACACUGAAAAAUAAAUAAAUAAAUUAGGCGGUGAAACCAACCAUUAAAAGAAACAGUUUAGGCGGUAUUUUAAAACCAGCCAUAUAAUAAAACAUAAAAUUAAAUAAAUUAAUGCACAAAAAUAAAUAAACUGAAAUUAAAAUGCUAGGCGGUAGAACCGACCAUAUAAAUACAAAUACAUAAAUUAACAAAAUUUAAAUAACAGUCAAGCGGUAGAACUGACCAUUUAAAAUAAAUGCGGAAAGUAAAUUACAGAAAUUUAAAUAAAUAAAUUUGAUUUGAGGACUGAUUUGCAAAGGUUUUUGGGCUAAGAUGAAGUUUUUCACAAAUUUUAUGGAUAAUGUUAAGGUUUGAAAAGAAGAGGGGUGCUAACUAAAGUUUUACAAAAAGAGAAUCAAAUAGAAUCACGGAAAGAUGGUAACGACAAAACAAACAAAAAUAAAUUAAAAUAAAAUAAAAAUAAAGUAAAGACAAACGAAUACCAAAUUUAGAAAACUCCCCGGCAAUGGCGCCAAAAACUUGACACUACUCAAAAGUGUGUUACUCUCAAGUAUAAGAGUGUCUAGUUAUAAUAUAACCCGGUGAGACCGGGGUCGAACCACAUGGAGUUUUAAAUCUAGUAAAACUAAGAAAAUUAAUUGUGGGGAAAAGAAAUUAUUUGAAAUCAAUUUAAAAAUAAGUUAAGGUUUAGGAUCCACUCUUUGUAUUCAAACUAUAAUUUUAAUACUCUCUUAUUUAUAUUUUGCCUCACUUUUACCAAUUAAUUAUUAUAUCAUUUAAUUCUAUGUGUGUGGAUAAAUAUAGAAUAAAGUACCUAAUGUGCCACACUAUAUUAAUGUGUCGACAUUAUGUCAAAAUACCAUAAAAUCCAGUAGAUUUAUAAAUUAACAUGAUAUAAAAAUAAUUAGAAAAGAAUUAAAAAAAAACUCAUUUGAGAAAAUAAUAAUAAUUAAUAGUUUGAAACAUUGAGCUUCACUCUUCACCUCAGCUUAAUAAAAUUAGCUGCUCAUAUUGAAAGAAAACACAACAAUUUUUUUAUUUGAUAAACGUUUGAAAUAUAUUACAAAGAAAAUUGAUACAAACGGAAAUAAGAAAAGAAACAAAGAAAGAAAGAAAAUCUUCAGUCUCGGCUUCAGCUCUCAAAUUUUGCUCUCCAGCUUCCCCUCGCUCUUCAAUUUCUCCUCCCUUUUUAUAGGCAACAAUUGCCUUUAACUUUCUUUAUUUUAUUAUUUAUUUAUUAUUUUAUCAUUAUUUUGAAAUUAUAUAAGUGUGUUGAAAUAUGUGAUGGUCAGGAGGCGUAAUGGCCUCCUGACCAUCACCAACAUGUUUUUGUUCUUUUGUUCUUUUUUUUAUUGAUUAUUUAUUAUUACAUCUCUUCAAUUUUGUUCCAGUAGUUCUUCUCUGUUUCUGCUUUCAAUUCCAAGUCCAUCUUUAUUCCUGAAAAAUAUUUACAAGAUAAAAAUUAACAAAUUACGAAUUAAUUUAACAUAAAAUAUAUUUGGGGAAUAUUAAAAUAAUUUAGAAAUAAUGAACGCAUUAAUCGACACAAUAAGUGAAAAGCUAAUAAUUUUAUCCUUAUUAAAUGUACACGUUUUAGUGUCAAUCACACCCCCAACCAGCUUAUUAUUAGGCCCUAGCAAUUUAAGCGAUAAACGUUUAGUAAAAUUUCAAACUCAAAUUGAAAAUCAUUUUUUUUUAAAUUGUGUUUACUUCUUCCAUCAAAUUAAAUGUGAAUUUGAUAAAGUUGAAAAUACCAUAUGCUAUUAUAAUGAUCAAUAUUUUAUAAAGAUACCAGAUCCAUGGGGGAAAACGAUUAUGUUAGAAUAUAACAAGGAAUAAAUUGAUACCCUAAGAAAUAGGAUCAGAUUUGCUCGAAAUAGAAUUAGUGAACCGUAUGUUGAAAAAAGAGUUAAGAGACUUUGGUAAAGUCCCCAUAGUUCAGCUUCCAUAAUGGAAUAACUACCCAAAUUCAUGCUAAACCCGCAAACCCAUUCCCUACAAUAAUUCCUCACCAAGCCACCACAAUUAGCCAAUCCCGAUCUCUUCAAAGCCUCAUCAGUAUUGAGCUUGAAGAAUGACCACUUUGGGGGCUGCCAAUAGAUCCAUCUUUUAGUUUUUGGAACUCUCUGACUAUCUAAAGACUUUAUAAGCAGCGAUGCUUUUUUCCGUGCGAUUGUUCACAUUCACAAUUACAUUGUGAAGGCUGCUUGAUUUGUGCGCAUAAACGAACUCAUUGUGCCAAUACCACAUGCGCCAGACAUGACGCCAAAUAACAUUGACCUAUCCUUCUCAUUAGUGAUCCUCAAGUGGUUUUUCAUAUUAUAAACAAUCCAUGCACGAACAUCCAAUGUAAAAAAGGUAUGACUUGUGUGUUUCGAAAUAAGGGCUAACCAAAUGCGUUUAGAGUCAACAUAAUCCCCGACUGCAUGGAGAGCAUCCUCUAUGAUAUGCCCACACCGCAUGCAAGUACUAUCAUUAAGCACAUGUCUUCGCGAUAAUUUAGCAUUAUUUUUCAAUCUAUUAUGCAUCAGCAGCCAAAGAAAGCACUGAAUGCUUUGGGGGCCUCUCCAUAUCCAAAUCAAAACCCAAAGGGAAUUAUUUUCAUUUAGCAUCGGUCUAAAGAGGGAUAAAUAAGCUGACCUCACGCUAAACGAACCAGACCGCGAUGGACCCCAAUAACAACAGUCAACUUCAUCGCUAACAGAAGGGGGCAUAGUGCCUGCUAUUUUGAGAAUUAUAUGGUGGGGUAGAAAAGAAGCAAAACAGUCCCAGUUGCAAGCACCAUUAUUAUCGAUAAAAUUAGCUACACACUCAUUUAAUAUGUUUUCAGUGAUUGUACCGAAAGUAUAAGAUUGCAACCAACGCCCAUCCUCCAGCCCAUAAUCUUUCCAAAAUCUAGCCAACUUCCUAUUCCUAAUAGCCCAGCGAGUCCCUUAGAGAACCUCAUUCCAUACGUUUCCCACGAAUUUUCAUAAAGGAGAACUAUAUCAAGUAGGACGUUUUAGAGGAAGGUUUUCUUUAUCAACGCCAUAUUUAAAUAUCAAUACUUGAAUCUAGAAGCUGUAGGGUGAUUCAAUAUGACCCCAACCAAUUUUCAUUAGUAAGGCUUUAUUCAUGAGAUUAAGAUCUUUAAGGCCAAGGCCCCCACAUAAAUUAAGGAGUUGUACUCUAUCCCACUUAAUAAGGUGUAUGCGAUGAGUCUCGUCAAUCUCGUUCUAGAUAAAAUGCUUGCAAAUCUGAUCAAUUUUAUUACGAAUACUUAGAGGUAGCAUGAAGGUCUACAUGGAAUAAGUUGGGAGAGCCAGAAUGAUCGACUGCAUUAAUGUUAUCGGACCUACAAGAGAAAGAUGUUUGGUUGUCCAGCCCGGAAGUCUCUGUAGUGCUAAUGGUGGUCAAGGAUAAGGUACCAGUUUCAGUGGGAGACAUUGAGUUUGCAUGAGAAAUCUGGGAGAUUUCAUAGAGAAUGUAUGAGUUAGUGACAAUGGUAAACAUGAUUAAACGCGUGAACUAACAUAAAAUGAAAUACAAAAACUAAAUGAUAAAGCACGAGUUUUGAAUAACAUUUAUUCUUCAAUCCACCAUCAAUUAAACAGAAGCAAGCCACUGUCAUUCUAAGUAAACAAACAUAACAAAACCACCUACAUAGGAAUAAUUUUUCAAUAUAGGAAUCUUGAACUUUUCAUGAAAAAAAAUCAGUUUACAAUAUUAGAGGUACGUGAAAAAUAAAGUUUAUAACAUUGUAUUAGUGGCUUGAGCAAUGCUUUUUGCCACUACGUUUUUUGUUGUUGUCUCUUUUGUGAAAUCAAGCCCCGUAGCCAAAGUCUCUCUGAUAGUAUUGAUGUUGCUGCCACCGGGCAAAUGAUGAGCAACAAAAAAACUGCUUAAAACAUUGCAGUAACUUUAAAACAAGGCAUGAAAUUAAAAGGAAGAGAAUAGAUGAUGCACUUUUGAAGGUAGAAAAGAAGGAUGAUUCAAGAUUCAUUUCAAAUUUUUUUGAAGUGUUUUGAUUAGUGAAUAUCCAAAGGCUGCUUAACUACAAAGGUGAAGUGGGAAGAAAUUUUGACAUUUUGUUACAUUGAGCUAGCCAGCGAAUGUCUAUGAGGGGCUUCACUUGUACACAUAAAAAAGGAAGAUUAAUUACUCGUGGUUUUUUAUUCAGAAAAAAAAUGGCUUGCUUAAAAUAUAGAGUGUGGUUAAUUUCAUUGAAGGACAUGAUUCAAAGGAAAAGAAAAAUAAAUCUAAUAAUCAACUAAACAAAAAAUAAUGCCAAAAACAAUAAAUUUAAUUAAAUGUACAGUGAAAUUACCUUUAUAAUGCAACAAGAUAUUAAAAUCAAUAGUUAAUGCUAAUAAAUGAAGCGUAAUUUAUUUAAUACUUAUUUAUGGACUCUUUCAAUUCCAUUAAAGCCACUGCAAGUCGUUUUUUAAUAUUCGCUGAGAUAAAUAGAGGCUCAUGCCUUUCUGAUUCUUCCACAUCUCUUUCAAUUCUAAUUAAGCCGUUUGCAAUUCUCUUAAGAAAUUAAAAAAUGUCGAAGAGUCUUACUUUCAUCAUUUUGGCUUUGCUUGUAGUGGCAAACACUAAAAACAUGCUUAUUUCAGCCAGUAGAACUAGCCAAGGAUCUAAGCCAGAGGCUUUAUUUUCUAUUAACCCUAUAGCAUCACCUGACAUUGUUGAUUGCUCAGGGCUCACAAGUGAAGAGUGUUUGAUCGAGUUGAUUAAGAAAGCACUUGUAGACUAUCGAUACCCCUGCCCUGAGGGGGGGUGCAAAUGAUAUUGUUAAUAAGUUAUUUCUUUUACCUUGUAGGAGUGCUUUUGCAAUAACGAUCAAUUACAGUGAAAUUGAAUUCGUGUUUUUAAUAAAAUAAAACAUUAAUCCAUUAUGCAUAGGUAAUAUUAUGUCAUAUGUUUUUGGUGUGUGUAUCUCCUACUGCUUUGUUAUAGAUGCAUCGUCGAAUCAAUCUUCCAGAAAUCAGUUUCUUUAAAUAAUAGAAAUUAUCAACCAAUCAACAUUACUAUGUUGGUACCAUUUGUAAUAUUUAAAUUUUAAGUCUAUCUACUUUUAGGGUGAGAUUAUUGAUUCCUAAGAAAAAUAAUAAAAUAAACCCUCAUUAUCGAAAUCCUAUAUUACUAAGCUGUCUGAUUUAAUUUAAUGUUAAACUUUAAUUUAACCCCUGAAAAUGUCCAGACUUACCUACAUUUAUUGCUAAGAAUAUGAUUUAAAAGUUCAUUAAUGUGCACCUCAUUUAUGCUCAUCUUUUGAAGAACAAAUAGGGUGGAUUGAGAUUUUCAUACUUUUGGAGGGUAAAUUAAAGAUAGUUAUUAGGAGGGAACAAAUUGAAGUUUGUUUUUAAAUGCAAAGAUGUAUUCUUUUCGUUUAUUUGAGAUAGUUCGUUUGACUUUAAUUUAACAUAUGUUUUUGUAAUUGAAAUAUAGAUACUUCUUUAUUUUUGUUAUUCAGCUAAGUAAUAUAAUAUUUAUAUUUAAUUGAUCACUUAAAAAAUGUUUAUGCAUUAAUAUGUUAAUUUUUCGCUGCUUGGAAGGUAAGAAUUUUUUUUUUAUAAGAAAAUAAUGCAAGCAACAAUAAGAAUUAAGAUUAAUCAUAUAAUGAUGCAAACUAUGGACAUGCUAAUUAGUUGGUACACGGAAUCUUAAUCAAUGAUGUCCGGUUUCAGCUUUCCUUGUUUUUUCUUUCUUCGGUAAUGCUCUUGAGAUGUUAUGAAUUAAAUAAACAUAUGUUCCCAAUUAUGCACUCUUAUCAUAUAGGGAGCAUCAUAAACAGAGGAAAAAAAAAUUUCAAGUUUGGUGACCAAAAAGACUUGAAACAAUGCCUAAUGUCUUUGAAAGAAGUAGGGGAUUCAACACAACUGUGUGGACUGAAUAGAGAAGUAGUAGCAAAUAGAACACUCAACAUAAAAGGCACCAAACAAAAUACAGUUAAAAGGUUGUUACAAGUGAAUAAAAGUUACAGAUUUUAUUUUGAAAUUAAAUUCUAAAAAUAAAUUCAAGAGUUAGUGUUUCAUUUUCUGGAUGUAAAUGCCCUUCACCAAUUUCAUUUUAAAAACACACCAAAAUCCAAGUAAUUUUUUUGCUCACCUCUCUCAACUAAAAUCUUUCUAUCUUAGACUUCACGUGAUGGAGUUCCAACACUAGUUUGAAGUUCGCAAGAGUAGUGAGAUUAUGUUGCCGAGACCAUUUGACUUUGUAAUAUCCUAAGGGACAGUUGCUAAUAUAACCUAAGUACUACUGAGAAAAUGACAAAUCCUUUUUAAGGACAUUGUAACUGCACAUGCCUCAGUUUUAAUUUUAUGUUCUUCUCUUUUCUUAUUGAUCUAUACUAGAGAAAAUAUCUCUACACUAACUCUGUUUUUAUCAUAUGUACAUCUAGACACCACAAAAUUUUAACAUGUUCUUUGCACCACCAUCAUUUCUGAACUUGUAUUAAUCGACUAAUUUGACAAUAAUAAUUAAAAUAAAAUGACCAUUUUACCCCUAAGUGAUCUAAAAGACCAUUUUAUCCCACGAAAUUUUUAAUUAAAAAAAUAUGAUUACCAUUUAAUUAAUUGAUAAAAUAUUAUUGAAAAAUCAACCUGCGAGUACUAUUUAAUUAAUGGAUAAAAUAUUAUUGAUUUUUUCAAUUCUUUUGACCAAACAAAUGUGUAAUUCUCAUCUUAAAUAUUUUCCUUUUUUUUUAUCAAUCUUACAGUCACAAUUAUCAAACAAUUUUCAUUUUUUAAAUUAAUCACCAAAAUAACAAUAGUUUGAACCAAUUUUGAAUAAUAAAAAUUAUAAAUUGGAAAAUGUAUCGAGUAAAAAUUAUAAUUAUAAAAAUUAACAUCGCAGAUUUUGAGAUUUUUUUCUAUUAAAUCAAAGGUAUUCUCAUGACUAUAAUUUUUUUUUUCAAAACUUUUGUAGGAUAAAAUAGUCUUUCAUUUCAUUCAAGAAUAAAAUGGUCAUUUUAUUUCAUUUCUUAGUGUGAAAGUAGUUCACUGAAAGAACUUUAGAAACAAAGUGGUGAAAGAACAAGUUAAAAAUUUGUGGUAGUUAGAUAUAUGUAUGACAAAACAGUGGUGGUGCAGAGAUAAUUUCCCUUAAUACUAUUGACAAGUGUGUAGCUAGCUUACUAGUAAACUUAGGCACUCUUAGAAAGAUUCUAAAGCAAAAGUAAUGCCUGAAAAAUCUAGAUUUAAGUAAGGCCAUUUGUGACCCUUUUAGUCUUUUCUAAGAACUCAACUGGUAUAUUUUUUCAUACACUAUGGAUUGUUUUAUGUCAUUUAUUGGCAAUAAUUUUCAACAUAUAUUCCCAAACUUUACCAUUAUAUAGCUUGAAGUUCAUAGGACUUUGGAAUCAGAUCAUUUACAACAAUCUUUACAAGGUGAUAAUGAUACGGAGAGCAUAUGUAAAUUUUAAGUCAAUCAGUAUGAGGGCGCCUUCAACUUAAUUGGGGUCUUCACUUUUAAGGCACUACCGGGGUGGUCAUUGCCCUCAUUGCUUAUGUACCUUAACUUCAUAUAGAUUUUUACUUUUUUCGAUCCCCUUUUUGGAGCAUAAGUAGAUUGUCGAUUAAUGCCAAACGCAUAAGAAUAUGGUCAGAUGCCUAGAUUAUAGAAAAAUAACGAAAUUUAAAGUAAUACAUCAGACUGCUGAUGUAUUAACAUUAUAUUGAAAUUUAAUAUUUGGCUACCAACAAGCACAUAUUAUAUAAAAAGAAUUAAACAAGCAAAUAAGCAUAAAGUGAAAUACUUAAAUAGAAUGAUAGAGCGCAUGUUUUGGAAAAGUUUAUUCCUCAAUCCACCACUAAUUAAAUAGAAGCAAGUCACUGUCAUUCUAUGUAAACAUACAUAAACAAUCACGUACUUAGGAAUAAUUUUUUGAUUUGGGAAUCUUGAAUUUUUCAUUAAAAAAUUAGUUUACAAUAUUAUAAGUACGUGAAAAAGAAAGUGAUCGUGUACGAGGGUUUUUUGCAUUACCGAUCAAUUGCAGUGAAAUCAAAGCUGCGUUUUAAUAAAAAGAAGAAAAGGAUCACACAUACAUAGUUCAUACUUCUAAAUGUUGGAUUAAAAUUUAUUAAAACACAACACGGGCGAAGUCACUAGCAAAUAGCAAAGAAUAGCAAAGUCAUUCUUCGGGAAUAUAUUGAAUAUCACUCUAGAUAUGUUACAGUAGUAAACUUCACUCCAUUUUAUUAGAAGUAAUAGGACCAUUUGGUCCAUAUAUUGAAGAUGUAUCUACCUACAAAAGCAUAGUUAAUGGCCAACAAUAUCUCAUCUUAACCACACCAGAGACAUCAUUUACAAUGCAUAAGCUAAAUUAGUAUAUGGCUGCUCCUACACUUCAAAAUCUAAUGGCUUGUAAACGAGUGUUAAGGUACUUAAAGGAACUGGAAGAUAUGGAUGAAACUAAUUGGAUUCACAGAUACAGAGUAGGUAUGUGAUUUGGAUGACAAAAAAUCUAUUGGAGUUUACUACGUAUACUUGGGAAACAAUUUAAUACAUGGUCAUCAAAGAAGCAAUCUAUGGUAGCAAGGUCCAGUGCAGAAAGUGAAUAUAGAGCACUUGCAGAAUUAACUUGGUUGCAAUCAUUAUUCAGUGAAAUCAAAAUACAACGUACAUUAGUUCCAUCAAUUUGGUGUGGUAAUGCAAGUGCCACUGAAUUAUCCAAGAAUCCAAUCUAUCACUCAAGAACUAAACAUAUUGAGUUGGAUAUGCACAUUGUGAGAGGCAAAAUACUUGUAAAAGAACUUUUAAUCAGUUAUAUAACAUGUGCAGAACAAAUUGCCCAAUUAUAUCUUUACAUAUUAAUUUUGCUAGUAUAAUAUCCUUGAGAAUAAUUUGAAUCAAAUGAUUUUGUUACUUUGGUAGUAAUUAAAUAAUAUUAGAUUGAAUUGCUGUGUCAUUUGUUUAGCUUAUUUUAACCCUAUGUAAAAUUAGCUUCGGCAAGUAAAAUGAAAUUUACAUUAUUAAAAUCAUUGUUUGUGGUAAUAAAAGUUCACUUGGAAUUUUAUAAUAUCAACUUGAAAUUUAACUCAAAGUAUUGGUAGUUAAGGAUUUUAAUAGAAAUAUUAAAUAGAAACAAGUAGUUAACAAGUUAAAACAAGUAAACCUAUAAUUGAGUAUGUUUAACUAAAAUUAGGGGCUAAUUUAACAAAAAGUUAAACAAUAGAAAGUAAAUUUGGCAUUUAACCCAAAUAGUUAAAAUUUUACCAAGUUAUUGGAAAUACUCAAACAAAAGUAUUGAAAUAAUAGUUGAAACACAUAAGUUAAAAAGGAAUAAAAUAUUAACCAAAUUCUAAUUUUAAAACUCAUCCAAUAAGAAAUGAAUUUAAUUAGAAUUUAACAAAAAGUAUUGGUAUUUAAUAAACUUAAUAUGAACAUUAAACGCAUAGCUGGUAGAUUUAUAAGUUAGAAAUAUGUAAACCUAGAAGUAAGAAGGUUUAACCAAAAUUAAGGCAUAAAAAAUAUAUAAAAAAUUCCAAUUGGUAUUUAAAUUAAAUAAUUGCAACCUUACCUAAUCAGUAGGAAUAUUCAACAAAAAAAUAGUGGAAUAAUUAGUUGAACCAUAUGAACCUAGAAGGGAGAAAAUUUAAGCAAAAUUAGGAACUUAUCCAAUGAGAAUGAACAUUAUUUGGAAUCUAACCCAAAAUUGGUAUUAAAUGAACGUAGUAGGAAUAUAAAACACAAAACUGGUAAACUACUAAUUAAGUUGAAGCUUGUGGACCUAUAAGUGAGAAAAAUUAACCAAAAUUAGAGACCAGUUUAACCAAAAAUAAAAUUAUAAAAAUUAAAUUUGGUGCUUACCCUCAAUAAUUAGAAUCUUAUUAAGUUAAUAGAAGUAUUCGAUACCAAAAUUAUGGAAAUUAGUAGUUGAAACUGGAAACCAUAAGAGAGAAAGUUCAAGUAAAAUUUGGAACUCAUCCACCAGAAAUAAAUUUAACUUGGAAUCUAACCAAAAUAUUGGUAUUGAAUGAAUAUAGUAGGAACAUCAAACACAAAACUAGAGGACUAAUAUGUUGAAAUAUGUGAACCAAUAAAUGAGAAAGUUAACCAAAGUUAAAGCCUAUUCUAACAAAAAAAAAUUAUAAAAAUUAAAGCUAUUAUUUAUUUCAAAUAAUUGAAAUUGUACUAAGUUACUAUAAAUAUUCAACACAAAUGAAAUAAUUAGUUGAGACAAGAACUCGUAAGAGAGAAAUUUUAAGCAAAAUUAGGAAAUCUUUAAAUGAAAAAUGAAAGUUGGAAUAUAACUUAAAAUAUUGGUAUCGAAUUUGGUACGAAUAUCAAAUACAAAAUUGAUGGACUAAUAACUUGAAACGUGGGAAACCAUAAGUGAAAAAGCUUAAGCAAAAUUAACGACUAGUCUAAGAAAAUAUAAUUGUUAUAUUUAACCCAAAUAAUUGAAAUCUUACUAAAUUAAUGAGAAUGCACAAUGUUCCUAUUGAAUUCCUUAAAUACUAAUAUAUUGGGUUAGAAUGUAAGUAAAGUCAUUUCCUAUUGGAUAAGUUCACAUUUUCGUUAUAUUUUCUACUAUUUGGGCUCAGUAGUUUCAAUUAAUUAUUCCAUCAUUUUGGUGUUGAGCAUUUCCAUUAACUUUGUAAGAUUCCAAUUAUAUAGGUUAGAUACUAAAUUUUUAUUUUUUAUAAAUUUAGUUUUGUUAGAUUAGUAACUUAUUUUGGUUAAACUUAUAGGUUCGUUUAUUCACUUUUAAGUUCACUAUUUUCGUGUUUUAUAUUCCUACUAAUGUCGUUAAAUACCAAUAUUUUGAGUUAGAUUUUAAACAACUUUCAUUUCUAUGAGAUGAGUUCAUAAUUUUAGUUCAACCUCAUUUCAUGUGGGUUUAUAUAUUUCAACUAUUAUUCCACUAAUUUUGUUCAGAAUAUAAAAAUGGAAGAAAUAGUUAUUUAUUUUGUAAAUAAUGGAGGAUAUAAUUUAAUGAUAGAUAGUAAAUAUAGACAAUAUUAUUAUUCAGAACAAAAUAUAUUAGAUGAUAACAACUAGAACAAUUGUAUUUUUCCGGAGAGCUCAUGAAAUUAGAAUUGGAGAACUCAUAAUAAUAAAGAAUUGAAAUUUCAACAUAGAUCCUAUUCUCCUAUUCACAGUUAGGAGAGAGGUUUAUAGAAAUAAUUUUUCAUAGAAAUAAUGGAAUAUUAAUUAUGUUGAGGAUUAUAUAGAUGAACUUGUGAUUGAUUAUAAUAGAUUUUUAACUAUUAAGCAAAGAGAUGAAUACAAUUGGAAUAAAUAAAGGAUCAGAAGUGAAUACUAUCCUUCUAGCAACAUUCUAAUAGGAUACAAAGAUUUAAUUAUAUAUAAGCUUUGUUAUAUACAUAAAGGAUUAGAAGAAAACAAUAUUUCUAAGGAUAUAAAAAAUAUUAUAUAUCACAAAUACUUGAUAGAAUAUAAUGAAAUAUUAUACAUAUGGUAUUAUGAAUAUAUUACUAGAACCAUUGAUAAUUUCAAAAAAUAUAGAAACCAAUAAAUUUCCACCUUCUCGCUAUAGGCAUAGAGGAUUUACUUAUGAAAGAUUUCAACCAUUUGAUUUGGUAAAUGAUUUUGAUAUGUAAGGAAGUAAUAAGUUAAACUAGAUUUCUCUAUAUUUAUUAAAUAAAUUUGGAAAUCCUAAUUUAACCAUAAAUGAUAUAGAAGAAAGUACAAAUGAAAUACUUGAAAUUAAAAGCUUUAAUACUGAAAAUAUAACACAAGUUAAAAUGUUAAAAGAUCAAAUGAGUGAAGAAUUUGAUUCACUCAAACAAUUAUAAAAGACUUCAAAAUUGAAGAUUAAGAUAGAUUGAAAUAAGAAAUCAUUAAUGUCAUGAACAAAAAUUCAAUUGAAGAUCAAUUACAUAAAAUUGGAAAAAUCAUUGAACAACUUGGUAAUAAGUGACAAGACUCAAAAGUGUAUUACUCUCAAGUAUAAGAGUGUCUAGUUAUAAUAUAACUUGGUGAGACCGGGGUCGAACCACAUGGAGUUUUAAAUCUAGUAAAAGUAAGAAAACUAAUUGCGGGGAAAAGAAAUUAUUUGAAAUCAAUUUAAAAAUAAGCUAAGGUUUAGGAUCCACUCUCUGUAUUCAAACAAUAAUUUUAAUACUCUCUCAUUUAUAUUUUGCCUCAUUUUUACCAAUUAAUUAUUAUAUCAUUUAAUUCUAUGUGUGUGGAUAAAUAUAGAAUAAAGUACCUGAUGUGCCACACUAUAUUAAUGUGUCGAUAUUAUGUCAAAAUACCAUAAAAUCCAGUUAGAUUUAUAAAUUAACAUGAUAUAAAAAUAAUUAAAAAAGAAUUAAAAAAACUCAUUUGAGAAAAUAAUAAUAAUUAAUAGUUUGAAACAUUGAGCUUCACUCUUCACCUCAGCUUAAUAAAAUUAGCUACUCAUAUUAAUAGAAAACACAACACUCUUUUUAUUUGAUAAAAUGUUUGAAAUAUAUUAUAAAGAAAAUUGAUACAAACGGAAAUAAGAAAAGAAAAAAAACAAAGAAAGAAGAAAAUCUUCAGUCUCGGCUUCAGCUCUCAAAUUUUGCUCUCCAAUUUCCCCCCGCUCUUCAAUUUCUCUCCCUUUUUAUAGCAACAAUGAUUUAACUUUCUUUAUUUAUAUUUAUUUUAUUAUUUAUUUAUUAUUUUAAAAUAUAUAAGUGUGUUGAAAUGUGUGAUGGUCAGGAGGCAUAAUGGCCUCCUGACCAUCACCAACGUGUUUUUGUUCUUUUGUUCUUUUAUUUUUUAUUUUUUAUUUUUAUUUUAUUGAUUAUUUAUUAUUACAUCUCUUCAAUUUUGUUCCAGUAGUUCUUCUUUGUUCUCGCUUUUAAUUUCAAUUCCAUCUUUAUUCAUGAAAAAUAUUUACAAGAUAAAAAUUAACAAAUUACGAAUUAAUUUAACAUAAAAUAUAUUUGGGGAGUAUUAAAAUAAUUUAGAAAUAAUGAACGCAUUAAUCGACACAAGAAGUGAAAAACUAAUAAUUUUAUCCUUAUUAAAUGUACACUUUUUAGUGUCAAUCACACCCCCCAACCAGCUUAUUGUUAGGCCCUAGCAAUUUAAGCGAUAAAAGUUUAGUAAAAUUUCAAACUCAAAUUGAAAAUCAUUUUUUUAAAAAAUUGUGUUUACUUCUUUCAUCAGAUUAAUGACAACAAUCAAAUAAAAGUAUAAGCAUUAUCUUCAGCCUGAAGAAAAUCACACCCGCUCAAAAUAGUUCAGUAAAAUCUUGUAAAAUGAUCAAUUAUCAGAGCUACAUUAAUCAAGCCACUUUUAAGAAUGAUACAUCAAACCCCAAAAUCUCACGAUUAAGAGUGACUAUCUCAAAAGAAGAUAUACCCCAAAUUAAUUUGUCACUCUAAAAAAAUGGUAAAUUUGAGAGAAUAAUAAAACAAUAUCACACGCUCUCACCAAGAUAAAAAUUAAUGCCCACAACUUAGAAAUAAAAUGAUAUCAAAUCCAAUGAAUUACUAGCAAAAUUUAUUUUUAUUUUUACUCAUCACCACAUCUUUUAGUCCAUAUUACCAGCUUUUACUUCAGAUUAUAAUUCCCAAAAAUCGAGAAGGACUUUUAUUAGGACGUAACGUAGGCUAUGGUUAUGGCUAACAAAAAAGGUGAUAGGGAAAAUAAAAAUAUAUGUUUGAAAAAUAGGGGACUUUUUGGAGAUUAUAAGGUGCUCUUUUUUUUUUUUCUCAGGUUCAAAGGGGUUAACUAUGGAUUCUUUAUAAUAGGGUUGGAUAGAAAGGCUCAAACGGAUCAAAGAUGGCCUUCUGUCAUCUUUUAGGGUUCUAUAUAAUCUUUCAUAUCCACUAGUUCAAUGGACUAUUAUAUGCGGCUGCACAAACUUUUUUUUUUAAUAUUGAGAUCUUGUACAAUAAAUUGUGAAGCUGUAUAGGCAAACAAGGUUACUCUCCAAGGAUAACAAACUCAAAAACUCGCUUGGUCUUUUUAUAACAUGUACAUUCAUCCAAAUGGCUUAAUCAAUUUCACUCAUUCAAUUUCUCAAUUUACGUUUCAACAUGCAAAGGGAAAAACAUAGUGUAAUAUAACUCAAGGCCAAAGAUAAUAUGAGUACCAAAAUUUGAAAAUCAUCAUGUUAUCCAAUGUUAAAAGAUCACAUCAAAAAAGAAAAUAAUUUUUUUUAAAGAAAGCACUAAAAAAUUGGGACUAAUUGUAGAAACUUAAGGGAGAUGAUUAAAAGAAAAAGACCGAAAACAACAAGUUAGAAACAUUGUUUUUUGGAAGAAAUCACAAAAAUUAAGAAGAUGCGUUUCUAGAGACAUUACAUUCUAUAUUCUGUCAUCUUCGACUCAAAUUUUUAUCCAAAGUUAGUCUUUACAACAAAAAUUAGUAAAAACAUCACUAGGAAUGAGACAUUCCAUAAUUAUCAACUAUUCCCUCCCCCCAACCUGAAGGAGACAUUGUCCUCAAUGUCUAAAGAAAGGAGUAGAGUUUAGACGAUAUCACCUGGUCACUGCUGGAAAUAUUUACAGACGGAGAGUUAAAUCUAAUUUACACUUUUUACGAGAGUUACUGCCAUCGUUAUCAAUUGCCCAAUCCAACACCAAAGUCAUGGGAUCUGGCUUUGGUUUGUAAGCUUGCAAAAGAGUGCAAAAGAUCAAGUAACUCAUUAGCAGUAUGAGCACAAAUGAAGAGUUUUUUCGCUGAGGAUGGAAUGAAAUAAUUUUUUAUUACAUGAUUAAGAAAUGUUAUUAAGCCAUUAUAAAAGUUAUUAACAUUUAACAAACCGAUUGGUUUUUUAUGGAUAUUAAAAUGGGUCCAGUAAGCAAAUGUAAUUAGCGCCUCCAAAGUUGCAAGGUCUCCUGGCAAGAAAAUAAAAACGUCAGCAUGAUUUAACAUUUCGGAUAUUCUUUCUUGCAUACUUGAGACAACUAACUCUUCUCCAGUUGGUGAGUCUGGUAGCCAUCCUAAAGGUUUUAAGGCUUUUGAAAUGAUGCCUAGCACUUGGCUUCCUCGAACGAAAGCAGCUUCAGAGACAAGCUUUGAUAACCCUCGGUCACCUCCUCCAUAUACAAGAUGUAGUUUCCUCUCUGCUAUAGCACGACCAAGAUCUACGGCUACUUAAACGAACUCCUUAAACUUUCCAUAGCGAAAUCUAGAAAGCACACAAAUGUUUUUAAGUUGACUGCUUGAAGUUGCUGCCAUUACAAAAAUUCUAAAAAGAAACAAUUUGUGAGUGCUUGAAAAGGAGUUCCUAUUUAAGGAUCUUGGUGACGGACAUAAUGAUGUACAUUUGUAAAUGGGGUGGUGUGUUUGUUAAAUGACGUGUGAAGCUUUUAGCUUAAUAAUUCAAAUGCAAACAGUGAAAAGAAAAAGUAAAUUGUGAUUAGAUAAAAAAAACAAUAAUAAUAAUAAUGCAAAAUAUAAAAGAACAGUAAAAUAAAAGGAUAUUUACUGGUAGUUGUAAUUGUGGCUUACAUCUUCCUCUGAUUUUACAUCCAGUAACGGCUUGAACGCCCUCUAUGGGUCGAGGAUAGGGUUCCCAUCCAGUUUUCUUAUAAACUGGCAAACAAGGUCUUUUAGAGUCAGAUUCCCAAGACUAAACUGUGCACUUUCCUUUUGGAACAGCUUCAACAAAUUUUGAAUUUCACGUUGAACAUAUAUGCUCGGAUGCAUCUCAAGAGAUCGUAAGAUAUCAUCCAACGAUUCUUUACUCAUGCUAUCCUUAACGAAUUUGAUUUUAUCUUCACGAUUUACAGAAAUCAUUCCUAAAGCUUUACAACGUGGAUUUUUGCAAGCAAGUCUUACACAAUGAGAACAUUCAGAGCCAAGUCGCUUAGCUCUUCUUUUUUUAGCAAAUGUACUUUUACCAAAACCAGGCAUGUAGGAAAUGAAUAGAUCAGAAAACUCACCUUCCAAUCGGACCUUUGCUUCGAUUAACUAUCGAAUGUCAGCAGGAAUCCCAUUGAUCAUUAACAAACACAGUUGUUCACAACGAGCUUUGUAACUCUUCUUAAGAGCAUUUUGAGGGAGAGAAGGAAAAUGUUGAUGCAAAUUUUGUUGUAUUUCUUCCAUGCUUGACAUUGAGGUUUCAGUUAUUGUGGGAAACUGAGAAUGCCGACUUAAAAAGUCACGGAGUACCGUUAUCCGUCAUUUAUACGAGAGAGUGAAUCAAAACAAAACAAAUCAAAUCUGCAAAAUCAAAUCAAAAGUGAAAAAUAGCAACAAAAUAAAACAAAAACACACAAGGAAUAUAACACACCUUCGUCCUUUUAUUGAAUCCAGUUCCAAUUGCAGAUUAUAAAUACCAUCAUCUAUUUCCUUGAGUUGUCUUUCUAGAUCUUUCACGUGAGAUACUAACUCUGGUGGUUGCAGAUCCCAAAUGGGAUGUAAUUUACAAAAUCGGAGCAAUUUCCUCAGGUGAAAUUUUACAUGAAAAAGCGUUUUAAAAUUAUCGAAAAGGAAAUUGCUCAUGGAGGUACUCAUGACAAGUAUAAAAAUUUGGUGAGCUAAAUCACAAUUGUCAAACAACACACAAUUAAAACAAUGCAAUGCACUCCAUUCAAGACAUAUGGAAAAGGAAAAAGAAAAAGAAAUCAAAUAAUUCAAAUGAUAAAGUAACAGUAAAUCAAAACAAAACGUUAAAAUGAAAAGGCUUAAUCAAAAUUUUGGUGGGUCACUCAAAUGGAAUUCGGCAUCUGCUUUAUGUGGUUGGUAUUCCAGAUAUGGUUUCAAUCUUUGGCCAUUAACUUUAAAUGUGACACCAUCCUUUGGAUUCUCAAUUUCUACGGCUCCAUAUGGAUACACAUUUUUUACAACAAAUGGGCCAUUCAACUUUGACUUUAACUUCCCUGGAAAUAAAUGAAGACGAGAAUUAUAAAGCAACACUUUUUGACCAAUUUCAAAUGUUUUCCGAAAAAUUCUUUUGUCAUGAAAAAAUUUGGUUCUUGCCUUAAUAAUUCUGGAAUUAUCAUAUGCAUCAUUCCUUAAUUCCUCAAGUUCAUUUAUUUGCAAUUUACGCACAUUGCCAGCAUCAUCAAGAUUUGAAUUAAAAGCUUUAAUGGCCCAAAAUGAUUUAUGUUCAAGUUUUACUGGUAAGUGGUAAGAUUUUCCAUAAAUAAGCCGAUAGGGUGACAUUCCUAAAGAUGUUUUAAAAGCAGUACGAUAUGCCCAAAGUGCAUAAAUUAGUCGAAGAGACCAAUCUAUACGGUUUGGAUUAACUGUUUUUUCUAAAAUUUGUUUUAUCUCCCUAUUUGCUAAUUCAACUUGACCACUUGUUUGAGGGUGAUAAAGGGUAGCAACCUUAUGUGUAAUUCCAUAUUUCUUCAUGAAAGACUCAAAUGGCUUAUUACAAAAAUGCUUACCUCCAUCACUGAUAAUGGCUUGAGGUAUUCAAAAUCUGCUCAAAAUAUUUUCUUCUAAAAAGCGGAUCACAAUCUUGUGAUCAUUGUGCCGACAAGGAAUCGUCUCGAUCUAUUUUGAAACAUAAUCAAUAGAAAUCAAAAUGUAUACAAAUCCAAAUGAUGAUGGGAAAAGACCCAUAAAAUCAAUUUCCCAACAAUCAAAUAUUUCAAUGACAAUGAUGGGGUUUAAAGGCUUCAUGUUCCGCUUUGAAAUAGACCCUAUCAUUUGAUAAUUCUUACACAUUUUACAGAAUGCAUGUGAAUCUUUAAAUAAUGUAGGCCAAUAAAAUCCACACUGCAAUAUUUUGCAGCUGUCUUUUUUGAAGAAAAAUUGCCACCGAAUGCUUCAGAAUGACAAAAUUGAAUGACCCUACUUACCUCGUCGUCUGAUAUGCCUCUUCGAAAAAUUUGAUCGGAGCAGUACUUGAACAGGUAUGGCUCAUCCCAGUAAAAGCUUUUUACUUCAGUUAAGAAUUUCUUCUUGUCUUGGGAACUCCAGUCACAUGGCAUUUCACUUGUUGUAGGAUAAUUAACAAUAUUAGCAUACCAAGGCAUUUUGUUUAUAGAAAACAAAAAUUCAUCAGGGAAAGAAUCAUUGAUGGGUGUUGUUUCAAUUGAAGACUCAUUUGUAAGUCUUGAAAGAUGAUCUGCAACAACAUUUUCAGCGCCCUUUUUGUCCUUGAUUGUCAAAUUAAAUUCUUGAAGUAGCAAAAUCCAUCGUAUUAACCUUGGUUUGGCAUCCUGUUUUGACAUUAAAUAUCUCACAGCAGCAUGAUCAGAAUAAACAACAGUACAUGAACCAAUUAAAUACGAACGAAAUUUAUCCAAUGCAAAUAUUACAGCAAGUAGUUCUUUCUCAAUUGUAGUGUAAUUCAUUUGAGCAGUAUUUAAAGUUCUACUUGCAUAAUAGAUGACAAAGGGCUUACCUUCCUUUCUUUGACCCAGAACAACGCCAACGGCAUAAUCAUUAGCAUCACACAUUAGCUCAAAAGGUAAAGACCAAUUAGGGGGUUGCAUUAUUGGGGCUGAUGUCAAAAAACUAAUUAUCUUUUCAAAAGCUUGUUGACAAUCUUUAGUCCAUUCAAAUUGUGUGUCUUUUAUUAGGAGGUUACAAAUUGGUCUAGAUAAGGCACUAAAAUCUUUUAUAAACCUCCUAUAAAAUACUGCAUGUCCUAAAAAAAGGGACUUCUCUAAUUGUCUUUGGUGAGGGUAAUUUUGAAAUGACUUCAACUUUGGCUUUAUCAACUUCGAUUCCUUUUGAAGACACAAUAUGGCCUAAGACAAUUCCAGAAGUGGUCAUGAAAUGACAUUUUUCCCAAUUUAAAACGAGUCCUUUUUCUUUGCACCUUUCCAAAACUUUUUCUAGAUUAUCAAGACAUGUAUCAAAAGAAUUACCAAAUACAGUUAAAUCAUCCAUAAAAACCUCUAGACAAUUUUUAACUAUGUCACUAAAAAUGCUUAGCAUGCAACUUUGAAAUGUUGCAGGAGCAUUACAAAGUCCAAAGGGCAUUCUCCUAAAUGCAAAUGUUCCAAAUGGGCACGUGAAUGUGGUCUUUUCCUGGUCUUCUAAGGCUUUAGGGAUUUGAUAAUAGCCAGAGCAGCCAUCAAGAAAGCAGUAGUAAGGAUGUCCAGCUACUCUUUCAAGAAUUUGGUCUAGAAAUGGAAAGGGAAAAUGAACUUUUCUAGUAGCAUAAUUUAAUUUUCUGUAAUCAAUGCACAUGCGCCAACUAGAUGGAAUUCGUGUUGGGAUUGAUUCACCUUUUUUAUUUUUUACAACAGUUAUUCCAGAAUUUUUUGGUACUACUUGUAUUGGACUUACCCGUUUACUAUUAGAGAUAGGGUAGAUAAUUCCUACAUCUAAUAGUUUAAGGACCUCAUUUUUUACCACUUCUUUCAUAUGAGGGUUUAGUCUUCUUUGUGGUUGACGGGUUGUUUUGGCAUUUUCCUCUAAGUGUAUUCAGUGUGUGCAAAUUAAAGGAUUAAUGUCUUUUAUGUCUUUUAAGGUCCAACCAAAUGCAAUUUUAUGCCUUUUUAGUACAGAUAACAACUUACCCUCUUGAUCAUGUGUGAGUUGAGAAGAAAUUACCACCGGAUAUGUCUGCUGCUCUCCAAGAUAGGCAUACUUCAAUUCUUCUAGUAACGGCUUUAAUUCGAGCUCUGGUGCUUCCUCUUCGUUUGCUUCUUUAGGUUGUACCGUAUCUUCAAAGUUCGAUUGGUCAUCAUCACCUAUAGGUACCUGCAUAGAAUCAAGUGUAGGACAUAUGUUAGCAGUAUCAAAAUCUAAUUCCUUACUUGAUUCAAUAGAACCAGUAAAAAGUAAAUUUCCGCAGAGUUUGUAAAAUUCUCAUCCUGAAUGUAUUCCUCAAUGAUUGGCUCGAUGAGAUCAAUUUCAUCAUUAUCAUUAUCAUCAUCUUCUUGGUGGUGAGGUUGUUUACACAUGUUGAACACAUUGAGUUCCAGUGUCAUGUUACCAAAAGAUAAAUUCAUUAAUCCAUUCCGGCAAUUUAUCAAAGCAUUAGUAGUAGCUAAAAAUGGUCGACCCAAUAUAAAAAUGGUCGACCCAAUAUAACAGAAAUUUGUUUGCAUUCAUUAGCAAUUGGUUCCGUUUCCAAAACAAUAAAAUCUACAGGAUAUAUGAAUUUAUCGACUUGGACUAAUACAUCUUCAAUUAUUCCUUUUGGAACCUUCAUCGAUCUAUCAGCAAGUAAAAAAGUAGUAGAAGUUGGUUUUAACUCACCGAGAUUGAGUUGUUGGUACACAGAGUAAGGAAGUAAAUUAACACUGGCACCAAGAUCAAGUAAAUCAUGUCCAAUUUUAUGAUCCCUAAUAGUGCAAGAAAUAGUUGGACAAUCAGGAUCCUUGUAUUUCAAAGCACUAUUGGUUGAGAGAAUGGAACUUACAUGUUCUGCUAGAAAAGCUCUCUUUUGCACCUUAUGUUUCCUUUUCACCGUGCACAGAUCUUUCAGAAAUUUAGCAUAGGACGACACCUGUUUAAUGACAUCCAGCAGAGGAAUGUUGACCUUUACUUAUUUAAAAACUUCAUAAAUUUCUGGACUGUGGUUUCAUUUCUUUGGCUUGAUCAGUGCUUGAGGAAAUUGGGGUACAAGAGGAGAAUUGGUUAUUUCUUCAUGGGUUAAAGGUUCGACAAACUCUUCCCUAUUUUUUGAAAUUGAAUCUUUACUAGUUUCACGAGGGUCCACAAUGUGUUUUUCAAUUACUUUACCACCACGAAGGUUAUAACCGAUUUGACUUGACUCAUAUUUUUGUUUCCUGAAUUUCCCAUUUUAGGAUGUUGUUGACUCUUGGGGUUUGGUUCAGGUUGAGCAGGAAACUUUCCUUUUUCAUGUAUGGUCAGAGCAGAUGUAAGUUUGGAGAUAGUUUCUGUCAAAUUGGUUAAGAUUUGCAUCUUUUGGUUAUUGAUUGACUCUUGUUUUUCAAUAAACGAAUGCAAUGUGUCUUUCAGAGUUUUUCUUGGUGGUGGGACAUAUGGUGGGUAGCUCUGGGAGUUUUGGAAAUUUUGACGUGGAGGGGCUGGUUGUAAAGGUUGUGCAUGAUUGUCAUUUCUCCAACUAAAAUUUGGGUGGUUUCUCUAACCAGAGUUGUAAGUUUGGGAGUAUGAAUUUGGAUUUGGCCUUUUGAAAUUAUCAACGACAUUUACUUGUUCAUGCAAACUUUGUCUUAGAGCUGGUAAAGUUGGACAGUCCUGCGUAGAAUGGUCAGUAGAAUCGCAAACAUAACAUAAAAUAUUUUGAACAGACUUUACAUGAUCAUUCUUUUUUUACUCUAAUGCUUCGACUUUUCUAGCUAAUGAUGCAAAUUUGGCUUGAAAAUCAUGGUCUUCCCUAAGGUUAUGCAUGCCUCCACCAGAUAGAGAUGACUAGGGUUUACUUGAUGACUCAUAAGAACCAACUGUAUUCCAGUGUUGUGCAUUUUCUGCUAUAUAGUCAAGAUAGUCUAAUGCAUCUUCAGGACUUUUAUCCCUAAACUCACUAUUACACAUCAUUUCAAUGACUUGUCUACCUUGGGAUGUUAAUCCCUCGUAGAAAUAAGACACUAAUCUCUAUGUUUCAAAACCAUGAUGUGGACAAAUGUUAAGCACUUCUUUAAACCUAUCCCAACAUUGGUAGAGAGUUUCUCCUAGCUUUUUAGUGAAAGUGGUGAUUUUGAAAUAUAAGUGUGCAACCCAAGAGGAGGGGUGAAUUGGAAUUUUAAAAAUUAUCCUAGCAAAUCCACACAACAAGCAAUCUAAUGUCUUAAUAAAAAUUGAAAGCAAUAAGUUCAAUAAAAGCACAAGAACAAAUGAGUAAGAGAGAAGAGAAACAAACACACGAAAUUUUACGUGGUUCGGCAAUCCCCGCCUAUGUCCAUGCCUCAAAGCGAUCCAAGCUUGAGGAUUUCACUAUCCGAGCCUUUCCAAGGCUUCAACCGUUUACAAUUGACUUCAAGGUGUCAAUGAACCUUUACAACAAAGAGAUUAUCUCCCAAUCUCUUCACUCAAGUGUCUCACACACUCAAACUUUUACAAUUAAGAUGAAGAAAUGAAAGUUACAAUAAAACUCACUCAAAGAGUAGAUAUUCAAAAAUGAAGAACAAGAAAUGAUUCAAUGUUUUGUGAUUUACAAAUUGAAAGCUCAAGAUAUCUCGUGUGCUUUUUGUUUAUGCUUGGUGGAGAGCUUGAAAAUGAGUUGGAUUUGAGUUUAUAUAGUUUAAGCUAAAAAAACUAGCUGUUAUGCACAUUUUGGUCUUAACCGGCUUGCCGUUUAUGAAUCCGAUAAGCUGCUUUUAUGUUACCGUUAAGGCAAAAAUUUGAAUUUCAGAAUAUCCGGCUUGCUGCUUUUCAUAUCCAGCAAGCCGCUUUUGAAAUCUGGAUUGUCGCUUGUGAAAUUCGGUAAGCCGUUUAUGCUCCAGAAGCUUACUGCCCAAAAUCCAGUUUGCCAUUUACCAUAUCCGGUAAGCCGCUUGCUACAGUGAAAUAUUUUCCAAAUUUAUAGUUUAACCCAAAACUUUAUAAAACUAUAUUAUGGCCCAAAAUGUUAUGAAAGUUUACAAAUUGGUCCAAUUUUAGAAUUUUAAAUAAUGCUUUGUCAAUCCCAAAACUUUUUGAAAUUAUGAUUUCGCCCAAACUAUGUGAAAUUUUAGAAUGACCUAAAAAUAUUUAAAUAGUUUCAAAUAGGUCCAAAUCUGAAAUUUAAAACAUUAUUAAAGAUUUUAAAAUACUUUCAUUUUAGUCCAAAAUACUUUAAUUCCAUAACAUCAUUUUCUUAUUAUAAAAGCACAAUUCCUAAAUCUUUGCUUCAUCAAUACAUGUGGUUUGUUAUCAUCAAAAUCAAUAUUUAUAGCCAUAUAGGCUAACAAAUUUGUCUUUUGAAAGAAUUUUUUCUAUGGGGUGGGAAGAAUUUUUUCAAAAAUUGUGCUUGCAUUUCAUCCCAAGUUCUGAUGGAUUCUAACCUAAGAUUUUGUAGCCAAGUUUUAGCUUUAUCCUUUAGUGAGGAAGGAAAAAACUUAAGCCUGAUUAUAUUCAUGCUACAAUUUUGAUCAAUACAGAUGUUACAGACUUCCUCAAAUUCCCUUAAAUGCAAAUAUGGAUUUUCAGACUCAAAACCAUGAAAAGUAGGAAGAAAUUGAAUGAUAUCAGGUUUGAAAUUAAAACGUGAUGCAUCAUGAGGGAAAAUUAUGCAUGAUGGUUACCCUGUUCUAGUAGGAUGCAUGAAAUCUCUAAGGGUCCUAGGUUGGUCAUGAAGAUUUUGCAAGGCUUGGUCAUUUUCGUGCUCCGAAAAAUUUUCAGCUCCUAUGUCAGCCAUAUUUAAGGGUGGUGAAGGUGAUUUUCUAAUUAAUCUACCACUAUUUGUACGAGACCAACGACGCAUGCAACGCUAAUGAUGUGUGCUAAACUAAUGAUGCAAAAAAGCUAAAUGAAAAUUACAUAAAUAAAAAUAAACUCGAAAUUAAAUAAGCAAAAAAAAAAUACGAAAUAAAAAUAAACGAACUGAAAAAUAAAUAAAUAAAUUAGGCAGUGAAACCAGCCAUUAAAAGAAACAGUUUAGGCGGUAUUUUAAAACCAGCCAUAUAAUAAAAAAUAAAAUUAAAUUAAUUAAUGCACAAAAAUAAAUAAACUGAAAUUAAAAUGCUAGGUGGUAGAACCGACCAUAUAAAUAAAAAUACAUAAAUUAACAAAAUUUAAAUAACAGUCAAGCGGUAGAACCGACCAUUGAAAAUAAAUGCGGAAAGUAAAUUACAGAAAUUUAAAUAAAUAAAUUUGAUUUGGGAACUGAUUUGCAAAGGUUUUUGGGCUAAGAUGAAGUUUCUCACAAAUUUUAUGGAUAAUGUUAAGGUUUGAAAAGAAGAGGGGUGCUAACUGAAGUUUUACAAAAAGAGAAUAAAAUAGAAUCACGGAAAGAUAGUAACGGCAAAACAAACAAAAAUAAAAUAAAAUAAAAUAAAAAUAAAGUAAAGACAAACGAAUACCAAAUUUAGAAAACUCCCGGGCAAUGGCGCCAAAAACAUGACACAACUCAAAAGUGUGUUACUCUCAAGUAUAAGAGUGUCUAGUUAUAAUAUACCCCGGUGAGACCGGGGUCGAACCACAUAGAGUUUUAAAUCUAAUAAAACUAAGAAAAUUAAUUGUGGGGAAAAGGAAUUAUUUGAAAUCAAUUUAAAAAUAAGCUAAGGUUUAGGAUCCACUCUCUGUAUUCAAACUAUAAUUUUAAUACUCUCUCAUUUAUAUUUUACCUCACUUUUACCAAUUAAUUAUUAUAUAAUUUAAUUCUAUGUGUGUGGAUAAAUAUAGAAUAAAGUACCUAAUGUGCCACACUAUAUUAAUGUGUCGAUAUUAUGACAAAAUACCAUAAAAUCCAGUGAGAUUUAUAAAUUAACAUGAUAUAAAAAUAAUUAGAAAAGAAUUAAAAAAACUCAUUUGAGAAAAUAAUAAUAAUUAAUAGUUUGAAACAUUGAGCUUCACUCUUCACCUCAGCUUAAUAAAAUUAGCUACUCAUAUUGAAAGAAAACACAACACUCUUUUUAUUUGAUAAACUUUUUGAAAUAUAUUACAAAGAAAAUUGAUACAAACGGAAAUAAGAAAAGAAAAGAAACAACGAAAGAAAGAAAAUCUUCAGUCUCGGCUUCAUCUCUCAAAUUUUGCUCUCCAGCUUCCCCCCGCUCUUCAAUUUCUCCUCCCUUUUUAUAGGCAACAAUUGCUGAUGAGCAUAAUUUGUAUACAUAUUUUACCGUUUAUUAUCUAAUUACUAGUUAUUUUUAUUAGUUAUUUUUAAUUAAUUGAAUUAUUUUAUUGCAUGGGGAAUUAAUUGGAGAUUGGAAAUAAAAAGUACAAAAAGAAUAACAAUUUAAAAGAAUAUUAGUUGAAGCCGUGACAGAGUUAAGAGUCAAGAGCAAUUUGCAUUGAAUUUCAAUUCUCCAACUGGGUUGCACGUGCAUGGCAUUGCAAAAGUGGAAAGCAAUUUAAAUAGGACCCGCACUUGGCUUUCAUAAUUGGAAAAGGAAUCCAAAAGCAAUUCUAAGGGUGAUCAUGUGUGAGAGCUAAAGCAAAUAAAAGGGCAAGCCUUUUGGCUUUAGGAUUUAAGAGGUGGGGCCCAUUUCAAAGAUUAUAAAAGGGAGUUUUGGCUUUUGGAGAAGGAGGCAGCCAUUGGACGGAAACAAAAGGGUGCAUACGCAAGGUUGGGAGAGAGUAUUCGGCAGAAGCAGCAGUUCGGCUUCCAUGGCUGAUUUUAUUUCUUGUGUUACUCUCAAUUCAAGUAUGUCUAGCUAAUUUUCUUAUACUGAGGUUAAGGAUGAAACCCUAUUUAAUGAAAUAAUUAUCUUUGUAUUUAAUUAAUUCCUUAUAUAUGUUCUUUGAUGAUUAUGGUUUUUAUUUCACAUGAUUAAUUGGAUGUAAAUAAAAUCUUUUCAUCAAUUCUGUCAUGCAUUAUUGAUUGUUAGGAUUAAUAUUUGAUUAAAUCUAUGCUUGGAUCUAUAAAGUUUAUACAUGAUUGUCUUUGAUUUUAUGUCUUUCAUUAAAUUGUUCACAUAGAAUGCUUAGGGAAACUUUGACUCUUUGUUAUUCAAUAUGUUUACAUGAAAUUCUUAGAUGUCAUACUAUUAAGCAGAAAAAGAACCUACAUAAGAUUAAUUUUAUUUGGGCUUAAUUGUUAUAUCUAUAAGAUGACAUAGAUUGAUUUCGAGUUGUCACUCUAAAAUUGGGGAUUAAUGAAUAUUUAGAUAAUUACUAGUUGAAUAGUGGUGGAUUCUGAAACCUUGGUAAUUCUUAUCUUAUUGAAUUCUCCUUUAUUUUAAUUGCUUCCUUGUUUAAUUGGUUUAAUUUUCUUAGAAACUCAAUUUUGGUCAACUAGGUUAGAAUUAAUGUUAAUUUUAGAUUUAAAUUAGACUUUUCAAUUUAUAACAAUCCCUGUGGGAUCAACCUCGUUACCACUAUUAUAUCUCUAGAUUUGUGCGCUUGCGAGUAUAUUAAAAUUUUCAUAACAAGUUUUUGACGCCGUUGUCGGAGAUUGUACUAGAAAGUCAGUUUAAUCUAGGUUAAUUUGAUUCUUCCACUAGUUAUAAUUUAGGUUGUCUUUUAUUUUAUUUAUUCAAUUUUUAUUAAAAAAAACAAAAAAAAAUUUAAUUUUAAUUUAAUUUUAUUUUGAAUUUAUUGUUUAGUUGUUUGCUUUCUUUUAUUUAAUUUUGUUUAUUUUUAUUAUUGUUGUUUUAUUUUUCUUCUUUGUCUAGUUAGUUUAUGAGUGUUUGGGAACGCGAUUCAACAAAUCGUUUGGUAAAAAAAGAGUCGAAAAUUGAUAGUAGUCGAGAUAGUUCUUCGGAAGUGAUGGAUGACCCCAAUAGAUUAUUGCCAAUACUUCCACCAGUGCAAGCAGAGAAAACCCUUAGAGAAUAUUUUUCACCACUUGCAGCCAACCAACCAUCUUGUAUUGUGUUGCCACAAACUACAGCAACACACUUUGAAUUUAAGCCCUCUGUCAUUCAACUUUUGCCAUCCUUCCAUAGGUUAGAGAGAGAGGACCCAUAUUUUCACAUUAAGGAAUUUCUUGACAUAUGCUCUACAUUCCGUUUUCAAAAUUUUAAUGAUGAGUCAAUUAGGCUUCGUAUGUUCCCUUUCUCAUUAAAAGACAAAGCAAAAGCUUGGUUGAAUUCACUUCCUGCUGGGUCCAUUAGUACAUGGGAUAAAUUGAGUAAUAAGUUUCUCACCAAGUUUUUUCCUAUGUCUAGAACAAAUGCCCUUAGGAGAGAGAUAAGUGAUUUUUAUCAAAGAGAGGGUGAGCAAUUUUACGAGUGUUGGGAAAGAUUCAAUGAUUUACUCCUUAAGUGUCCCCACCAUGGUUUUGAAAAAUGGAGACUUAUACAAUACUUUUAUAACGGUUUAACCAUGUCAAAUCGUCAUAUGGUAGAGUCUAUGAAUGGUGGGAGAUUUUUGAACUUACAUGAAUGGGCCGCAUGGGAUUUCUUUAAUUCACUUUCUGAAAUUUCUCAACAGUGGGAUUUUUCAAAUCAAAGGGAAAAAUCAUCUCAAGUUUCUAGAAAGGGGUUAUAUGAAGUUAAGGAUGAUUUAGAUAUGAAAUCCAAUCUAGCUACACCUUCUAGGAAAGUAGAUGCCUUAGUUAUGAACCAAUCCAUAAAUUAUCAUCCUAGUGUAGCUAAUGAGGUUUGUGCUAUUUGUUCUAACUUGUCUCAUACAGCACAGAAUUGUCCAUCAUUACCAGUCUAUCCAGAGGCUUAUUCUGAGUAGGUACAUGCCUUACAAUCAUAUGAGAAAACCUCCAAUAGUCCAUAUUCAUCCACAUAUAAUCCUAAUUGGAGGAAUCACCCUAAUUUUUCUUAGAAACAAAAUCAACCUUUGUCAAACCAAGGAGGGCAACAAUUUAACAUGCCCAAUCAACAAUUUGUCCCUCCUAACCAAGUAUAUCCUCCUGCCCAACAACCUAUGUCUCAAUUUGUUGCACCCCAACAAAGAAAGCCUUCUUUAGAGGAUACACUUCAAAGUUUCAUUUAGUCAACCCAACAAGCUUUUCAGUCAAAUACUCAAGCUAUUCUGAAGCUUGAACAUCAAUUGGGUCAAUUAGCAACUACUAUAGCGGAGAGAGAAAAAGGAAAAUUUCCAAGUCAACCAAUUCCCAAUCUUAAAGGAGUGCAUGAAGUUGAAUCGAGUUCAAGCCAUCAGCAUGAAGAAGCAAAAUCUGUUAUGACCUUGAGAAGAGGAAAGUUAUUUGACAACAAGGUGGAGGUUCAAACAAGAAAAACAUAUAAGUCUACUUCUUCAAAUCCAGUUCCAUCACAAGACUCAUCACCAAAUGAUCCAGAAGAGAGUGACCCACCAGCUUACAUUCCCAAGGCUCCUUUUCUUCAGGUUAACAAAGGUAAAGAAAGGGACUUCAACAGGUGAGAUUAUAGAAAUCUUCAAGCAGGUAAGUAUAAACAUCUCUUUACCCGAUGCUAUUAAGCAAGUUCCUUCCUAUGCCAAAAUUUUGAAAGAUUUAUGCACUAAAAAGAGAAAUUUGCAUGUCACUAAAAAGGCAUUUUUAACUGAACAAACUAACAAUUUACUUCAAUGUAAAAUGCCACCAAAAUUUAAGGAUCCUGGUUCGCCUACUAUCUCAUGUGUUAUAGGGAACCAAUGUUUUGAUAAAGCAUUAUUGGAUUUAGGCGCUAGUGUUAAUCUCUUGCCUUAUUCCGUUUACAUGCAGCUUGGACUAGGUGAGUUAAAAUCAACUCCUAUUAUUUUGCAACUUGCUGAUAGGUCAAUGAAAAUACCUCGUGGUAUUAUAGAGGAUGUGUUGAUACAGAUUGAUAAAUUUUAUUAUCCUGUUGAUUUUAUUGUUAUUGAUACUCAACGUGUACCGGAUCCGAAGAAACACACCCCAAUUAUUCUAGGUCGUCUUUUCUUAGCUACAACUGAUACUCAUAUUAGUUGCAGGACUGGAAACAUGCAAUUUUCUUUUGGUAACAUGACCAUGGAAUUAAACAUUUUUAAUAUUCCCAAGCAGGCACAAGAAGAUGAUGAAGUCGUUGAAGUAGAUAUGAUAGAAGCAUCAAUUGAUGACUCACUUAUUUCUAACCACUGUGACAAUCCAUUAAUACCAUGCACAACUGACUCUGAUUUCUCUGUUCAUGUUGAUAGUGGUAUUGAAGAAGUUAAUGCUUUACUUGAUUCGACUCUUAUCAUAGAUCUAAUUAAGUGGAAAGAAAAGAUUGAGCCACUUCCUCCUGAAGAGAAAAUUGAACUAUUCAAGUUGGAGUUACUUCCUAAAAAAGUGAAACAUAGGUCACAUUCUGACAUGAAAAAGGUGGUAAGAUCUAAAGUGCUUAAAUUAUUAGAUUUUUAUACUACUUCAGAUAACUCUCAGGAAAGCAUGGAACAGAAGAGAUCAAGGCAGUGUGAUAUUGAGGAGUUUCAUUACCAUCAUCUUUUUAUAGAUAAAAUACUCCAGUGCUUAGUCAAUUAUGUUUUCUGGCAUUUUCUAUAUAAUUGCUUUGCUUUUCACCAAAUUCUUAUUGAUCCUGGUUGAUUUGUUGUUUACAUUAAUUAGUUAGUUAUUAGGAUUUUUUUAUUUUUUAUUUUUAUUAUUUAUAUUUCUUCUAACGUUUUCUUUUAGUUAUCAUUUUUUUAAGCUUUCACAGCCCAUCCAGGUGUGUUCUCUCCAACUUUCUUUUUAUUAUUUAUGUUUUGUUAUUAUUUUUUCUUCUCUCAUUUGUAUAUCUUUUGUUUGUGAAACAUUGAGGACAAUAUUCCGAAUAAGUUUGGGGGUGGGAAUAGUGUGUGCUUUGUUUGUUAAAAUUUUUUUUUUUGUUUGUUAAAAAAAAAUUGUGUUUUUUUUUUGUUUUUAUGUGAAAAGCCAAUGAUAAGAAUUUGAUUGACAAUGAAUAUGAUUUUUAGAAAUGGUUGAAUAUUGUCUUAGUUUAUACUUGAUUCUUGUGUUAGUUCCUCUUGAUGGAGAUUCUUUAAAAUAUAAGCACUAAUGUCAAUUCUUUCAUAAUUUUGACUUGAAAUUUGAGAUUGACGCAGCUUGAGUUGAGAAUUUUAGAAAGAGUAAAUGACUGUUUGUCUUGAUUCUUAUCUCCACAAUACAAAAUAGUAUACAGAGGUGCCAAAGUCAGAAAUAGCUACCUAUAACCCUUAAGAGUGAAGCUACCCUUGAGUAAUUUGGUCCUAUGUACCACAAGUAUGUAGAGGAUAAUCUACCAUGAGAAGAAGGCUACCUUAAGGGGUAGAGUGAAAGCUCCUGACUAUGGUUAAGAAAAAAAAAGAAAAAAAAAAGAAAAAAGGAAAAGAAAAAAAAUCAAGUGCAUCUGCUAAAAAAAAUCAAUAAAAAAAAUGCACAUAAAAGCCUAUGAAAAACAAAUUGGAGAUUAAGAUGAUAAGAUUAGUUUGACCUACUCUUUUCUUUGUUUGAGGCGAAGGCUGUUGAUAUUAAGGAUUUUGGGAAUGGAUUUGAUUGAAUUGAUUUUACACACACACUACAAGAAUCGAAAGAGAGAUGAGAUUGAUUAUUGAAUUAAAGUUAGAAUUUUGCCAAUAUUUGAAAUUUUCUUUGAGCUAUAUAAUUUAUGUAAUCUUUGAGGCUAUCUUCAUGUUUUGUUUAAAGCUUGUUGUUCUUUUCAUUUUAUUUUUAUUUUAAUUCUUUGAAAAAUGAUGUUUGUGGGUAUCAUCAUUGAAGCCCUCACGAGACUACAACUCGUCCACUAGGGCCGCCUAGGGGUUUAAAGGCUUGUUGCAUACACUAAAUGCAAUCGCGAUUACCUGCGAAAGUGGUUUAAUUAGGAUUUACUUUUUGUGUUGUUAUUUUUAUUUUUGUUUUAAGUUUUAGUUUUGCUCGAGGACUAGCAAAAUCUAAGUUUGAGGGUAUUUGAUGAGCAUAAUUUGUAUACAUAUUUUACCGUUUAUUAUCUAAUUACUAGUUAUUUUUAUUAGUUAUUUUUAAUUAAUUGAAUUAUUUUAUUGUAUAGGGAAUUAAUUGGAGAUUGGAAAUAAAAAGUACAAAAAGAAUAACAAUUUAAAAGAAUAUUAGUUGAAGCCGUGACAGAGUUAAGAGUCAAGAGCAAUUUGCAUUGAAUUUCAAUUCUCCAAUUGAGUUGCACAUGCAUGGCAUUGCAAAAGUGGAAAGCAAUUUAAAUGGGACCCGCACUUGGCUUUCAUAAUUGGAAAAGGAAUCCAAAAGCAAUUCUAAGGGUGAUCACGUGUGAGAGCUAAAGCAAAUAAAAGGGCAAGCCUUUUGGCUUUAGGAUUUAAGAGGUGGGGCCCAUUUAAAAUCUUUUCAUCAAUUCUGUCAUGCAUUAUUGAUUGUUAGGAUUAAUAUUUGAUUAAAUCUAUGCUUGGAUCUAUAAAGUUUAUACAUGAUUGUCUUUGAUUUUAUGUCUUUCAUUAAAUUGUUUACAUAGAAUACUUAGGAAAACUUUGACUCUUUGUUAUUCAAUAUGUUUACAUGAGAUUCUUAGAUGUCAUACUAUUAAGUAGAAAAAGAACCUACAUAAGAUUAAUUUUAUUUGGGCUUAAUUGUUAUAUCUAUGAGAUGACAUAGAUUGAUUUCGAGUUGUCACUCUAAAAUUGGGGAUUAAUGAAUAUUUAGAUAAUUACUAGUUGAAUAGUGGUGGAUUCUGAAACAUUGGUAAUUCUUAUCUUAUUGAAUUCUCCUUUAUUUUAAUUGCUUCCUUAGUUUAAUUGGUUUAAUUUUCUUAGAAACUCAAUUUUGGUCAAUUAGGUUAGAAUUAAUAUUAAUUUUAGAUUUAAAUUAGACUUUUCAAUUUAUAACAAUCCCUGUGGAAUCGACCUUGUUACCACUAUUCUAUCUCUAGAUUCGUGCGCUUGCGAGUAUAUUAAAAUUUCACAACAAUUGCCUUUAAUUUUCUUUAUUUUAUUAUUUAUUUAUUAUUUUAUUAUUAUUUUAAAAUAUAUAAGUGUGUGGAAAUGUGUGAUGGUCAGGAGGCGUAAUAGCCUCCUGACCAUCACCAACAUGUUUUUGUUCUUUUGUUCUUUUUUUCUUUUUUUUAUUGAUUAUUUAUUAUUACAUCUCUUCAAUUUUGUUCUAGUAGUUCUUCUUUGUUUCCGCUUUCAAUACCAAGUUCAUCUUUAUUCCUGAAAAAUAUUUACAAGAUAAAAAUUAACAAAUUACGAAUUAAUUUAACAUAAAAUAUAUUUGGGAAAUAUUAAAAUAAUUUAGAAAUAAUGAAUGCAUUAAUCGACAUAAUAAGUGAAAAACUAAUAAUUUUAUCCUUAUUAAAUGUACACUUUUUAGUGUCAAUCACACCCCCAACCAGCUUAUUGUUGGGCCCUAGCAAUUUAAGUGAUAAAAGUUUAGUAAAAUUUCAAACUCAAAUUGAAAAUCAUUUUUUUAAAAAAAUUGUGUUUACUUCUUCCAUCAUAUUAAUGACAACAAUCAAAUAAAAGUAUAAGCAUUAUCUUCAGCCUAAAGAAAAUCACACCGACUCAAAACAGUUCAGUAAAAUCCUGUAAAAUGAUCAAUCAUCAUAGCUACAUUAAUCAAGCCACUUUUAAGAAUGAUACAUCAAACCCCAAAAUCUCACGAUUAAGAGUGACUCUCUCAAAAGAAGAUAUACCCGAAAUUAAUUUGUCACUCUAAAAAAAUGGUAAAUUUGAGAGAAUAAUAAAACAAUAUCACACGCUCUCACCAAGAUAAAAAAUAAUGCCCACAACUUAGAAAUAAAAUGAUCUCAAGUCCAAUGAAUUACUAGCAAAAUUUAUUUUUAUUUUUACUCAUCACCACAUCUUUUAGUCCAUAUUACCAGCUCUUAUCUAGAAGAAUACACAUGUAGCUUUGAAGAAUUACAUUAUAAAUGUGAAUUUGAUAAAGUUGAAAAUACCAUAUGCUAUUAUAAUGAUCAAUAUUUUAUAAAGAUACCAGAUCCAUGGGGGAAAACGAUUAUGUUAGAAUAUAACAAGGAAUAAAUUGAUACCCUAAGAAAUAGGAUCAGAUUUGCUCGAAAUAGAAUUAGUGAAUGGUAUGUUGAAAAAAAAGUUAAGAGACUUUGGUAAAGUCCCCAUAGUUCAGCUUCCAUAAUGGAACAACUACCCAAAUUCAUGCUAAAACCACAAACCCAUUCCCUACAAUAAUUCCUCACCAAGCCACCAGCAUUAGCCAAUCCCAAUCUCUUCAAAGCCCCAUCAGUAUUGAGCUUGAAGAACGACCACUUUGGGGGCUGCCAAUAGAUCAAUCUUUUAGUUUCUGGAACUCUCUGACUAUCUAAAGACUUUAUAAGCAGCGAUGCUUUUUUUCGUGUGAUUGUUCACAUCCACAAUUACGUUGUAAAGGCUGCUUGAUUUGUGAGCAUAAACGAACUCAUUAUGCCAAUACCACAUGUGCCAGACAUGACUCCAAAUAACAUUGACCUAUCCUUCUCAUUAGUGAUCCUCAAGUGGUUUUUCAUAUUAUAAACAAUCCAUGCACGAACAUCCAAUGUAAAACAGGUAUGACUUGUGUGUUUCGAAAUAAGGGUUAACCAAAUGCGUUUAGAGUCAACAUAAUCCCCGACUACAUGGAGAGCAUCGUCUAUGAUAUGCCCACACUGCAUGCAAGUACUAUCAUUAAGCACAUGUCUUCGCGAUAAUUUAGCAUUAUUUUUCAAUCUAUUAUGCAUCAGCAGCCAAAGAAAGCACUGAAUGCUUUGGGGGCCUCUCCAUAUCCAAAUCAAAACCCAAAGGGAAUUAUUUUCAUUUAGCAUCGGUCUAAAGAGGGAUAAAUAAGCUGACCUCAUGCUAAACGAACCAGACCGCGAUGGACCCCAAUAACAACAGUCAACUUCAUCGCUAACAGAAGGGGGCAUAGUGCCUGCUAUUUUGAGAAUUAUAUGGUGGGGUAGAAAAGAAGCAAAACAGUCCCAAUUCCAAGCACCAUUAUUAUCGAUAAAAUUAGCUACACACUCAUUUAAUAUGUUUUCAAUGAUUGUACCAAAAGUAUAAGAUUGCAACCAACGCCCAUCCUCCAGCAAAUAAUCUUUCCAAAAUCUAGCCAACUUCCCAUUCCCAAUACCCCAGCGAGUCCCUUAGAGAACCUCAUUCCAUACGUUUCCCACGAAUUUUCAUAAAGGAGAACUAUAUCAAGUAGGACGUUUUAGAGGAAGGUUUUCUUUAUCAACGCCAUAUUUAAACAUCAAUACUUGAAUCUAGAAGCUGUGGGGUGAUUCAAUAUGACCCCAACCAAUUUUCAUUAGCAAGGCUUUAUUCAUGAGAUUAAGAUCUUUAAGGCCAAGGCCCCCACAUAAAUUAAGGAGUUGUACUCUAUCCCACUUAAUAAGGUGUAUGCGAUGAGUCUCGUCAAUCUCGUUCUAGAUAAAAUGCUUGCAAAUCUGAUCAAUUUUAUUACGAAUGCUUAGAGGUAGCAUGAAGGUCUGCAUGGAAUAGGUUGGGAGAGCCAGAAUGAUCGACUGCAUUAAUGUUAUCGGGCCUACAAGAGAAAGAUGUUUGGUUGUCCAGCCCGGAAGUCUCUGUAGUGCUAAUGGUGGUCAACGAUAAGGUACCAGUUUCAAUGGGAGACAUUGAGUUUGCAUGAGAAAUCUGGGAGAUUUCAUAGAGAAUGUAUGAGUUAGUGACAAUGGUAAAUAUGAUUAAAUGCGUGAACUAACAUAAAAUGAAAUACAAAAACUAAAUGAUAAAGCACGAGUUUUGAAAAAAGUUUAUUCUUCAAUAGACCAUCAAUUAAACAGAAGCAAGCCACUGUCAUUCUAUGUAAACAAACAUAACAAAACCACCUACAUAGGAAUAAUUUUUCAAUAUAGGAAUCUUGAACUUUUCAUGACAAAAAAUCAAUUUACAAUAUUAUAGGUACGUGUAAAAAAAAGUUUAUAACAUUGUAAAUCAGAUCACCAGCUAGAAUCUAACUCCACCUACAUGGUUUAGUAAACAACUAUAACAUUGCAUCCAACAAUGGCGUCACCAGAUUUAAAAUCCGCUCGAUGCAUCUGAGCAAUUGCAUAUCCAUCAGUCAAUAGAAACUCGCCAGUGUCGCCGACGAUGGGCAUCUUACGGACAGGAACAAUCGACCUGUUGUUGCCAAGGAGGCUGAUACAGCUGCCAUUAUUAGGACCAUCAACCAAUACAAAGCUCAUGGACCUGAUGAUAGCUAGUUGAUGCUGACAAGCUGACCCGUAAAGCCCUUGAGCACGACCAACAAGCUUUGAUUGAGGACUAGUAGUUUCUAUCGACGAAUCAUCCGCCAAAUCACAACGCAGAAACAAGUUGGUGACUUGUAAGUAUCAAUGGCUUGAGCAAUGCUUUUUGCCACUACGUAUUUUUUGUUGUCUCUUUUGCGAAAUCAAGCCCCAUAGCCAAAGUCUCUCUGAUCGUAUUGAUGUUGCUGCCACUGGGCAAAUGAUGAGCAACAAAAAAACUACUUAAAACAUUGCAGUAACUUUAAAACAAGACAUGAAAUUAAGAGGAAGAGAAUAGAUGAUGCACUUUUGAAGGUAGAAAAGAAGGAUGAUUCAAGAUUCAUUUCAAAUUUUUUUGAAGUGUUUUGAUCAGUGAAUAUCCAAAGGCUGCUUAACUACAAAGGUGAAGUGGGAAGAAAUUUUGACAUUUUGUUACAUUGAGCUAGCUAGCAAAUGUAUAUGAGGGGCUUCACUUGUACACAUAAAAAAGGAAGAUUAAUUAGUCAUGGUUUUUUAUUAAGAAAAAAAAUGGCUUGCUUAAAAUAUAGUGUGGUUAAUUUCAUUGAAGGACAUGACUCAAAGGAAAAGAAAAAGAAAUCUAAUAAUAAACUAAACAAAAAAUAAUUCCAAAAACAAUAAAUUUAAUUAAAUGUACAUUGAAAUUACCUUUAUAAUGCAACAAGAUAUUAAAAUCAAUGGUUAACGCUAAUAAAUUAAGCGUAAUUUAUUUAAUACUUAUUUAUGGACUCUUUCAACUCCAUUAAAGCCAUUGCAAGUCGUUUUUCAAUAUUCACUCAGAUAAAUAGAGGCUCAUGCCUUUCUGAUUCUUCCACAUCUCUUUCAAUUCUAAUUAAGCCGUUUGCAAUUCUCUUAAGAAAUUAAAAAAUGUCGAAGAGUCUGACUUUCAUCAUUUUGGCUUUGCUUGUAGUGGCAAACACUAAAAACAUGCUUAUUUUAGCCAGUAGAACUGGCCAAAGAUCUAAGCCAGAGGCUUUAUUUUCUAUUAACCCUACAGCAUCACCUGACAUUGUUGAUUGCUCAGGGCUCACAAGUGAAGAGUGUUUGAUCGAGAUGAUUAAGAAAGCACUUGUAGACUAUCGAUACCCCUGCCCUGAGGGGGGGUGCAAAUGAUAUUGUUAAUAAGUUAUUUCUUUUACCUUGUAGGAGUGCUUUUGCAAUAACGAUCAAUUACAGUGAAAUUGAAUUCGUGUUUUUAAUAAAAUAAAACAUUAAUCCAUUAUGC
rnacentral:lncRNA from 1 species